UCACUUUAUAUUGCUUCUUGUGAUAGAGACCUUUAUUAUGCAGUCCGUCGCUUUUAUUUCUUCCCUAUCACAAGUUCGUAUAAAGCUUAUUUUCUUCGCACUAAUAGAUCAUACAUAUUUAAGGAGCAAUUUUUAUUGCAUGCACCUAUGACAACUUACUUGAAGGAUCUUACUCAAUCCUUAGGUAGGUAUGGUGGACUCUCAUGGCAAAACUGGUUUAAGGGAUGUUCGGAAGCACAAGUAGUAUCUCUACUUGGUGCAAAGAAUUUGGCAAGCAUGAGAGGGAAAGGCAAGCUCAGCAUGUUGGAUGAUCCGUGACAAUAUACUUUAUUUCGGAUAUAAGAAAACAUAACCCAUUACGUUGUCUUCCUUGUCCAACAUCAUCCUUUUAGCAUGUCAUAUUUUAAUGAGUGCUCACAAUUACAAAAGAUGUCCAAGAUAGUAUAUUUAUAUGUGAAAUCUCUCUUCCUUCAAUAUUCUUUCAUGAAUUGUUCAAGUGACCAAUUCUAUGUUCGCUAACUUUCAUUAAGUUUACUAGCUAUACUUAUUCUGUGUGAAGUCAUUACUCCCCUUGGUAUAAGCAUAUGAAACAUUUAUAAGUUCAGAUUUAUGAUAUUCAAUUCAUUCAACCAUUUACUCAUAGGAUAUACUUGAAGCACGUGAGUAAAUGACAAACUACCCCAAAAAGAUAUAAGUGAAGAACACUGAGUAGUCAAAUAAUUAACUAGCCAUGGGAGGAUUCUUUUUCAUUCAAGAUUUCAGAUCCAACGAUUUUAUUCAAACAGCAAGUAAAAUUGAAAAUACGCUCCAAGCAAAACACAUAUCAUGUGACGAAUAAAAAUAUAGCUCCGAGUAAGGUAUACCGAUAGUUCUGAAGACGAAAGAGGGGAUGCCUUCCGGGGCAUCCCCAAGCUUAGGCACUUGAGUCUUCCUUGAGUAUUACCUUGGGGUGCCUUGGGCAUCCCCAAGCUUAGUGUCUUUCCACUCCUUAUUCUCCUCAUAUCGAUAUCUCACCCAAAGCUUGAAAACUUCAAUCACACAAAACUUAACGGAACUUCGUGAGAUAGGUUAGUAUGAUAAAGUGUAAACCAUUCACUUUGGUACUGUCAAAGACAAGGUUCAUAAUUUUUAUCACACAAUGCCUACUGUACCAUAUCAUUUCUACAACUUAUAUUGAGAAAUAUAAGCCAUAGAAACUAUAAAACAAGCAAACUAUGCAAUGAAAACAGAAUCUGUCAGAAACAGAAUGGUCUGUAAUGAUCUGAACAUAAACCAUACUUAUGCUACUCCAAAAAUUAUGAAAUAAAUUGGUGGACGUGAGGAAUUUUUCUAUUAAUCUUCUGCAAAAAGAAUCAACUCAAAAGCACUCUUCUGUAAAAAAAUGGUAGCUAAUCCCGUGAGCGCAAAGUUUCUGUUUUUUACAGCAAGAUCACAUUAACUUUCACCCAAGUCUUCCCAAAGGUCUUACUUGGCACUUUAUUGAAACAAAAGCUAUAAAACAUGAUUACUACAGUAGCUUAAUCAUGUAAACACACAAAAACAGUAAGGGUAAAUAUGGGUUGUCUCCCAACAACCGCUUUUCUUUAAUGCCUUUUAGCUAGGCAUGAUGAUUUCAAUGAUGCUCACAUAAAAGAUAAGAAUUGAAACAUAAAGAGAGCAUCAUGAAGAAUAUGACUAGCACAUUUGAAUCUAACCCACUUCCCAUGCCUAGGGAUUUUUUGAGCACAUAAUUUAUAGGAACAAGAAUCAACUAGCAUAGGAAGGCAAAACAAGUAUAACUUCAAAACUUUAAGCACAUAGAGAGGAAACUUGGUAUUAUUGCAACUCCUACAAGAAUAUAUUCCUCCCUCAUAAUAAUUUUCAGUAGCAUCAUGAAUGAAUUCAACAAUAUAACCAUCACACAAAGCAUUCUUUUCAUGAUCUAGAAGCAUAGAAAUUUUUCUACUCUCCACAUAAGAAAAAUUCUUCUCAUUCGGAAUAGUGGGAUCACUAAUUCCUAAAGUUGACACUCUUCCAAACCCACUUUAGAUGAUAAUAUUAUUCAUACUCCAAAAGAUAUAAGUGAAGUUCAUGGAGCAUUCUAAGAUUAAUAUAGACUAACCAAUAUCCAAGCUCAAAAUGUAUAAGUGAAGCACAAGAAGCAUUCUAUAAAACCAUACUCAAAAGAUGUAAGUGAAGCACAAAGGGCAAUUCUAUAAGAUCAUACUUAAAAGAUAUAAGUGAAGCACAUGAAGUAUUCUAUAAAUUGAUGAAGGGACAUCUCAUACUAGAAUGGUUCUUAAAGGAAAAACAAAAACACAAAGGACACAAAUCAUGUGAACAAAACAAAAACCGAGGUAUACCGAUAUUUGUUGAAGAAGAAAGAUGGGAUGCCAACCGGGGCAUCCCCAAGCUUAGAUGCUUGAGUAUCCUUUGAAAUAUUUUCUUGGGGUGCCUUGGGCAUCCCCAAGAUUGAACUCUUGCCUCUCUUUAUUCUUCUCAUAUUGAUAGUUCCCCGAUCUUCGAACACUUCAUCCACACAAAACUUUAACAAAAACUUUGUGAGAUCCGUUAGUGUAAUAAAGCAAACUACCACUUUAAGGUACUGUAAUGAACUCAUUCUUUAUUUAUAUUGGUGUUAAACCUACUGUAUUACAACUUCUUUAUGGUUCAUACCCUCCGAUACUAGCCAUAGAUUCAUCAAAAUAAGCAAACAACACGCGAAAAACAGAAUCUGUCAAAAACAGGACAGUCUGUAGUAAUAUGGAAGUUUAGUAAACUUCUGUAACUCCCAAAAUUAUGAAAUAAAUUUGAAAAUUUGAAAAAUUAGUACAGAAGUAAUGUUCAAAAUCUUUCAGACCCAUUUGACCUUCCAGUAAAAAAAUGUAAAAUCACGCACUACAGCCAAAGUUUCUGUUUUUGUUCUGCACAUAGUAAACAAGAAAUCUAAUCAUCCUAAAACCAAAGCUUGGCUCAUUAUUUUUGUAAUACAAUGGAUAUAUACAAGGGGAUAAUUAUUUACAGAGAAACUUCCAUGAAAAAUUCUACAUUGUUUCCGUGAGCAUGAACACAAGUGCUCAAGGUCGAUCCUCACUUCUUCAAUGCAUAACUUUCCAAUCACUUCUCUUUUUGAAAAACAUUUUAGGCAUGAGAGGCAAGUAAUUUUUUUUGUAUUUUCAUUCUUUAACUUUUUUGUAUGUUUCACCCACAACUAAACAGAAACAAAAAGGAAAAAAAUAUACUUAGUGAAGAAAGCAAACAAGCACACAGGAGAAUAUCAACCCCACGCUAUUGCUCCCCAGCAACGGCGCCAGAAAAGAGCUUGAUAAUCCCCAAGUGCAGGGAAUCAUCGUAGCAAUUUCCAAAGGUGGAAGUGAUAAGUAUGGAGUGUCGAACCCACAAGGAGCUAAAGGUAAGAUCAAUAUUCUCUCAAGCCCUAUCUGCCACUGAUACGACUCUACGUGCACCGAACGUUUGCUUCCAACUAGAAACGAGAAAUAAAACUACGUUGUGGGUAUGAAGAGGAUAACUUUGCAUGGUAUCGGAGAGCUAAAAUAUAAAAGUAGGUGCUGUUAUCAUAAAGUUAGAAUAUAAUACUAAAUAUUAUAAAUAGCGAGUGUGGAAUAAUGAUGGAUCGGUGUGCGGAAUUGUCCUAGGCAAUUGUUAACAAGACCGGUAGUCGUCAUUGCAAUUUCAUAUGAGGGACAGGCAUAAGCUAACAUAAUUUCUCUUCUUGGAUCAUAUGCACUUAUGAUUGGAACUCUAGAAAGCAUCCGCAACUACUAAAGAUCAUUAAGGUAAAACCCAACCAUAGCAUUAAAGCAUCAAGUCCUCUUUAUCCCAUACACAACAACCCCCUUACUCGGGUUUAUGCUUCUGUCACUCAAGCAACCCACUAUAAGCGAAUCAUAAACGUAUUGCAACACCCUACAGCGGGAAUCCCUCAUGCUUGCGCGACACGGAGGGCACAAUAGGACAGCACCAAAAUAAAACAUACAACUCGUACCAAUCUAGAUCAUCAAUCAACCCAAAGACAAAGGAUAUCUACUCAAAACAUCAUAAGAUGGCAACACAUCAUUGGAUCAUAAUAUGUGGCAUAAAGCACCAUGUUCAAGUAGGGAUUACAGCGGGGUGCGGGAGAGUGGACCGCGUAAAAGAGAUGAGGAUGGUGAUGAUGAUGGUGAUGUUGAUGAACACGAUCACCGCGGUGAUGAUUCCCCUCCCGAUGGCACUCCGGGGCCACCGAGAGAGAGGAGGAGAGGUUCUCCCCCUUGUGCUUCCUCCUCCAUGGCCUGCCCCCUAGAUGGGGAGAGGUUCUACCUCUGGUCCUUGGCCUUCAUGGCGAUGAUGGCCCCUCCGAGAUCCUCCUCCAUGGCUUCCGGUGAUGAUGGCCCCCUCCGGCAGGGUGCCAGAGAGGGCCUAGAUUGAUUUCUCGUGGUUACAGAGGCUUGCGGCGGCGGAACUUCUAGGUUAUUUUCUGGGGGUUUCUGUAUUUAUAGGAAUUUUUGGCGUUGGUUUCACGUCAGGGAGGUCUCCGAGUCGUCCACGAGGCAGGGGCCCACGCCCAGGGGGGUGGGCGCACCCCCACCCAUGUGGACAGCCCGGGACUCUUCUGGCCCAACUCUUUUGCUCCAGGGGCUUCUUUUGGUACAUAAAGAAUCAACAAAAAUUGGCAUGUCAAUUGGACUCCAUUUGGUAUUCCUUUUCUGUAAAACUCAAAAGCAAGGAAAAAACAGAAACUGGCACUGGGCUCUAGGUUAAUAGGUUAGUCCCAAAAAUCAUAUAAAAUAGCAUAUAAAUGCAUAUAAAACAUCUAAGAUGGAUAAUAUAAUAGCAUGAAUACUUCAUAAAUUAUAGAUACGUUGGAGACGUAUCAAUGAAGAGGGCAUAGAGGAUCAACAAUGAUUCCUUCUCGUGGUUGGAAUGCGAGAGGGAAUGGAGGGAAGCGAAGGCGGUAGCAGAGGCGGAAUCGGAUCCGAUACUCAGAUCCAGAAGAGAGAGGUAUGUUCAAACUUGGCGGAUCCAGGCAGACUGAGAGAUGAAGAAUUUUGCAAGAAGGAUUCACUUUGAAGGUACCGCGGAGGAGAGAGCGCAGAUGCUGCCUUUCCCACUCUCACCGUCGGUGGACUUCAUUCAUUGGGCGAGGGGAGAGGGGAUAUUCAGCGAUCUGAGGAGGAAAGGGAGGUGGAUUUGUCUCGUGGGACUGUGUCCAGCAAGCGUUCCACCGCUGCCGGAACCAGUGGAUCCUCUGCAAUACUUGUCGCCAGCAAUUUGAAUUCCUCUGCAGUUUCAGUCUGUGACAGAAGAGAGGAGGAUGAGCUUGAUGAACAGACGGUUAGAAUUUGACCCCCGUGGAUGUAGGAAAAAUGAUGAAGCUGGAUAUGCUGAUUGCUUAGUUGGAUCUCGACCUGGAGGCAGAUUCUGGGCGUUGGAGCAAAUUGAAGAAGAUGGUGAAAAAUGUUCAGCGGAGAGUGAAGCUGGACAGAGUCCAUAUAUAGCGACUUUAGCUGAUGCUUUUGCUUGUGCUAAGAGGGAAUCGAAGAAGAAAAUCAAAGGCAAGCAGAAGAGGGACAAAUUAUGCAAAUUGGGUGUUGUUGACCGCAUUUCAGAGAAGAUUGUGGCUCCUGUAUUUAGUUAUGUAAAUGUUCCUCCUUGUCGUAAAUCCAGGCAUGUGCUUCCUGUUGAGUGUGAUUCAGUUACUAAGGAUUGCUGGUACCAAAUUGUUGGUGGUAAGCCAGUUGAUGUGGGUGUGGGUUUUGAGCCGAAUUGUAUGCAGAUGGGACAUGACGGGAGAGGUCAUUAUCUACCAGCACGCAGCUUGGUUGAUGCGCCGCUCUCCACACGGUCGCCAACACGCCCGGAGGGUGAAUUUGGAGAUGAUUUAGAGUUCAGGUUUUUUUCCUGUUUUGAUUCAAACUAUGCAUCGGAAUGGGCCGGUUGGUGGUGGGCUGGGUCAGAAAUAUGGGUGCAUAUUGGAGCCCAAAAAGGGGAGUGGGGUGCUACAACUUGGUCAAAGAUAGGUCGUUAACCCUAAUCACUUUUUGCACUCUAGGAUUUCCCAUUUGUGGUGCCCGUCCUCGGCCACCGCCACUCGUGAUAGGUAGAUCCGGGAGGAAAGAUGGAUGGGCAUUUUGGUUCUGGGCGUGUAAAUGGAGGGAGGGAUGGUGGAGGUGGUGGAAGCUGGAGACCAAAUCAAGGUUAUGGGAGAGAAUUCCAAUUUGACAAAUACGAUCAAGGUCCUUAGGUCCGACCCCGACCGUCGUUUCAAAAUUUCCAAGGUAACCAGCACUAGAACUUCCCGCGUAGAGAGCCAGGAUACGGGGAUUGGGGACAAGAUGGUGGCAAUCGAGGUAUGUAUCAGUACCCUCGUCGGCCGCCACUGCAAAACACUAAUCUACCCCUACUACUAGCAAAAAAACAACAGAAGAUGAGUACAACCACUAUCAGUGGUGGAGGAGGGGGUAGCGAUGUUCAGACUUCCAAGCCUAAUUCCGCUGGGGCAGUGGUGGCAGGGAAUCAAAGCUCGAGGGUGAUUUCUGAUAGCAAUGUUUCUUCUAUGGACAAGGUUAUCUGUCAUAAGUGUGGUGAGAAAGGUCAUAACUCUAAAGGAUGUGAGGCAAAAGUAAAGUGUGUGAUCUAUACUAAGGAUUCUCAUGUACUUGAAUUUUGUGCUUGGCUUCAUCAGAAAAAACUUGUGGCUACUCUGGUUGGUUUUGGUGGGGAGGGGCUUGGAUUGUUUGUGGCAGAGCAUGCAAAGGAGAUUUCCAGUGCUAAUAAAAAUGAAGUUGUGGCUUUGGUGAGACUGAGGGAGGGAUGUGAUUUAGAAGUGGAUGCUGACAUGUUAAUUAAAAGCUUGGCCGAAACUUAUCCAUGGAGGUGGGACUUGAAAGCUAGAAAAGUUUCUGAAGGAGUUUUUUUGGCAAACUUUCCUUGAGCUACUAGAAUUGAUGAAGUUGCUAUAUAUGGCUGGGUCCCUUUAAAGGGAGGAAAUAUCUUGGUGAAUGUGAAAAUCUGGAAUGAUGAUGCAAUGGCUGUAGGAAAACUCGCUGCGGUUUGGGUCAGAGCAAAAGGUGUACCAAAGACUAUGAAGAAUUUCCAUGGGCUAUGUGAAAUUGGCUCAAUGAUUGGUUACAUUCAGGCUGUGGAUAUGCAGUUAGUAAGUAAAACAAGCUUGGUUGGAUUGAAAGUUGUUGUGGUGGAUUACAGAAAAAUUCCUAGAUGGACCAAGUUAACAAGUCCCAAUCUCAUGGUUUACAUAAUCUUCUUUGAAAUGGAAGAAGUAGUAGAUGAAGGAUGGGCUAAGGAAGAUGAUGAAUUAUCUCAAGGCUAUGAAGACUGGAUGGAUUUUCAGCAAGAGGAGGAGGAUAGCAGAGAUCCCAAAAAAGCAAAACACAAUGAAGAUGAGGCAGACAAUAGACCAAUUCGUGCAAGUACACAGACCAAGAUUGUUGUGGAUGAGAAAGAUGUUGUUAUAAAGGAACAGGAGGAAUAUGAUAUUCGGUUGUACUAUAAACACAAAGAUAAGGAUGUUGAAGACAAAAAGGAAGAAGAAACUGGCUUUGUUUUUGUGAAUAGAGGAGGUGGAAAAGAAAAUGAGGAGGAAGAGCAAAACACUGCUGAUGAUAAAAAUUUAGAUGAUGAAGUUGAGAUGUCUCAGUCUGUCAGUUUGGGGACUAAACUAGGGAUUAGGGUACAUGAAGAUAUGACUAUACACAAUACCAAUGAUAAGAAUUCUGACCAAGGUACACAGAGGUAUAGUGGAAGGAUAGCUUCAAAGAACAAAGAUGAUAUCGCAAUGUUAGAUAGAGCUAUAUGACUCUGGCUAGGGCCAAAAACCUAGCUUUAUCUAAAGGUAUGUCAUCUAAUGUUGUUGAUGAAUAUUCUGAAAAUGUAGAACUAAUUGAUGUUGCUAAUUUGAUAGGAAUUGACUUAGGGGUUUCUUCGGGUUUGGUGGAGUACAGUUUAAAACUAAUUUCCUCUCAUGAAAAAGCUAGAAGAGAGAUAUUUUUAGCUAAUACCAAGGAGGAAUCUAGUGAACAGGAGAAUGAGAAUGUCUUGGAACUUGAGGAGGUUAAUUCUAUACUUCAGGACUUAUUACAAUUAAGUAGGGAAGGGGAUGAGGAACAUAUGGAUGAUCAUUCGGAAAGUCUAUUUGGUGGUAUGAGGACAGGUCUUAAAGCAAACAGUGCUCAUUUUGAGGAUGUUGCUGUUAAGACACCACUAAAAACAGUGUUGAGUAGGAGGAAAACAGUGCUCAUUGGCUCAAUCUCUCUCCCAUAAGCAGCGUUGAAUCUGUCAACAGAGUAGUACUCAUGCACAAAUUGUUCAAGGUCUACUCUCUUUUGUGAGGUCACGAAGGCCAAGACAUGCGGACAUGGCUUACCAGUAUGCUACCAUUCAAGACAAGUGUUGGAAAUAUGAACUAGAUGCAAUAAUAAUGUAUUAUUAUAUUUCCAUUUUCAUAAUUAAGAGUUUAUAUUUCAUGUUAUAACCAUUGUGAUCCUAGAAUAAGUGAUUCAGUGAAAAACUCAUAUGCACAUGUGGAAUGGUAAACGGUAAAUAAUAGGUUCCUAGUCUUGCCUCUAAGACUGACUCAAGUGUUGUUCGUGAUCAUGUUUCCUGGAUCUUAGGAUAUCGUUAAGUGUAACGAUAGUCCUAAAACAACAUUGAAGGUAUGAUGUUAGAAGAAUGAUCAUAUUGAAUCGAUCCAAUAUUGUUUGUUAUACUUUGAGAUAAUAUCGUCUGAAAUCAAUUGUUAUAACACGGAGUGUUAGUAUGUGUUUUUAGUUCCUCAGACGAUGAAUCUUGGGGUUUCUCAAACAUCAUCUGUAACACGGUGAUCAUAACGACAACUUACAGGUUCAUCUAAAAGUUUGACAAGGGACUAGAUAGCUCGAGAGAGGGAUUUGCUCCUCCGACAAUGGAGAGAUAUUCUUAGGGCCCUCUUGGUGUGACGGAAUCCAUCAUCGUCUGGCCAGACACAGGUGAUUACGUCAUAGGGAUGCCGGAACACUUCAAUGGGAGAAGAACAAAACCGGUGACAAGAUCAAUGGUAUAAUGAGCAUGUGCAUGAAUCAGUAGGAUACCAAUGCAUCCCGACUUUUGUAAAGUAUCCCGAUGCAAAGGGAACAUCACAGGAUAACCGAAGGUUCACUCGAAUUUCAUUCGUGUAAUCAUAGGGAUCGAUAUGGACAUCCACGGUUCCACUAUCGGUCAUUGAACGAAGAAGUUUCGUUCAUGUCUAGGAUUUACCAAACCUACAGGGUCACAAGCUUAAGGUAAUCACGACCUGCUGAGUGUUAGUAGGAUGAGAGCAUCGAUGAUUUAUUUAUGGAAUUGUUUCAUUAAGAACAUUUACAUUUAUGACCCUAAUUUGCGCCGACUCUCAGAUUUACCCCUAACUUUUUGAUGUGCUCAAAUUUGCCCUAAAAAGAAUUUAGGUCACGAGAAUGCCCUUCCAGCUGGUCAAAGUUGUUUGACCAAAACUUUGAAAAAUCAUAAAAAAUUCAUAUGAGCUCAAUAUGUUCGUUAAAAUAUCACCUAUACACGCAUGUCAUUUAUGUUCAUCAACUACACGUGCAUUUAUUUGCAUUCACCCUAAAUAGUUUUUAAUGUUAUGAACCCUAAAAUGCUUUAAAGUGUGCUUUUGUCAUGCACGUAAAUGACACGUGCAUAUAGGUGAUGUUUUUAUGAACAUUUUGAUAUCUUAUUUUGCAUUCUUCUAAGUUCAUAUGAAUUUGUUAUGAAUUUUGAAAGUUUCGGUCAAACAACUUUGACCAGAUGGAAGGGCAUUUUCGUGACCUAAAAUGCUUUUUAGGUGCAAAUUUGAGCACAUAAAAAUGUUAGGGGUAAAUCUAAGAGUGGGCGCAAAUUAGGGUCAUAAAUGUAAAUGUACCUGAAUGAAAUAAUUCCACAAAUAAAUUCUCGAUACUCUCAUCCUGCUAACACUCAGCAGAUCGUGAUUACCUUAAGCUUGUGACCCUGUAGGUUCGGUAAUCAUAGACAUGAACGAAACUUCUUCGUUCAAUGACCAUAGUGGAACCAUGGAUGUCCAUAUCGAUCCCUAUGAUUACAUGAAUGACAUUCGAGUGAACCUUCGGUGGGUUCAAGUUAGGGUCACAUCAAAAAGUUAGGGGUAAAUUUGAGUAGUGGGUUCAAGUUAGGGGCUCAAAUGUGAAUGUCCCGUUCAUUAAUGUUCAAAAUAGUUUUGAGAGGAAUCGGAAGCGUUUAGGGGUCACCGGAAGGGUUUCAGAGUUUAUCGGGAAAUACCGGGUAUUAUCGAUAAAUAAUAUAUAGGUGGAAAAUGUUUUGGUUGAUGUUAAAUUAUAUAUAGAAGGCCCUGGUAAUUGUUAGAGGGCUUUUAUAGUUAAUUUAAUAUCAACAUGCCUUAAAAUGUCUAGUGGUGAAAGGCAACUUGGGCCACCAAGGCCCAACUGGAGGUGGGGUCCGCCCUUUCCUGUAGGACGUGAUGAUUAUCAAAUUGCAAAAUUGAGUGAAUCAAUGAAUUGACCAACAUGUCGAGCAAUAAGAAGCGAAACAUAUGAAUUCCAUGGUCGACGAGCCCGGCGGGCACCUUCUCCCCACUUGUGCAAUCGCAUCGCAAAACUUCAUGAUGAAGUUGGAGAUGGUGUACCACCGGUGGGCCAGUGACUUCACAUUGUGUUCAUGGAUCAAGUAAAAGGCAUAGGGCAUGAAGUGCUUUUGCUCAUGAAACGGAAUAUGCAUGGUUUGCCAAAAGGUCGAGCUCCAUUGUCUCAUGCCUAGAAAGUCCGCAGAUAUGACCUUUCAAGCAUCACACAAUAAUCAUUCUCCAUCAUUGAGUACCCCGUCAUUGUGCUUACUCUAGAAAACACCAAGAAGGAAAAAAGAAAGCUCAAUGACAUUUGAUCGAACACCUGCCGGGCGUGCUGUCCGCCAUGGACCGUGUCGACAGGUGGCCAGGGGAGGGGGCGGUAUCUGGCUGUGGACAAUUCCUGAGUGGAUGGUGGUAUAGUCCAAGGUGGAUAGGUGCAUGGGUUGGGCUGCGGACAUCCGGCAAUGCCUGGGCGGCGGCUGGAGAGAUACACCGACGGCGUCGGACGAGGACGGGUUGGGUGCAGAGCAAGGGCAGAGCAGAGACGAAGUGGGAGAAAAAUGAUCCAGCAGGAGGGGAUUUGAGUGGGCCGAGAGUGUUGGACGCAUACUUGGUGAAGGUCUGGGUGCCCACAAACCUCCUGGUUUGUGUCCGGUUUACAGGAAUGCAUACAAACGUACGCAUAUAUGGAUAAAUACAGAUAUCCGAACAACUCAGUUCAUCACAUCGUAUACUGGCGUUUCAAGGGUUUGGGAAUGCCUGCCCUCAAGGGUCAGGAGGAGGGAGGAGGGGAGGGGAGACCGGCAACACGAUCUAGGGUUCCCUCCCCGUCGCCAUGCGGGGGCGACGCGUCAGGGAGGAGUGUUGGUGUUUUUCCCCUCUACUGGUGCUAUAUAUAGUGUAUCCCUGCCGUUCUUGUAUACAUGACAUCAGUGAAUCAGGAUGUAUAAGAAGGUAGUCACGCAAGGGAUAAUAUUUUGAGCGUAAAGCGUAGAGAACUUUCCCGGGCGGCAUCAGAUGCUAAUCACAUGCGAGUUAUAGCCCUUUUUGUCUUUUAUGAAUGUGCCUUUUUAAAACGGAGCGAAAUUAAUCUAUAUAUAUACUAAUAUAAAAAGACCCAAAGAAACAUAUCCAAUUAAUCUCGGCCAUCAAAUCAUGUCAAUCCAAUAACCUAGACUGCUUCAAUGUUCGAGCGUUCAGCACGUUUAACGUGCAGUUAAUUUCAUGCCAAAAAUAGUGUUAAUCACAUAAUAACAUGCAAAAUAAUAUUCUAUUUAAUAUCCGCAUGCACUUAAUAUACUUCCAAAUUAACGUGCAUUGCACGUACACAUUGACUAGUCAUUAAGAAAAAGCAGAAACGACCAAAGCAUCAUUUGGUUUUACAGCUAAAAAUAUUUGUGUUGUGCAUGGAGAUGGAGACAGUGAUGGCGUACAAAUGAACAUAUAAUGUAAGCGUACAUGUGAAUUCUCUUCCAUGCGGCGUAUAAUGUAAGCUUACAUGUGAAUUCUCUUCCAUGCGGGCAUAUGGAAUUAUACCACAUGGUACGAAAGAUUUAGUCGGCCAUGUACUUCGUUCGAUUGUUGUUUUAUAUAUAAAGCGGGAUGAAAGUCAGUUUCGAGAGCUGCGGCUUGCAGGGCUGGAUGCAAAUGCCUAGCUUGUAAGGCCAGACUAAGAAUAAAGCUGCAUGUAUGCACAUAUAUUCUGCCUGGAAACGUAUGGACUUAAUUUAUUUAUUUUUGAGGAUUGAAAUGCAUGAACUUUACAUGAAGCAGCCAAAGUUUCUACAAACUAGCUAGGUGCAAUCAGCACAAAGUCCUCCACUUAGCCAAGUUUCUACUGACUGGGUGCAAUCAGCACAAAAUCCUCACCUCACCUUUGUAAUCCUGCUCAGUAAAUUACAGGUGCUUGAUUAAUCAUGGCUCCGUGUUGAGCUCGUGACACGCGUUUGAUUCACUUCGGUUUCUAAUGUCAGCUGAACUAACAAGCCGAGGUUGACUUGGAUGACAGUUACUCUCUUCGUUUUUAUUUACUCCGCAUAUUAGAGUUGACUGAAGUCAAACUUUCUAAAGUUUGACAAAGUUUAUAAAAAAAAUAUUUACCAUAACAAAUCUAUAUGAUGUGGAAGUACAUUUGAUAAUGAAUCUAAUGGUAUUGAUUUGUUAUUGUAUAUGUUAAUAUUUUUGUUUGUCAAAGUUUAUAAAAUUUGACUUUGACUAAAGCUAAUAUGCGAAGUAAAUAAAAACAGAGGAAGUACUAUUUUGUUUCCCUGCAGGCAUGCAUGGUAAUCCGCAUCUCACCCUGCAUAAAGAUCAUUGGAAUCAGAUCUAAUACCUUUCUUUGGCCGGUCACACACUCUAGCUAGGGUUCUUCGACGCAGGUUGCUUGCGUAGUUUUUUUUAGAAACAACAUUGACGUACACAUACAGUCACACCACCACACACACUCACACUCAAACAAAUGCCUACUGAAGGCCCGAUCGAAGUUGCGGGCUUUGAAAUUGAUGGAAUCACCACAUGUGUCUCGUUAUUUGAUAUUUACUUAUGAGUUAUGAAUAAAUAAUAUGAAAAACAAAUCUUAAGGGUUUUUCAAACCACAUUUAACAGGAGACGUUCCAUUCGGUUCAAACAUUUAAAAAUAUUUUUUUUCUUUGUUUAUUUUUGUGGUGCAACUAGACUUUGGUCAACUUAGUUAAUCAUACGGCAGUCCAAUAUCCGGGGUGGGCCCCGCCUGUCAUCGUGCAAGGCUACCAACGUCUCCGUCCCCCUCUUUCCAUCGCAGCCCACCUCCGCUAUAAAUACCACUCACUCAAAAUAAAAUAAUGAGCUCGACCGCCGACGGAAGCAGCUCGCGGUCGGCUCUCAGUCUACUCUCCGUCGCGUCGUCGACAGGCGCCGCGGCAGCAGCGGCCAGCGUCCGUCGGGAGACAGAGAUUUCCUCUUGGCGGGGGCCGAAUCCAAUCCGUAAGUCGAAAUCUCUCUCUGUGCUUGCUCUCGGAUCCCCACCCGCCCCCUACAGUCCCACAGUACUUCCCUGCUGCCAAUGCCCGCCUCGCCGCCGUUCCCGCCGUUUUCUUGGGGUCUCGGUGAGGAAUCCGAGGGUACUGGUUCUGGAUUGACCCCCCGGUAAUGGAGGCCCUGCUGGCUGUUGCCGCUGGGUUACUCCUGUGUGCCCGUCCUCAAGGUGUUCGAUGGAUUGUGGGCAGGGUGUUCCGUCCGGCUGGUCGAUCUCGUUCCAGUCCUUCCAGGUUCCAGCCCGUUUACAGUCAGUUGCUGAAAAUGUGCACGGAACGCAUGAAAAUGUAGGCUGUGCACAGGUUGUUUGCUUGCUUGCAAUUCCAAGCAUUGUUUCCUCUUUGCAGGAAGCAUAGUGCCACAAGUGGUCUGCUUGUUUGCUUGUGCUCAGGAAAAGAAAAAGUUGUAUCUUCUGUUUGUUUGCUUGCUGUCCGCUUCAGUGUUUGUUCCAUCUUAAGCAUGGUACAAGUAUAGUCGCUUUGUUUCGUGGGCAUAAUCCAAAGUUUGUGCGGAUGCAGCUUUUGUUCUCUCUUGCAUAGCGAAAGUGUGUGGAAACUGGAAUCUGUUGAGAGUAGUAUGGCCACGCCAAACGUUUUGGCUUUCACUUAAGGACCACACAUUGCUUCUUGACUUUCUUGGAUGCUUGCCGGCCCAGCCUUGGAACUGUACCUUCCUAGCUAGUAAUGGUGUAGAUAGAUGGUUAAUAUAAAUGAGGCACAGACCAAACCUUUGUGUUGCUUCCUAGAAAUGAGUGUAUUUCCUUAAUUUUUUUUUUGUCAAAACGUCUGUCGUUGUUCUCCCAAGUUGCUUUCUUGCGGUAUUCAAUCCAUUUUUUAUUACUGCAAUUGCUUCAUUCGAAUUGAGGUUUCAGUCCGUUUACCGUCAGUUGCUGAAAAUGUGCACGAAACGGAUGAAAAUGCCGGGACAUGCGCUCUUUGUUUACCGUUUAUACCGUCAUUUGUUUGGUUGCAGGAUGCACCCGGUCUUAAGCAUAGUAUAUAUAAAGUUGUAUGCUCUGUUUUGUUUGUUUGCUUGCUGUCUGAGGAUUGAGACAAGGGCAUAAUCCAAAGUUUGGCACCUGCUCCUGCACAUUUAUGUGUUGGAAACUGGAAUCUGUUCAGAGUAGUAUGGCCACGCCACAUGUUUUGGCUUUAACUCAAGGACCACAUUGCUUCUUGACUUUCUUGGAUGCUUGUUGGCCCAACUUUGCAACUCUACCUUCCUAAUAGUAGUAUAAAUCAGGCACAUACAAUUUUUUUUGUGUUGCUUGAGAUUUGGUGUAUUUACUUAAUGUGUUUAGUUGAAUCAUCUGUCAUUGUUCUCCCAAGUUGCUUUUCCUCGCGAUAUUCAAUCCGUCGGGUUUUUAAUUACUGUAACUGCUUCAUUCAAAAUUGAUAUUUGCUUCUUUGUUGUUGUUUUCCUUUCAACGCUUGGGCUGAGGCUUCAAAUAAUGGUGCUCUUUAACAUGGACUUUGUUACUUUAGAGAAUGCAAGAAUUAUGCAAUUGUAUCAUGAUAACAUCUGCUCUAUGUUUUUUCUACAGGGAGUUUCCAACACAUAAGUAGUUUGCUAACAUGAAGACAAGCAUCCAGUAGACUUUGCACCAUUUGAGUCACAAUGGAGAUAUCUUUUCUCAUGUUGUUGGUUCUCUCUCUGCUUCUGUUUCCUAAUGGCAUCUGCAAGGGUUUAGCUGCGAGGCCUCCUGUUGUGAAUAUUGGGUCUAUUCUUCAAUUUAACUCCACCACUGGAGGUGUUGCCGCGGUUGCCAUCCAUGCAGCCUUGGAAGAUAUCAACUCUGAUCCAACAGUUCUAAAUGGAACUACACUAAAGGUUCAAAUCAAGGAUACAAAUUGCUUUGAUGGUUUCCUUGGCAUGGUUCAAGGUACGCUAGCUUUAAUGUCACGCAUUCAUUUGGCAUUGUUGAAAUAGUUUUUGCUUCUCUUGUGGAAUUGUGACAAUGAUACCGUAUUCCUUGUAUCAGCUUUGCAGUUCAUGGAGACUGAUGUUGUUGCACUCAUUGGCCCUCAGUGCUCUACAAUUUCUCAUAUCAUUUCAUAUGUAGCAAAUGAGCUUCGAGUCCCUUUGAUGUCCUUUGCUUCUGAUGCAACUCUUUCAUCGAUACAAUUCCCGUUCUUUGUCAGGACUGGUCCCAAUGACCUCUAUCAAAUGGCGGCUGUGGCAGAAGUUGUUGACUACAACCACUGGAAGAUUGUGACUGCCAUAUACAUUGACAAUGUUUAUGGUCGAAAUGGCAUUGCUGCUUUGGAUGAUGCACUUGCUUUAAAGCGCUGCAAAAUCUCCUACAAAGUUGGGUUUCCUUCCAAUGCUAAAAGAAGUGAGCUCAUAAAUUUGUUGGUUAGUGUCAGUUAUAUGGAGUCUCGUGUUAUCAUUCUCCAUACUGGAGCUGAACCUGGACUCAAGCUUUUCUCUAUGGCAAAACAACUGAACAUGAUGGGCAACGGCUAUGUGUGGAUUGCAACUGACUGGCUGUCUGCAUAUCUUGAUGCUAAUUCAUCAGUUCCUGCUGAGACUAUAUCUGGCCUGCAAGGUGUUCUUACUUUACGGCCACAUAUCCCCAACUCAAAGAUGAAGAGUAAUUUGGUCUCCAAAUGGAACAAGCAAAGUAAAAAGUCCAACUAUAGUGAUCUUCGUGUAAAUACUUACGGUUUUUAUGUUUAUGAUAGUGUCUGGGCAGUAGCUCGGGCUCUGGAUGCCUUCUUUGAUGAUGGUGGUCGGAUUUCCUUUUCAAAUGACUCGAUGUUGCAUGAUGAAACUGGAGGAACUCUUCACCUUGAAGCAAUGAGCAUUUCUGACAUGGGAAAUAAAUUAUUGGAGAAGAUUAGAAAGGUAAACUUCACUGGGGUGUCUGGGCAAGUGCAAUUCGAUGCUGGAGGCAACCUAAUUCAUCCUGCAUAUGACAUCAUAAACAUCAUCGGAAAUGGCAUGCGGACCAUUGGUUUUUGGUCAAAUUAUUCUGGCUUGUUGUCGACUGUCUCUCCAGAGGCUCUAUAUUCAAAGCCUCCUAAUAUUUCUCUCGCUGAUCAGCAUCUCUAUGAUGUUAUUUGGCCUGGGGAGACUGCACAGAGGCCUCGAGGAUGGGUUUUUCCUUCUAAUGCCAAGCAGUUGAAAAUUGGUGUUCCCAACAGAUUUAGUUUCAAAGAGUUUGUCACGAAAGACAAUUCUACUGGGUCAAUGAAGGGUUAUUGCAUCGAUGUCUUUACUCAGGCAUUGGCUUUGCUUCCUUAUCCUGUUAGUUACAAGUUUGUACCUUUUGGGAAUGGUACUGAAAAUCCUAAUUAUGACAAACUCGUACAGAUGAUUGAAUCAAAUGUAAGUAUGGAAUGCCUUUUUUCUUCCUCUAACCAUUUCAUCAUCUUUAUCGAAAAAACCAUUUCAUCAUACCAUGCUGACCAGGGGGGGUCUUAUCCUGCAGGAAUUCGAUGCCGCUAUAGGGGAUAUCGCAAUUACAAUGAGGCGGACAGUAACUUUAGAUUUCACCCAGCCAUUCAUUGAAACAGGCUUAGUUAUCUUGGCUCCGGUUAAACAGCAUAUAACAUCGUCCUGGGCAUUCUUGCAGCCAUUUACUUUGCAGAUGUGGUGUGUUACAGGGUCGUACUUCCUUAUUGUGGGUGUGGUUGUUUGGGUUCUUGAACAUCGGAUCAAUGAUGAUUUCCGUGGUUCAGUACGUCAACAAAUAAUAACUAUUUUCUGGUAAGGAGCUGACUUGCACCUUUUGUAUCGUCUUCUUGUAGUAUAUCAUUCCUGUUUUCUUAGAAAUGUUGAUGUUUCGACAAGUCUUGUGCAAUAUGUUUGCAUACAGCAAGCACCUCAGAACAGUUGCCAGUUAACAUACCCAAAUGAAGCAUCUAGUGAUUACCAAGGAACUACUCCCUCUGUUCACUUUUAUAAGGCCUUGAAGACAUUUCAGACAAGGUGCAAAGUAGCUCAUUUUCAGUUGUCUGAAACGACUUAUAAAAGUGAGCGGAGGGAGUAUUAUCUUAAUGGUCUUGUGAAACGUAUAUAUGCACAGUAUGUAUUCGCUUAAUGAUAUUUAUGAUGCAUUGCUCAAUUUUUUUUUCUGUUUUCACAUACUUCUCCACAUGUAUUACAAAUGUUCUUAUCAUGGCGUGAUUCCUUGCUCUCAGAUGUGAUUAUAAUUUCUAUUUUUAUUGCCUGCAGGUUCAGCUUUUCGACGUUGUUCUUUGCACACAGUGAGUAAACCAACCUUCUCUAUUAUGUGUUUUUUUGGCCAUAGGUAACAUUUUGUUCUGAGGCAUGGCUCGUGAUUUCAUCUGUAUCUGCCCGCAGGAGAAAAUACUAUGAGCAGCUCAGGGCGUGGUGUCCUGAUCAUAUGGCUGUUUGUUGUUUUGAUAAUUGUAUCCAGCUACACCGCGAGUCUUACUUCCAUCCUGACCGUGCAACAACUUGAUACUUCUAUAAAAGGAAUCGAUGACCUGAAAAGUAGCAAUGAUCCUAUUGGUUUCCAAGUUGGUUCUUUUGCACAAGACUACAUGGUCAAGGAGCUCAACAUCUCACGUUCAAGGCUGAGAGCUCUCAGUUCACCACAAGAAUACGCUGAAGCCCUCAAGCUAGGCCCCAAGGAAGGAGGUGUUAUGGCCAUUGUUGACGAGCGCCCCUAUGUUGAACUGUUUUUGUCAACCUACUGCAAGAUUGCGGUAGCUGGCACAGAUUUCACCAGCAGAGGAUGGGGCUUUGUAAGUACAUUUGAACCAUAUUCUUUAAUGUAGAUUUGAAUAUGAGAACAAAAUAUUUUGAAGUUAAUAUCCUGGAAUAGCAGUUUUAACUUUGAAUAGUUGUGUCAACUAUCUAGUUUAUUAUGCAACUUCAUUUGCACCUGUCUGCGGCUGCAAGUCUAAAAUCUACACCUACUUUGUUUCACAAAUCAAAAUGUAGCGCCUUACAAGUUCAUUCUACCAGGCAUUUCCAAGGGACUCCCCUUUGCAAGUAGACCUCUCCACCGCAAUCCUGUCAUUGUCAGAGAAUGGGGAACUGCAGCGAAUCCAUGACAAGUGGCUCAAGACAGGGGAGUGCGCAACUGACAACAGCGAGUUCGUUGACUCGGACCAGCUCCGCCUUGAGAGCUUCCUUGGUCUGUUCCUAAUCUGUGGCGUUGCAUGCAUCCUCGCGUUGCUAAUCUACUUUGGUAUCAUGCUACGCAAAUACCUGAGGCAUGACCAGAGGAAGAGCCUGAGAAGAUUCAUCUCAUUCGUCCAUGGCAAGGAUCCGCCGAAGAACAACGAGAGGCGGUCCAUGAGCCUGCUUGGAAGCUCGACGCCGGCAACGCCGAUGAGCAGCCUUACUACCCUUGAGAUAGAAAGGCCGGCCAGGGAAGUCAGAAAUGGCAGCGUUAUUGAAAUGGAAAGCUAGUUCAUGUGUACAAAGCUAGUUUGUGCGUUAUCUCUCAAGGCAGCUGGGUAACUGUUUUGUGUGAAGCAACAAUACGGCCGACUAACCUAGGUCCCGGUAACCUAGGUUGGAAAGCCAAACACCAGGGAUGUAUAGAGGGGUUUCAAAUACUUCUUAAAGGAAGGAUUGAUAAUAAAAAUUAAAAAUAUCGAAAUGCUCCUCUCUCCCACAUAGAUCACUUUAUUCUUUGCAUGACUGUAUUUUUUGGGGAUAUCUUGCCACUUCAGAGUUGGCGUUUGGUGGUGUGAUCUGUGCAUGUGUUCAAUUGCGCGUAGUGUGGUUAUUCCAAGUUAGUACGAUUGUGUCACUUCAGUUUGAUAGUAUGCAGGGACAGAACCUGCCGGCUGCAGCUAGUACGGUUUGAUAUGUGACGAUGCCUGUAGAUUGUGGUACUAAACUUUGAUGCUUGUUCAUAAACUAGUUUAGAUGGAGCCACCCAAAAGAUAUGUUAGUUUUUCUUUUUUUGGCUUAGAUACUCUGUUUUGUCUGUGUUCUGUUCAGGGCAACUUUGAAGCUUAUCUUAGGGUGGUGGACAGAAAAAUGUUUAGCACCUUCCACAACUCAUAAGGAAGAUAAUUAAAAAGAGUGUAGGAAGAAAUAGUUAUGAUCUUAUUAGGAAAGCUAAGAAGAAAGCCAACACUAGGUUUUUGUUUUUCUAACUCUAUGGCUACACUGUAAAAUUAUUUAUAGAUUAGCUCCAAUUGAUGCAAAUCUUUUUGGUGGGUCUGGGAUGCGACUGAGUCAGAUCAAUCCCAAGUUACUCCCUCCGUCCCAUAAUAUAGGAUGUUAUUACAUCUAAUAUGUGAGCAUAUUAGGUGUAAUAACGUCUUAUAUUAUGGGACAGAGGGAGUAGCUACUUGUCUCUCUCAAAUUUUACUGGAACACCGAGGCACUGGUCUCAAAAGUGGAAAUUCUUGCAGGUUUGUAAUGCAUCUGUUUUGGUCCUUGCGUUCACCUCUGAGAAAUAUACCAUACCAAUCACAAUUUUUGUUAGUAAUGGAGUGGUAGGCAGAUGCAAAACCAAGCAAUCAUUUUCCUUCUAAAGACACUUGUAAAAGCAUCAUGAGUGUCUAUUCUAAUGGAGUGGUAUACAGACAUAUAAUUGUUGCAGGGAUGCUGCAACUUCCUGGAGCAAGGCCAUAGUGGUACUAGGUUUGUCUAUUCUAGUGAUACUGGGUUUUCUUUUCUGAUUUCUUCUAAUUUAAUAGUUAUGCCAGCUACAUUAUGAGUGCCAGCUCUGCAGUAACUUUUUUUGCGAGGCAUAACAACUGGAUUAUUGUUCAUACAGGGAAAACAGAAACGAGUAUGAGUGCCUUUUUAUUUAAUUUAGUCAUAAUAGUUGACUUAAAAUAUUGUAUAUUAAAUGUGGGUAGGAGAUUCCUGUAUUUUUAUUGAAAACGGAACAGCAACAAUAGGAAGAGUUUUUUUUUUACAUGAUGGAGCGAUUAUUUUCCUAAGAAAAAUAUAUAAUGUAUAUAUAUAUAUUUCUCAUUCUGUUCAAUACCUGGUUUAGGAAGAGCUCUUUUUCCUAUGCAAAAUGUAUAACAUGUAUGUUUAUAGUUCUGAUUGCAGGCAUAUUCGUCGCGCUCGCCCUGUGUCUUGACGUUCCGCGAGGGACCAAGCGGGAUACGCCACGGGUUUUGCUGUUACUAAGAUACUUCGAUAUCAGUAGCACCUGUUCUAUUUAUCUGUCUUUUUUUGUGUUUUGACGCACAGCCUGCUCUGUUAUACAUAGUUACUGGCAUGACUGGUUUCAUCGCUGUUCGCUCUGUGUGUAAUGGAGAAGUAGAGCCGAUAAGUAAGCCUGCUUACCUAGUCCCUUUUGUUUAGUCCUGGGAUGAGAGAAAAUAACUGACAAUCUGGACCAGCCUGCCUUUGAAGUGCGAAACUUGUUUGUCACUGACUGUUUUCGCGAUUGGCAGUUGCUGGAGUUCACUGAGUCGAUAGUCGGAGAGGACGCAGAACAGGAGAGCAAAAAGGUGGAUUAGGGCUUUCCCUAAGGUGUGCUUUCAGGUAUUUUCAGUUUUCUUGUUAAGGAAUCAAGUUAUGAUUUUGUCUGUCAAGACCCUAUAUUCAUGGAGUGAGACGUUGUUCUGAAUUCCGACGCACUCAGAAAGUUUCGUCGCGGAAUUUCUUCUGGAAAAUAUGUGUAUGUAUUCCAGUUGUAUCAUUAGUAACCCAAGGCCAUAUAUAUAGCACGAAGAAUGUUUUCUUGAUUCGUUCGGUCUGACAAGACAUACAUAUAUUCUGCCGUGAAGCGAAUUAGGUUCGUUGCUGACCGGCAAAGUAAGGGCCGUUUCUGCAUCUAUAUAGGCUAGCUAGGCAAUCUGCCCUCAAGGUUGGGGGGAGUUGGAGAUUGGGGUCUCGAAUUGAGCUUAUAUUAGAAUCCUUUGAUUGGCUCAGAGACAUGGGAAUUAAGGAGCCAAGGGGAAGAGGAAUUAAGAGGCCCAGCUCCCUCAGAUUUCUUCCCUGGACGACCCCUGGUAAUUGAACUAGGGAUCGGGAAUCGACAGAAAAAGAUACUACUGACGUGCUGUUAGUUGGGCACGUUUGUAAGGGAAAGGCAUCAUUAAAAGUUGCUUAUUCCUCUGCCUAUGCCCACCAACCAAAUAGUGGUAGUUAACUCGCUUUUAAAUUCUCAAUUCUAAUUGCCUUCACAUACCAAACAGAGGAAUGGGACUUUAAAAUCAAUGUCCAUGUCUAAUGCCUUGGCAAACUCCCAUUCUCUCUCCCUCUAUUGCUGCCGAACACGCUGUAAAAUGAAGUCAUUUCUGCUAAUCCAGAUGCUCCAGGCUGCCAAGAUAAUCGAUUCCAGUUCCAUACCUGAUUUAGCAACAACUCUUUUUCCUAUGCAAAAAGUAAAAUCUAUACCAUGCUUCUAGUUCCGACUGCAGGCAUGUUCGUCGCGCUCGCACCAAGAGCUGUCGCUUCAACAACGCUUUUCUGGGAUACGCCACAGGCCUGCCAGUAAAAAGAUGGUGGCGACGAACUGGUUUCGAGCCACACAGGUCAGUUCUGCCAUUACUAAUACAUCAUGGCAUCUUGUUGCUCUCGGUCGAUGCCCUGUCAUCUCUGGAAAAAAUAUCAGCAGCACCUGUUUUGUUUCCGAAUUGUUGUUGGGUUUUGAUGCGCAGCCUGCUCUGUUGUAGCACAUCGUUCCUGGCGUGUGGCUGGUUUUGUUGCCGUUCACUCUCCGUUGAAUGGAGAAGUGAAAGCGGGCAAGUAAGCCUGUAUACCUUUUCCCUUUUAUGUAAUUCUGUAGUCCAUUGAUUCUUGAUCUGACUGUGUAGACAAGGGAGAAUGUCACCGUACUGUUCGCUGGUGACUCGCCCAUGGCAAGUCACCUGAUCUCAAUCUCCCCCAACCCCACCUCACCACCCACAAUGAUAAUUUUGUUUUCGAGACAUCUAUAAUACGUAAAUAGUUCAUCCCUACUAUGUUAUUUCUCUUGACAUGCAGUCUAUCCACCUCAGCACAGCUGCCACAUCCGCAUUUUAUUAGUGGCUUACAUGUGGGACCCACCACAGGUUGACCAGGGUACAGAACAACCACAUCAUCAUUCGGUUACCAGCUGUAGAGACCCACCACUGCCUCCACAGUGUAAACCAACGGGGUACAGAACCUCAAAGAAGAACAGCGUACAGACAACCGUCCCUCUCCCUCGAUUCAGCCGAAUCCACGAGCCCCUUUCCCACUGUUACACUUUACACACCGGCGCGGCGGCCGGGAUCCCAUCUCACGCCCCUCCGGCAGGACCACCACCCGGGCUUCCCUCUGCAAUUUAGCCGAACCCAUUCACCCCCUUUUCCCCUGUGUACAGCCCGGCGCGGCGGCCGGGAUCCCAUCUCACGGCCCUCCGGCGGUACCACCGGCUCGGCUCCCCUCUGCUGUUCCCCGGGGACCGCUAGGGCUAUGAUCCCCUUCUACGUGUGGUGCCAUGGUCUGGAGCUAUUUCCGUGGUGCCAAAUCCAGACCGCGCACCUAUUUUAGCCACCGCUGCCCCCACGGGUCAGCGUUCUCUCAUCAUGAUCUCCCCCGGGUGAACGCCUCUCUCUUUUCUGGUGUUCUUGGUGUUCUUGGUUUUAAGUCAAGCUGCGUGCACAGUUGUACAUUACGGGGUUGAUUCACAUAUAUGUGUAUCCUUUUACAAGUCUGGCGUUUGUUUGCAACUAGAUAUAUAAACACCGUGUGUCCAUAUGGUUGGGGUACGGAUUUAGAGAACACCAUUGUUGUUAGAGAUUUCAUCAGAAUACAAUGUAUUGGGUUGUUGACAGAUAUCUUUUCAACAACAUUGGCCUGCUUAGUACAUGAUAUCUUUAGCGUAGCUUUAUUUAUCUGAUUUUUUUUCCUGAUUGGCAAAUUUGAUAACUAAAAAUCUCUUUUUCAUCAGGUCACUGCGGAAGAUUAUAAUUGUUUCUAAUCCCGCUCUCUAUAUACUCCCAAGGUAUGACCUUUUGAACUAUUGUGUAGUUUCGUUUCAGCAGUAAAAGUUCAGAAACCCCAAUUUAGGGCCUGUUCGUAUUCACUCCACUCCGUCAGAUCCUUAGCUCCACUCCCAGCUCCUAGGUUGCUAGCUCCACAGGGCAAACGAGGAGCAGACAACUUGUUCGGCAACUAACUCCACUCUGCACUCUGGAUUACAGGCCCCCCACAACACAUCAAGCUGGUUUGAUACUGGUCAGUACGUGGAUCACUUGUUGUGCCAAUGAUGCAACACAGUGCAGAAAAAAUGCACAAAUAUGCUGAGUUUACUGAAAAUAAUGCUGAAGUUUCACACAUAAUUUUUUUGUGCAAAAAUUCACUUUAUCGCACAAGAACGAUUCAGCAUGAGUUUGCUGAAAUUACAUGAUUUUAGCAACAUAGACAAAUAGGAUUUUUCAUAAGAUAAACACAAACAAAGGCAGCAUAAACACAUGUACUUUGUAGACAUCACUCUAGUCCAGUGGAGGUCCUGCAGAAACAAUUUUCAACACAUGAAAACCUUUAUGCAAUGCUGGUGAUUGCUUGAAUAGAACCAAAAACAUAUAUACUCUGCUUCGGAUGGUUUCACCUACAAAAUUACGAAAUUUGUUAAUAGGUACAGAUACAUAUCAAUUGUGAAAGAAGCAAAUCAUGUUGUGAUUGAACUAGCUAAGAACAUCUUCUGGAUUCUAGACUUAUGCAUCUUGCUACAAGGAAAUAAAUGACAAGUAAUAUUGUGACUAAUAUUUCAGCUACUGACAAAGACAGUGAACAGUUUCGACAUGUUUGGAGACAACAUUCACUUGUUUAACUUUACGACCAGUCAUCUAUGAGAAAGCAUGAAUUUAUCAAGCAAGGUAAAAACUAAAGAAUUGUAGCAAAUAAAAACACAUGAAUGCUGUAGAAACUAGUAUACUCACAUUUAUAGCAGAACUGGAAGUCACCAACCAAGAGCAAUAUCAGUUGCUAGUCUAUUACGGAACCGGUCCAUGUCUUUAUCACUAGUCUCCGAGGUUGACGCAUCCGAUGCAUUCGGAGGGAUGGCAUACCGUUGAUACCUUGAAGGGAUAGUUGGGACAUAGUUGGGAUCUCUGUCGACUCGAAGAAAGUGAAGAUCCCCCUUAUCAUGAUAUCGAACGUAGUUGUGGAGGGCCAUAGUUGCAGCCACUAUCAUCUUUUGAGUUUCAACUGAAUAAUUGGGCAUCUUUAGUAGAAUCUGCCACUUCAUUUUCCACACACCAAACGCUCUCUCGAUCACAUUACGCUUGGAUGAGUGUAUCUCGUUAAAUUUCUCCUUAGGUGUUCUUGGCGCCACACCUCGUUGAAAAUCAGGCACGUGGUACCUUUCCCCCUUGUAAGGUGCGAGAUAUCCAGGUCUAUUAGGAUAGCCCGCGUCCACAAGAUAGUACUUACCUACAAACAACAAGCAGAUUGCAUGUAAGGCCUAUGAUUUGUUUACAGAAUUUAAAUAAAAGAAAUUAUUAUAGGAACUACUAACCCUUUGGAGGAUGAGGGAAGGUAUCUUUGUCAGCUUCAAUUGCAUGAUACAAGACACCGGUAUCAUGCAUAGAGCCGGGUUGACCAACUGAAGUGUACAUGAAAUGCAUGUCAAAAUCACAUAUUGCCAGAACAUUCUGUGUUGUUGAUCCUGACCUUCCAAUGUAUCUAACUUCAUCGCCAGCAGGAAUGGUAGCUCUGACGUGAGUACCAUCUAGUGCGCCGAUGCGGUCCUUAAGAUGUGGAUAAGCCCUUCUAUCCUUUUGAAUCCUUGGGUGCACACUACUAAAGUUUGGGUCCUUAGGUUUCAGGUAAUCUGCUGCCAUCUUAAUCACACAGAGUAAAACCUCAUGAAACUUCCGGUGGACUGUAUCUCCUGAGUGCUUGAAACGAUUUUGUGUUCUCCUAUUAGACUCGCAACCCCCUAAAGUCCACAAGAACAUUGCAAGCGCCUCAUAACUGCUCACGAAACAGGUUGAUUUGAAGCCAUACCUUUUGACCAACAAGUCAUGCAAUUGAAAGAAGAGGCGUGCGUUCAUCCUCAACAUGGUAUAUGUUUCUCCAGGUGUUGACACUGUCUCUUGCAGCCAUCCGAACCCACUAAGAAUAGAAUUCCUUGGGUCUGCCUUGAUCAAAUAGUUGUCACAGUACUUCCCUGCAAGUGUUGAUGCACUGGCAUAGAUGUUGGACAUUGAUUGGACAUGGUGGCAUACCCUCUUCUUCCUUUCUUCAUAACUAUCACUAUCAUUGUCACUAUCCGAUGACAUCUGAACAUACACAAGUAACAACAAUUAGUACUUAAUUAUCAACCAGAUUAGUCAUAGCAGAAAGAUAAGUAAGAAUCAUAUGUAACAUUAAAGACAAGUCAUAUGUAACAACAUUUAUCAUGUAACCAUCAGCAAGAUGAGUCAUAGCAGUAAUAUAAGUAAAAUUAUACAUUAAUUGCAAGCAUUACAAUUUAACACAUAUCGAUGAACAAUCAUCAACCAUGCUCCUAGUUACAUACCAGCAAAGACCAUGGUGAAAAAGAAUCAGCACAGCUACUGUAGUACAAACAAAUAAUAAUGUCUUAAGAAAAUCCUGAAACAAAUAAUAAUUUCUUAAGCAAUCUCAAUACUAACAUAUUUCAAAGACAAGUAAUAUUGACUCAACUGCACUAGCUAGAGUUUAUGAGCAUCGGAGCAGAUAUCAUAUCCUAUUCUCUCGCUAAAGGAAAAAUAAUAGUUACAGGUUAUAGGCAGAGAAGGGGUUCACUAGCUAGUUCACUCCAUCCAUGUCAAUCAAGGCAAAUAAAAGAAACAGAUGCAAUACGUAUAUGUUUGCAACAUCCAUGAUAAUCAUGUAGUGUGUAUUUGUUAUCUCUGAAGAAAAGGAAACUCUAUCUGUCUCUAUGCACUCUGUCGCUCAUCUCCUUUCUAUACCAACUCCCCUAAUUCAUCCCCUUCCUCUCAAUUUCCUCACAUAAUCCUUGCAGGAAUUAUAGACAUGUUGUACUACUACUUACUGGAAUCAAGAACCAAGAAUCAAGAACACCUGGAACUAUUCAGGAAUAUGAAUCAAGAACAGUAGAGGAACAAGGGUGAAGAGGAGAUAUGGAUCUCACCUUGAUGGAUGUGAUGUAGGCGUGGAUGCCGACCUUGCAAACGACGAAUCCGAGCUGCCGGGGACGAGGACGAGGCCCUGGUGAUCUCAGCCGCCAGAGGUCCACUCAAACCGUAUGCCCUCAAAGUGGUUGCCGAACAGAAAAGCCGCCUUGGAUGAGGAGGGGGGCGAGGAGAUGGCGAGGUCGCAGGGGCAUGGAUUUGGCCGAAGGGGAGCUGGGGAUCCGCGGCGGCGGGGUGGCGGCGGGCGGCGGCGCAGCGCUAGGGUUCCAUGGUCACGGGAGGACAGGGGAGUCGCUGCACGGGGGAGAGAGAAAAGGAUCGAGUGAAGCGGUAAGUUGUGCGGGGAGUGGCACGCGGAGCUCGGUUUCGCUGACUCCGCUGAAUUGAACUACGGUCUUGUCCGCUCCGCUCUUCCUACUUCGUGGAGUCGGACCGUUCGGCACUGCUCUGUCCGCUCCGGGAGCAGAGUCGGGGAGCGGAGUGAAUCCGAACACGCCCUUAGUUAAAAAAAAGUUCUAAACUCUCAAAUAGCCUGCGAGCAGAAUGUUGCAGGCUUUGUCCGGCGUUGCCAGAUACAUGUUGUGAGUGGUAUCUGUUUCCUUGACUACAAAUUCAGAGUUCAUUUGAAUUCUUGCCACCGGUCUUUGUGUUAGAGCCAACAUCACUGCAUCUGUGGGCGACAGCACACACCACUUGCAGUUGCUACCUUCUCUCUUUCAAGCUCGGCAUCAGUAGUGUGCCUUCCUGGUCCAACAACUGGUGUUUUCUCUCUGAUGACUCUCCAAUCUGCAUAUUGGAUUUUGUUCCCUGCUCGUGCUAAACAAAGAGUGGCCCUUGGACCAUUGCCUGCCUGACAUGGAUGUACCCCCGUUUUAAUCUGAAGAAUUCAGUAUUGGUGUUUAAUUCUGUAAAUUUUUAUUUUACAUUUUUUUGAUCCAAACUUGCUAGGUUUCCUGACGAUGUGUGGUAAGACGUCUUUUAUCAAGCCAUUUUGGAAUUCUUAAGAAGGUAAGGAUGUUUCUCUCUUUUGUAACAUUUAGAAUAUUUUUCAGCUAGUUGUAGCUAUUUUUACUUGCUUUACCCAGUUAUUUUUCUGCAAUGAUUGGCCAUAUUAAUUCCCUCUAUCUAAUUCCGUCAACUAGAUCAUGCGCGGGUUCGAACAGAUUUAUGAAAUUGCUAUUUUUUUCUGAUAGUAACUCGGGUAUAACACCUAUUGUAGUACGGUUAUGUUAUAGUAGAUAUAGGCCCUGUUUGGUUCAGCUUUUAUCGACGGAUUCCGCUGUCGCGCAGCAGAAUCUGAACCAAAGGGCGAACCCAGCAAAAUCCGAUUCCAGAAAUCCGCGGCCAAAAUCUGAACCAAAAGCGGAAGCAACCCAGGACGUGCUUUCCAAAAUCUGAUUCCGCUGCGGGCCAAAAUCUGAAAAAGCUGUAUCAGCUGGUUUGCCAAAUGACCCACAUCUUUUUCACAUCAGAUUUUCCACAACUAUUUUUCCACAGCAGAUUUUUCACAGCUGCUUUUAGAAAUCCACAACCGAACCAAACAGGGCCAUAAGGAGAAGUUGUUUGAUUUCAUGUGGUGACCCCCCUUUGCCCAAAAAUUACUGAUAGCAUUUUGUUUUUUGUUUGUUUCAUAUGGCAUCAUUCUAUUAUUUCCGGCAGUAUUUAGACUAAAUUGGAGAGGGAGAACAAACUUGAUACACUAAGCAAGCAAUGUCGGUCAUCUGAGGGCUUGGGCGCCUGUUGUUCCAAGUUCGCGAGGUACUAAGAGCAUCUCCAGCCGUUGGCCCCCCUAGGACGCGUAAAAAUCGCCCCCCGGGGGCGAGCCGGCGACACAAUCGGCGCUGGGGGCGGUUUUGCGCCCAGUCAUCGCCCCCAGGUGCCGAAAUUGGCCCACUUUUCAGCCCCAUUUCGGCGAAUAAAGGGCCCAUAUGGGCGAGAAUAGGCCCAUAUUCGGCGUGGUUCGCCGUGGCUCGGCGUUCAAUUAUCAAUGUAAUUUUUUUCUUAUAACAUAUUUCAUCACAGAAAAAUCAAAUACUUCAACAAAACAGUACAACAACAAAUAGUUCAAUACAAAUUAUAUAGUUCAACAAAUAAAAACUCAUAUUUCAUCACACGUCGCGCCCGGCGUCCCCCUUGAGCCUCCAUAGGUGCUCAAUCAGAUCUUUCUGCAGUUGAUGAUGCACCUGUGGGUCUCGGAUCUCCUGACGCAUACUGAGAUAGGGAGUCCAGGUUGCCGGUAGCUGGUGAUCAACUUCGGCUAGAGGACCCUGCCUGUAGUAUGGUUCAGUGUCUAACACUGGGUCUUCUUGCUCGCUCUCGAUGAUAAUGUUGUGCAAGAUGAUACAGCAAGUCAUAAUCUCCCACAUUUGAUCUUUCGACCAGGUUUGAGCGGGGUACCGGACAACAGCAAAUCGAGAUUGGAGCACACCAAAUGCCCGCUCGACAUCUUUCCUGCAAGCCUCCUGAAUCUUCGCAAACCAGGCGUUCUUGCCUCCUGGCACAGGGUUUGAGAUCGUCUUCACAAAUGUCGACCAUCUUGGAUAGAUGCCAUCAGCUAGAUAGUACCCCUUGUUGUAGUGCCGCCCAUUGGUCUCGAAGUUCACCGGAGGAGAAUGACCUUCAACAAGCUUGGCAAAGACAGGAGAGCACUGCAGCACGUUGAUGUCAUUGUGAGUUCCUGGCAUACCAAAGAAGGAGUGCCAAAUCCAGAGGUCCUGUGUGGCCACCGCCUCAAGUACCACACUGCAACCGCCUUUGGCGCCUUUGUACAUCCCCUGCCAAGCAAAUGGGCAAUUCUUCCAUUUCCAAUGCAUGCAGUCGAUGCUUCCAAGCAUCCCAGGAAAUCCUCUUGCUGCAUUUUGUGCUAGGAUCCGAGCAGUGUCUUCCGCAUUGGGUGUUCUCAAGUAUUGCGGUCCAAACACAGCCACCACUACCCGACAGAACUUGUAGAAGCAUUCUAUGCUGGUGGACUCGGCCAUGCACCCAUAGUCGUCGAGUGAAUCACCGGGAGCUCCGUAUGCAAGCAUCCUCAUCGCUGUCGUGCACUUCUGGAUCGAGGUGAAUCCAAGUUUGCCGGUGCAAUCCAUCUUGCACUUGAAGUAGUUGUCUAACUCCCGGAUGGAAUUCACAAUCCUGAGGAAGAGCUUUCGGCUCAUUCGAUAACGGCGCCGAAAUGUUUUGUCGCCGUGAAGUGGAGCAUCGGCGAAGUAGUCGGAGUAGAGCAUGCAGUAGCCUUCGAGACGAUGCCGGUUUUUUGCUUUCACCCGCCCCGGCGCCGAGCCACCUCGCCGCGGCUUUUCAUUGCUCACCAGCAGCUGGGCGAGGGCGGCGAGCACCAUCAGAUGCUCUUCUUCCUGGACGUCGGCCUCGGCUUCCUCCUCCAGCAACCCGGCGAGCGCUUCCUCGUCAUUCGAGUCCAUCGCCGAGGCAGACAAAUCGCCGAACACCUUGCGCUCAGUGGGCGUGCACCCGCCGCUAAACUGCCCCUCUGCGGCCGGAAACGCCCAGCUGCUGUUGGAGGGGCUGCCGCGACAAACCUCUGCUAUUUUUCCGGCGGGGAAUGGCUAUCUAGCGGUGAAGGGCGGCGGGCGGCGCCGGGAUAUAGCUAGUGGCGGCCGAGGGCGCGGGGGGUGGAAGGCGAGUUGGGGAAGAAAAUCUUGACUUUUCACCUGAGGGUGUGGGCCAGCAGCGCUUUUCCCUUGCGCCGGAGCCCCCGAUCGCCCCCCAGUGCGCCGGGUUCGGCCUGCGCGCGCCGGGCGGAAAAAAGGGCCGAACCGGCGCUUUUCGUCGUCCUGGGGGCGCGACCAGGGCGUUUUUUUGGCGCCGACGCCGAAAAAGUGGCCUGGGGGGCCUGUUGGGGGUGCAGCUGGAGAUGCUCUAACUGUACUUUGAGGAAUAUCAUUUAGUGUCUGCCAAAGUCUAUUGAUGCGUGUACAGAAUAUCAACAAACGUAACAUACUCAUUCAUUGUAAUGUAAUACAAGAAUAUUUGAAUCUAUUGUAUCAAAAUGUGAUCUAUACAGUAACAAGUUGUGCGAAAAUCUAAAUGGUCAAGAUAUUUUUUUUUUGCGAGUAAUCUGAAUGAUCGAGAUGAUUGCUAUAUCUCUCUUUUUCACGGGCUGAGACUGCUGUGUCAGCUGGACUUUCUCUCAUCCCAAUGCUUGAGCGGACGACCAUGAUUUAGGGUGCAGCUGAGUGUGGGCACCAAAAUGCCCGUCCCCUUAAAAUUAUGCUAUUUAUAUCACCUUCCGUGAUGUUGUCUGUGAUAUUGGGUUGUUCUCAUCUAACACAAUUUUUCAGCAUAUCAUCGUGGUUCAUUAAUUCUCGACAUUUCUAUGAAAAAUCGUUUCUAGAUGAUGCAAAAGUUCACAUGUCUUUAUAUUAAUCAUGUGUACUUGGAAACAGGGUUUAGUUGUUCGUAUUGUCAUGGACUUUCAACAAUUAUCUAUAGUUUUCCAACUGAGGUUUCGAGCAUUUUCUUAUAAUUUAACAUGUGUUCCCACAGCAACGCCCGGGGUGUCAUCUAGUUAACUUGAAUGGCUGGUAGCGUUUUCUAGUACAAUCCAUUCACGGUUUGUCGAUGCAGAGUAUUCAUGAAUGAUUAACCAGUGCUCGGAUUAAGUUCAUGUAACUUUUUAUUUGAAAUAGGCAGACAACUUUCUUGAUGAUAUUUUUACUUCACACGGAAGGGGGCAUGUGUCAGUGAGCAUUACUGUUGUGCAUCUCUCACAGAACAAACCUACAUUUUAAGUCAAAUUCUGAAGAAAAAAAUCUGCACACAAACAUAGAGACGUACUAGCUAAACCCGCGCGGCGACACGCCGCGCUUGUUGAUUAAUCACGACUGUAUAUGUCGACUACGGGCUAAGCAGUAGAUUAAUGAAUAAUCAUCUGUUGUUAAUUAAAGAGAUCCAGAACAAUACAUAAAAAGGCCGAAGAUGACAAAUAACUGAAUUUAUUAUCGCCAUGCAAAUGCAUGGAUACAAACAGAACGGUUAACAUUGACAUAUCUCUAAGGAAAACUAUUUAUUGAAACCAUAUAGAGCUCACUCUAUGCAGUAAACAGUAUACAGUGCUAUUAUUUUACAAAACAACAACUAAACUUUUUUUGUAAGUUCUUUAUUAUCUGACAUACAAACAUUAAUAAGACUUGCUUCAUUUACAUGAAACAACAAAGGGUCUCGAGGAAUAACAUAUGUAGCUUAGCUUGUGCAUGAUGAGCAGCAAUACACUCCAGCUGCAUGAAGUCAUGUAGUCUCUUGGGUAGCACUAAAGCUAACACAUUGCACUUGUGGAAAGGAGACCGUAGGCAGGUCAUGGCGUUUAUGCUGAGCUUGUGCAAGAUGUGCUCAAGGUACGUACGUGGGGUUGUUGCCAACGGGUAGCUGAAUACCCCAUUACCAUUCUCACAGAACCUGGACGAUCACACCUCCUAAUCGUACACCUACACGAAACACACGGGGAAUAAGAAUUAAGAAUCAAGAGAAAGAUGUCCAAGCAAGCAACCAUGCAGGCAACAGGUGGCCAUUUCAUGUAAAAUCCAUGCACACGUAGUCACAUCGCCUGCCAAUCCCAUGCACACAGCCACAUCAGCCCGAUGAUAGCCCACCUCUAAAAAAAAGCUGCAUCGGCCUGAGCCCCCCUCUAAAAAAAGAAAACGGCAUCGUCCCGACAACCAUGCCCCACCGCUGCAUGCGGCUACUGAUUCCGGACCAAACAAUAUAUGGUGUAAACAAUCAGGGGUGAACAUUUUUGAGAAUUUUAAAUAUUGUAAGGGAAAAUAUUUUAUUCAAGAUAUUUUUUCCUAAAAAAAAUUUAUGUUUUUGAUUAUAGUUUAUAGACGACUAUGCUUCUAUUUGGAGAAAAAAGGUUUGAAAAGGGGUUGUGCACGAUAAGAGUAAAAUUAUUUUUUGGAGAGAACGCCCGUACUUCCAACUAACCAUGCAAGCAAAAAACAAUACGUACGACAAGGUUAUGACAGUACCCCAGACCUCUAUGUAAAGCUAGAUGGAACCAUCUGUAAAAAUCAAUCACAGUUGACGGACAUUCAACAUUGAAUAUAAAUGAGUCCCAAGCCUGAGAGAUUGAAGUUCGAUAUCAAAAAUUAUUAUAUACCAGGAAAAAGAAAAAUAGAUAAACCAACAAAUUACCCAGAGCUUAGAAGAUAACCGCUACACUUCCACAAUUCAUGCAGCAUCAGCACGCUGAAGAUCUUUUUUUUUUAAGCUAGCACGCUGAAUAUCUGGCGUAAGAAGAAGUGAUUAACAAAGCCAAGCAGCCAGACCUCUCCGUUCGCCAAAACUGUGAGGAAACCAGAAAAUGAAACUACCUGCAGUGAAAAGAGCUGUGCUGCUGGCGACAACUGCAAAGGUGUAACGCGAACUUCAUGUGCACCCGCUCUAACCCAGGACCUAGAGGGGAUGGAAGUCUCGGGCUCUGGUGACCCUGGGGACGCGCCCCCGCCCCCGGCGGGCGCCGCGGCCGGCGUUUCCUCCCCGCCCGGCUCCUCGUCGGACCCUCGCCCGGCUUCCCCGCCUCCUGCGUCGCCUGCCUCCUCGCCGCUCCCGUCCUCCCUCGAGGUGUUGCCGCGGAUCCGUUGGGCGGACCUCGCCGAGGAGGACGAACCCCCCUGGCCGACUGCCCUGGCCCCUCCCGUCCCCCCCGCCCCCCUCCCCCCGUUCGUGCGUCGCCGACCAGCGUGGCCGCUGGCUCAGCCUCCCAUUGCGGAGGUUCUGCCUCCGGCUCGCGGCGGCGCGCGCAGAACCGGCCAAUGAGCUCUGCUCGUCCGCCUCGGGGCCAAGGCGCAGCCUUGCGGGGCUCGGGAGGCCGCCGACGCUGCUCCUGGGGAGUGGCGGGCCGGUCUGACUUGGUUUCGGCUCGGUCCUCCUGGUGGGCGUCCACGGCGUCCCCUCCUCGGCUGACGCCGGCGACUCCCUCGGCUCUUCCCACCUCCCCGCCCGCCGGCGUGAUAGUGCCCCGCUGCUCCCCGUUCCGACCCUUCAUCGCCGCGUUUGGCUCCUUCGCGCAUCAGUUCCGUCCUCUCUCCCUCCCUCGUCGCCCUUGGCCGGCGGCCUCACCCCCCUUGCCCCGGCAACGGUGGCGGCGGCGGCUCCUCCCUGCGAAGGGGAAACCCUUCCGCGCGGUGCCCCGCUCCCUGUCCUGGGCCGUGCCCCUUUGGGCUGCGAGGAGGUGGCCCGCUCGCGCCGGGUAGCUGGCCUGGCCCUCCGGGCUCAUAGGCCUCUUCCCCAGGCCGCGGCAGCUGGGCCUUCGAUCCUUGGGCCGGCUCCGUGCCCUAAGCCCAGUCAGCCCCCUCGAUCGAUCUGGCUACCCUACGGCCUGCCGCGCCCCUCGUCCCCCCCCACCCUGCCGCCAUGGUCUCCCCCUCUCCCGAAGAGAUCUCCAGUUCCUCCCCAUCCCCGCCCCGCUCCACCCGCCUCCUCGUCCUCCCUCGCCGGCGACCGCCGGCUCGGAUUCCUCCCUGUCCGCUGGCUCCGCCCAUGACGCGGGAGUGGGAUGACGGCGUGGAUCGCCGCAAGCGGCGCUACGACGACCGCCGCGACCCCCCUCGUCCCUCCCCGGACGCCGCCCGUCGCGAGGAUGAGCUGCGGCGCGAGCUCCGGGACCGGGAGAGCCGCCGCUCGCAGGGCUUCGACGACCGUCGCGACCACCGCCGCUCCCCGGGCCGCUCCGAUGGGCGUGCUCGGUCCUGCUCCCCUCCGCCGGCGGCGGGCAACUGGCGCUCCUCGCGGCGGCGCUCUCCUUCCCCGCCCCGAUGCCGGGAGCGCAGCCCAUCCCCUCCCCGCCCGGCCCGUCCUCUCUCCCCGCGUGCGCCUCCCCAACCCGCUGCUGCCCCGGCCAGGAAGUACGUCCCGCCGCACGCCGCAAACUCCUCUGGUCCCCCUGUCGCCGGUGGUGUUGGGGGUGGCCAGGCUCGCGGUCGCCCGGGUGCGGCCAAAAAGAAGAAGCGGCGCGGGCAGGCUCGGGCAAACCAACAGGCAGCCCCUGUGCCGGCCUCCGGCCGCUCGGCUGUGUCUGGCCCAGUCUCUGGCCGCCCCAGUCCGCCGUGCUUCAACUACGGCAUUGCGGGUCAUUCCCAGGUCAACUGUGUCAACCCCCCAUGUGCUACAUUUGCAAGGAUCCCUCCCACCCCGCGCUGUUGUGCCCGGACCAGCCUAUCGACGAGGAGUUGAUGAUGUACGGCCAUGGGAUCGAGGGGCCGGGGUUCUUCCACAUCGAGCUCCCGGACGUCCCCUCCCCCUCCCUCCAGGCGCUCGUCACGAUGAUUGAUGGUGUCGCCUCCCCCGAGAUGAUUGAGGUUGAGCUCAACCACCUCUAUCGUCGCCAAUGGGACUGGCAGGCCACCCUCACCACUAAUGGCGCUUUCUCGGUGGUCUUCCCCGACGCUCUCAGCCACGGCUACGCCACGCGCAGUGAUCAGAUCACUCUCGCCCUCAACAAGUUGGUCGUCGACAUCUCCGAGCCGAUCCUCGACCCCAAGGCCGUCGCGGUCCUUGACACUGCUUGGAUCCUGGUCGCCGGGCUUCCUGACAUUGCCCGGUCUGAGCGAGUGAUCCGCAAUAUGUCUCGGAUCCUUGGCAAGGUGGUGGUGGUCGACGAGCUAUCCCCCCGCAAGGAGGAGGUGCGCGUCAAAGUCAAGUGCCUCGACUCCUCUAAGCUGCGCGCCACCAUCCGAGUCUUCUUCAACGACCAAGGCUUUGAUCUCCGCAUCGCUCCCGAGCCGCCCAACCAUGUGGGUCGGCCCCGCUUCUUCGACGACGCCCCCCCGGCGCUCCUCCUGGGUCCCAGGAUGACUACCGCGGUCGUCAUCACCCUCGGUCGCACCACUCCGAUGAUGAGGAGGGAUCUGAGGACAGCCCUUCCCGCUCCCCUUCGCCACCUCGCCCGGUCCCGUCCUCGAGCCGUGGGGGGCAGCAAGCUGGGCUCGCUGCGCCUCCUCCUUCUCCGGUUGCAGCCGCCUCCGAGGGGAGUGAUGCCUCCGACAUCAGCCUCAUCGUCACCCCGGCCUCCUCUCCCCGCUCCCCCGACACGCUCCCUGCCGUGACGAUCCUGGACGUGUAGCCGACCGCCUCCGUCCUGGCCUCCCCUACGGCUGGGACCCCUGUCGCGGCGCGCGCCUCCCCGGCCACCUUCUCACCGACGCUCCAGGGUGCCGCGCCACUCCUCCCCAGCUCGCCUCCCCUAGUGAUGGCCCCCGAGGAGCCCCCACCCCCACGGCAGCCGCUCCCUCCCCGUCGCCGCUGCCGGCGGUAACUGGGGUUCCUCCCGCCCCUGAUCCCGCGUCGCCAGCUCCUGCUUCAUCCCCCCGACGCCUCGACUGCUCCCAGCCGCUUCUCCUCCUCGCGGGUACGGCGGACCCCGGCGGGGAGGGCGAGACUCGGGUGACCACCCCCGUGGCUUCCCAGCCACCUCCCUCACGGUCCGCGGCCUACUCCCGCCGUGGUCGGUCCUCCUCCACCCCGGUGACGGCCUCGCGAUGGAGUGUCAGGCUUGAGGCCGCCUGGCCGGACGGUAGCCCUGCUCUGCCCAUCCCCGAGCCGGCGGAGCUUCGGGCCGCUGCCCGGAACCUGGAGUCAGGUACGCCAGUCGCCCCCCCUUCAACUUCUACUUGCUCAUUCUUUGCGCUCGAAGCGGUUCCUCUAGGUCACCUUGCGAAGGUUGUGUCAGACUCCGUGAUUGUUUUCAGGGGGGAAUCCGCUCCCCCCUUAGUGCAGAUUGCGGCCAUCCAGGCUCGCGAGAUCCUUGAUGGGAAGUUGGCGGAGGCCCGCCAGACCCUCCUCGCUCCCUCCAUCCCCUCGGGCCCUCCUCCGGUGGCUACCCCGUCACAACCCCGUAGGGCGGCUGGCCGCCCACCAGUGGUGGAGGCUGAGCCUCGGGGCCGCACCCACUCUCGCACUGCCGCUCUCCGCGCCCGAAGCGCCUCCCGCGUCCUGGGGUCAAGCAGCCCCCCAAUGGUUUCCUAAUGUGUGCCUUAUUCUGGAACAUCCGCGGGUUCGGCCAUGACGGCCGGCGCCGCCAACUCAUCGAGUACGUGCGCGAUGAGCAUAUUGACAUAGUGUCGAUCCAGGAAACCAUGCGCUCUGACUUCUCAUUGCCAGAGCUUGACCGGCUGAGCACCCACCUCUUUGCGUGGCACUGGCUCCCUUCUAGUGGGAACGCCAGCCAUUCGGGUGGCAUCCUUCUAAGUGUGAAGGAUGCCACCUUCGAGAUGGGGAGUAUGGACCGGGGCCAGUUCUUUGUUAGUAUGGAGCUCUAUGAACGAGCCCUGAACUUCAAAUGGGAGGUUAUCAUCGUCUAUGGCCCGGCUGACCACAGUAGAUCCGCGUCCUUCCUCGAGGAGCUUAACCGGAAGGGUCUCUGCGGCCUCCCUGCCGGUGGUUGUCGGAGGCGAUUUUAACCUCCUCUGAUUCGCGGAAGACAAGAGCAAUGACCAUGUCAACUAUGCACGUAUGCAGAUAUUUAAUGACUGCAUUGCCGAUCUUAGUCUUCGCGAAAUAGAUAGGAUCGGUGCCAGGUUCACCUGGACCAAUCGGCAAGCCUCCCCGACCCAGUCCGUCCUGGACCGGGUCCUAGUCUCCCCAGAAUGGGACCUCUGCUGCCCUCUGGCCUCUCUUCGGGCUAUCACUCGGAUUGGCUCCGACCACGUCCCUCUUCUCUUGUCCUCCUCCGAUGAGCGUCCUCUGAUCCCUCCCCGAUUUCGGUUUGAGACAUUCUGGUUGUUCCAAACUGGAUUCGUGGAGGCUGUUGGGGCUCGCUGGGUGGAGACCAGGACUCUUCCUCACCUCCGCCCCCCUCUGCUAUUGUCUCUUGGCACCUCUGUGCCAAACGCGGCCGACAGUUCAUGAAGGGAUGGGGUGCCAACCUGGGUCGCGACCUCCGCGAGCGAAAAAAGGCCUUGCUGACCGCCAUUCAGGCACUUGACCUCCGUGCUGACACGGUCGGCCUCUCCCCUGAUGAGUGGCUCUCUCGGUAUGACCUUAAAGACCAACUCUCCAUCAUCUACACGGACAAGGAAGCUUACUGGCAUUUGCGGGGUUCCUAGAAAUGGGUCCUGAAGGGCGACGCGAACACGGCCUACUUUCAGGCCAUAGCAAACGGCCGCCGUAGACGCAACACUACCCCCCUCCUCUGGGACGGUCUGUCCCUUCUGCAGUCCCCGAGCGACAUAGGACCCAUGUCGACGGGUUCUACCGAUCCCUUUUCUCCGCCUCUCCUAGGAGCGGCCAUUCUCUAGCCCUCGAUUGCUGGUCCGGCCGCCAGCUUGUCUCCGCUGCGGAGAAUGCCGCUCUCACGGCCCCAUUCUCGGAGGAUGAGGUCUGGGCGGCCAUUAGAGGCAUGAAUCCCUCCUCGGGCCCGGGUCCGGACGGCCUUCCGGUGAAAUUCUUCCAGACCUUCUGGAAUGUGAUUAAGCCGGAAAUCAUGGCCAUCUUUGACGAGUUCUAUGUUGGGACCAUCGACCUCGGGCGCCUCAACUAUGGGAUCAUCUCGCUCAUUCCCAAAGUGCCGGGGGCCUCCGACAUUCGCCAGUUUCGCCCGAUCACGGUGAGCAAUGUGAUCUUCCGGAUUCUGGCAAAGGGGUACGCCAAUAGGGUAACCCUGCUAGCAGACCUCAUUACCCACCCCAACCAGUCCGCCUUCGUGAAAGGGCGGUAUAUCCUGGAUGGGGUAUUAGUUCUCCAUGAAGUCCUCCAUGAGGUGUGGUCUAAACACCUCAAGGCGGUCUUCCUGAAAAUUGAAUUUCACAAGGCCUACGACACUGUUAGUUGGUCCUUCCUUCGGGAAGUUUUGCUCCGGAAGGGCUUCGAUGAUUGUUGGAUCACCCGGGUGAUGCAGAUGGUGUCCUGCGGGCGCACUGCCGUGAACAUCAAUGGGGAGAUUGGUCCUUACUUCCCCACCCUCUGUGGGGUUAGACAAGGCGAUCCUUUCUCUCCGUUCCUGUUCAACAUGGUGGUGGACGCGCUUGCCGCCAUCCUAGCUAGAUAAGGCCAAAACCGCUGGCCAUAUUCGUGGGAUUACCCCUCAUCUGGCGGGCGGCUCCGGGAUCUCCAUGCUCCAGUACGCCGAUGACACCAUCAUCAUGGUCGAGGGCUCGGACACGGACAUCGCUAACCUCAAGUUCCUUCUUCUCUGCUUCCAACAAAUGUCUGGCCUCAAGAUCAACUUCGACAAGAGUGAUGUGAUGGUUAUGGGCUACUCUCCGGCUGAAGCCCUUGACAUCGCCAACCGCCUCAAUUGCCGCCUCGGCUCCUUUCCCACGACUUACUUGGGAACCCCCAUCAGUGACUCUUGGCUCACUGUCGCGGACUUGCGCCCCACGAUCGCCAAGUUACAAACGCGCAUGGAGCCUUGGCAAGGCCGAUGGCUGUCAAAGGCGGCUCGGACGAUCCUCAUUAAUUCCUCCCUCACUAGCCUCCUCCUGUUUCUUAUGAGCUUCUACAGCCUCCAUGAGACCCUUCACCAUGAGAUCGCCAAAAUUCAAUCUCGUUUCUUCUGGGCGGGUGACAACAAUAAGCAGAAAUACCACAUGGUUAGCUGGACGGACAUCUGCAAGCCCUGUGAACAGGGAGGCCUCGGUAUCAUGUGCUCUAAACGCAUGAACAUCACCCUCCUCACCCGCUGGCUCUGGCACAUUUCGCAAGGACACCGUGGUCUCUGGCUUGACAUUAUCCGGAACAAGUACCUGCGCGGACAGCCCCUCGCCUUCUGUCAGAGAUCCGGCGGCUCCCAGUUUUGGCAAUCGGUUGUCCAACUGCUUCCUGUCCUUCGCAUCGGAACCUCCAUCGCGGUUGGAUCGGGUACAGCGACGCUGUUCUGGUUCGACCGGUGGGCGGGAGACUCCCCCUUUGCGGCCCGUUUCCCCGACCUCUUCUCCAUUGCUGUCGCCCCCUUAAUCUCCGUUGAGAGGGCCCUUAUUGACUUAGGGCGCCUCGCCUUCCGGAGGCCAUUUGGGCCCCCGGAAGCCGCCGCGGGGCUUCAGCUGCUUGAUUGCGUCGCUCUCCACGAGCCGGCGGUGGAUGCGGGCCCGGACGAGGUUCGGUGGCGUCUUGAGCCUUCGGGCCAAUUCUCCACCAAGUCCCUCUACUUGGCCAUUGCCCCCUCCUCCGCUCCUCCCCCCUCCCUGCGGUUUGGUCCAUCCGCUUGCCAUUGAAAAUUCGGAUAUUCAUGUGGCAAUGGAUCCGCGGUAGGAUUCCGUCUGGGGUGGAGGUCCGCAAACGCUAUGGCCCUGGGUCCGGCAUCUGCCCCCUGUGUGGUACCCCCGAAGAUUUGAAUCACAUCUUCUUCUCCUGUGUCUCAGCUCAAUUCAUGUGGAUCUCCUUUAGGGAGGCAGUGGGAGGCGAUUGGUGUCACACCAACUUCCCCGACCUCUUCGCCGAACUCCAAAACUCCCCUUCCCCCUCUCGCCACAUUAGGUGGCUCGAGAUCGGGGUUCUAGCGUGGACUCUUUGAACGAUUCGCAAUAAGCUUGUGAUCCAGCGUAUUCCUCUUCGACGGGCUACUGACGCUCUCUUCAAACUGUCUGGUUACUUGCAGCUUUGGCGGCCGCUUAGCUGCCCUCAGGACCGCGACGCCAUCACCGCCUUCAUCGCCGACCUUCGCUCGAUGGCCGUCCGUCUGUCGCCGCCGCCCCCUCCGCCACCCCCGGAGCCGGAUUAGACGCCUUGCCUCGGCCGUGUCCUUUUUGUUUAUUUUUGGCUUGUUGAGCUGUGCCCUCAGCAGAACCUUUGCACUUCUCGUUUUGUGACUUGGGUGUGUGUGUUCUGAACUAGUCCGUGUAUGUGUGCUCUUGGCGGUUAGCUUUAUAUAUAAAGCGGGGCGAAAGCCUUUUUCGGUAAAGGUGUAACGCAGGGCACAAGGUGCAGCGACAUGCGCCGGCAAAACAGCAGUCCCGACUAGCCGGAGCAGUCCGCCCCCGCACGUGCUGAGCACCACGGAUCACAAAUACAGAGUUGCCAGCCCGACAGCGCAUGAAGACUGGCAUCGGCGAUGUACACAUACAUUGUCUGGCCCGAAGCCCGUGUCCCCCGUCCGCUGUAGUGGUCGCCGCCACCGCCUCGGGGAAUCACCGAAGAGAUCAGGACACUGCUCCAUCGGUGAUCUGGCCGCUGGCGAGGAGCAUCUCCUAGGCGUGCUGUGGGCCGCCACCGCAGCAGUAGGAGGCCCUGCACUACAAUACAGCUACAUCUACAGGCCGUCUCUCGCCAGGAGCUACCGGACGCGUGCGCCGGCGUCCACAGAUCCGGGCCGCACGCCACUACGUCCAGCUCGUCCGAGUGCUACCACUACUAGGGGGAAAACCCUAGUAGUAGCGCGGGUUUAAUGCCCACUAGUAGCGCGGACAGCCGCGCUACCAAUAAGGCGCUGCAGUUAUUACUUAGCAGUAGCGCGUGCAACAAGCACUACUGCUAAGACACAUAGCGGCAUCGCUUGUUCUGUCCCGCGCUGCUGCUAAUCUAGCUAGUUGUAGCGUGUUUACUAUCCAUCGCUACUAGUACUCUUUUUUUUCAUUUUUAGUGUAUUUAUACGCCGUUAUACAAAUUUUGUACAAUACCAAUUAUGAGGUUUAUAUCAUUAUGUCCAUAACCGUGUGUCAAAUGAAGGUGGAGUAGGUUCAAGUGGAGGCAAUAUGUGGUGCAUGUCAAAAGUAUACUACUAAUCCAAACUUGAUCUAGUUUGGACUAGUAGUACUUUCGAUGUGCACCACAUGUUGCCUCCACUUGAAUCUAAUCCGCCAGCACAAGCUAUUUAAUCAUCAUCAUAGUCAUUACCACCAACAGUAUUUAUUUAAUCACCAUAGUCAUAGUGUAGCACAUCAUCAUCUUCAAACUCAUUCUAGCUAGCUAAUCACCACCAACACUAGAUGCGGUAGCUAUCUAAUCACCACCAACACUAGCAAAUAAUAAUUAUCAUAGUCAUUACCACCAACACUAGCUAUUUAAUCAUCAUACUCAUAGUGUAGCACAUCAUCAUCUUCAAACUCAUUUCUAGCUAGCUAAUCACUCCUGCUGCUCUCUCUCAGGUAAAAUAACAUAAAACAUGUGUAGCUCUCCUCCUUCAUCAAGUUGGAGCAUGCAGAUGAACCUGUCUCCUAAUCGUGGUCUACGCUUCUCAUUGCUGCCCCCUAGUACUUCUCUGCGCUCCUCCAUCACAAAUUUGGUCCAGUCUUUCACUAUUAAGACUUCCUCGCUCUUAGAAAUCCUGAAUGCACUAAAGUGCAUUGUAGGAUAUCUUGGCCGUAAGCUAACAAUACUCAUGGUACCAUUAGUCUCGAUCCCAUGAGGCACAACAUUCAUCGGGAGUCCCAGUUGAAGAACAUCGUAUAGUAACAUACUUAGCAAUGAAGUUUAGCUUAAAAAUAAUGUAUGCAAAAGAUGCACUGAGGACAAAUAGUAAAACUCUUACCAUCUUUCCUAAAUAGAUAUGACCGUAGUUCAUUACGAACACUAUUGGUCGCACGUUUUCAGUACUAACAUUUCUAAGUGCAGGAAGAAAAUUUGUCUUGACAGUAUCAAGAUCCUCAAGCAAUGAAACAUAAUGACUUAGCUCCUCGCAGUUUAGUUCAGCCCCGGGACAGUAGUAGGUCCUGUCUACCAAGCGCUGGACAUGUUUGCUUGAACCGAAAUAAGCUGACAAUAGAAAUUAGUUGUCAACUAUUUUUGAAUAAACAAUAUUAAAGACAUAAAUAUGGUUGAGAAACUCACAUAAUGGUAUAACUGGAGGCGCCUGCACAUCGACCCAGAUGUCGGUAUUACCUUCAAUAUCAUCUUCUGGAUGAAUAUCAAAGGUGAUAACCAUAUCAGGCUCAAAUGCAUAAGUCUUGCAUAGUGUUCGCCAAGUUUUGCAUCCAAAAUAGGUGUAGUCGUCUGCAUUGUAUAAUUUUACGUGGAAAAUAUAACCAUGCUCGGUCUUCAAGUAAACUUUCUUUACCUCCAUAGUACGACUGAAACCUAUCUUAUCCAAGACAAAAACUCUUGCAUGGCAGGGGAUACGCUAGUAGAAUAGUAAAAAAAAUUUAAAUUAUAAGUUGAAGGAAAUGAAGCAGAUGUCAUGCUUAAUUACGAAAAAAAACUUGUCGUUGUGACUUACUGUAUCCACUUCGAAGUUCACGUCCAGCUUGAUGCUGAAGCGCCAAUCAUCAUCUAGGAAGAUUCCGUCGCACAGGCCGCGCUCGUCUUCGCAGUAUUUGCAAAUACCGAAAUCCUUUUCGUUGUCAGACAUUUCCUAUGUUCAUAGUUGAAACAUUAAUUGAAAAUCGAUCGAAGACAACUCCAGGAUAGUCAAAAUAUCUUAUAGGAUCAUAUUGACAUGAGCAUUCAAUAAGCAAAACCAAAUCGUAAAAUAAAUAAGUAUUCAAAUUAGCAUGCAUUCAAUAAGCAAAAGUAAAUCAUCUCAUGCGUCCGUACAUCGUCGAAUAUUAUCACUAAUACAUCCCAAAUAGUAUCAUACAUAUAACAUCACUAAUACAGCUAAAACCCUAGCGCACGACGGGUAUCAGCGCGGGCGGUGGACACCCAAAGAGAAGGAACCAUCACAGGAUCAUAGCUCCAAUGAGAUCCCUGGAGAACCUGCCAGGUAUUGGAGAACCUGUGCUCCAACGCAACAAGUAGCGAUGGACGUGCGCGUCCUCCUCACUGACACGGUCAUGCACCACCUCCGCGGGGUCCUCGAGCCUCUGGACCGUCACUGGCCCACGCGACCGCCACCAAAGAAGGUUCGGGUCAACGACAGGCUGGCUCCUCACCAACCUGCGCCCCCUGGUAGGUAGCGCCUCCCAGUACCACCCCGGCGGAGCCCAGUCCCGGACAUGGCCCAUCUGGUGACGCAGGUGUCCUCCACCGACUCGACGACGAGGAUGCGGGAUAGGCAUCGUCGACGUCGAUGCGCGAAAAAUUGCUUUAACUAAAAAAAUAACAACAAAUGUGACAUGUUCAACUAGUUCUAUAAAUUCAACUAGUUCUUACGAUUAAAUCUAGUCAAUUAAUUCUAUACCUAAUAAAAUGAAUAAUGACAUAAAAAAGGCCUAUGCUUUGCAGGAACAUUGACUCCUUCCCGGUGCGGCAAAUCCCGGGCACUCGAUAUGUCCUAGUUUGUAGCACAAGUCAUGUCGAAAUUCACGAAAAAUUUCGGCAUGACUUUUGCUAAAAAGUGGACAAAUCGAGAACCUGAAAUUUGCCGGAACGGAAAUGAAUCAACAUUCCGGCAAAACAUAGGCCACUCGGCUUCAUUUCCUGAAAACAAUAAAGCCACUUGGGCACAAUCGAACCACUUCAAUAAUGGAAUAUGCAAAUGAACAUCAAUGACAUAUAUCAUAUAACAACAAUAUGCAAAUGAAAUUACUGUUUAGGCCUUUUCAUAAAAAUUUGCCCUAGCUAAUUUCCUAAAAAAAUUGCUAAUCAUUUUUCCUAAAUGCUAAAAAAUGCCUACUGCCCUAAACAAAUCUAGGGUUCAUAUGAACACCUAGGGUUCAUAUGAACAUCAACACAGCAUCAACACAUAUAUAAAUUGCCCUAGCAGAGCGAGAGGGGGGUAGGGGAGAGGAGAGGCAGAGCCUUACGGUGAUUGCGGCGAGGGAGGGGCAGGCGGCGUCGAGGUCGGGGUCGGGGCUCGGGCGCGCGGCGGAGGGCGGCGUCGAGGUCGGGGUCGGGGGCGGCGUCGAGGUCGGGGUCGGGGGCGGCGUUGAGGCGGGAGAGCGCGUGGGAGAGCGCACGGCGGCCGACGGGCGACGGCGGCGGCGACAGUGGAGGAGUUGCGAUUUGGGGGAAGUGGCCGUUGGGGAAAACGAAUCGAGCGGUUUAGUCAGAAGUAGCAGUAGCGCGUUCCAGGAAGUGCGCUACUGCUAACAUAGCUACAGCGCGUUCGUGGAUACGCGCUACUGCUAUACCAUUCUCUUUUUUCCAAUUUUUCAUUUAUUUUUAUUUACAUUUUAUUUUUUUCUUUCACCUUUCUGUAUUUCUUUCAUUUUCAUUUACUUUUCUAUUUGCUUUUCAUUUAGUUUUAUUUACUUUAGAAGUAGCGCGUCUCAGCGUAAACGCGAUGCUACAAAGCAAAUAGCGGUAGCGCUGUUUGGCGAAGAUCGCUACUACUAUGUGCAGCCUAUCGGCUAAGCCGUGGGAAUUUUAGUAGUAGCGCUUUUGUACGCUGGCGCGCUAUUGCUAUAACGGUAUCUAUAGCCCGGUUUACAACACCGCGCUGCUGCUAAUUAGCACCAGCGCGUGUUUUUAACCCGCGCUACUGCUAAUGUCCUGUGUAUAAGAUUUUCCCUAGUAGUGUCGCGGGUUGCCGUUCAACCACAGCCACCUCCGCCCCAUCCGCACCACCGUGCAGGCGUUCACGGAGGGCCGCCCGUGCCCGCGCCUUAGAAGAAGACCAAGAAGCUAGCGGAAGCCUCCAUCCGCGCCAAGCUCAGGGACUUCCGUAAGCUGGCCUCCCCCGGCGGGCGGCUCGCGGGAUUCCUCAACAUCAUCUUCGCCGGCAAGCGCGCGGUACGUGUGCUCAUCGGCGUCGUGGUAUUCGUGGUCCUGCCUGAGGAAGACCAGCUGACACGCGGGCAGGAGCACCGUACCGUGCGGUUCAUGGAUAGUGACCGCGAGGCGCCGGCGGCGGUGCCUGGUGCAAAUCUUGGGACGGUACCGGCGCUGGAGGCGUCCUCCGGCUGGCGAUGGCAACACGAUCUCCAGCAGAGCUUCAAGGUUAGUGGAGCCAUGGCACCGGGCCGCUCAAGGUGUGUAUAUACUUGCCGUGUCCGGCGUACACUGCGUUGUCCGCUGGGAAGGAGGAGAGCCGGCCUCUUCUUAUAUAGGCUUAUAGGGCGGUGGCGUUGUGCUCAGAUUUUGCCCGGGCUUUCUAGAGAAGACAGGGCAUGGGGAGAGAACACAACGACCGAACCAACAGCGGCACACAGGCAACGACAGUGACAGGAACCAAUAUAGAACCCGAUGACGAAUAGGAAACAAGAAAGCGACUUCGGCCAACAGCACCAGAGACUGACAGCGACCUAUCACAAUAGCGAAGAAGGGCCAAAGACAGCGACUAAUCACAAAUGCGAAGAACGGCACCAGAGAAAAUACUAAACGAACCAAACCAAGCUGCACACACGUUCAAAAAAUUUCAAACGAAAACCUGAAUCCACAACUCAUUUGUACACAACCAGGUACCAAAAUAAUACGCGUGCCCCAUAGGAAUUUACCCAAAAGUCUUUUUCAUCCAAGUGGAUGAAUCUUGGAGCGAAAAAGCUCCCGGAUAUAGAGGUUUGGGUAUAUUACACGUGUGUGAAGUUUAAUGAUGAAAUACCUUAUGAUGUCGCUACAUAAAAAAAAUACAAAUUACUCAAAGUUGUGCAACGAAGAACAGAAAAGUGAACCAUCGCCAUAUUUUGGGAAGGAGCGAAAAAACUCUUUGGAGGACGAGCUCCAUGUAGGACUCGUUAUCUGGUGCGUGUGUCUUUCUUAGAACCACGCUCAAGACCUUAUUCAUCGCACGUAUCUCACCUGCCAACCAUUUUACACACCACCAUAUUCUUGUUUUUUUUACGGGACCGUAUUCUUGUUUUAUGAAUAGUACUACCCCUUUUCCAUUAAAAAAAAGAGUUGUGCCAUCACAUGUUAACAGGUUGGGCCUACCAGUGCAUGAAGUCUAUCACCCCGCCCCCAAGCCUAAUUUGGUACAAUUUUGACCCUGAAAUCUACAAAACCGGACAAAUUUACCCCUCGAGUGGUUUUGCUAUGAUUUGGGUGGUUUUGGAUUGUGUUGCGGGGUGGACAUGGCGAUGUAACUCAAGGUGACGGUCACCGCAACACGGGCGCAUGCGGGGCGCGUGAUUCCCGCUGGAGAGGGUGAAAGAAGGGGGAGGGAAGGGGAAGGAGGGGCUAGGGCAUCGGAGGCGAAGCUGUAGCACCUCGACGACGAGCAUCAGGCGUCCAUGGCAGUUGGAUGAAUGACAUAGAGGAGAGAGGUGGAGAGAGGAGGAAGAUGAUGUCAGAUCCAAAACCACGAAAAUCAUAAUCAAAACCGCUUUAGGGGCACAUUUAUCUAGUUUUGAAAUUUUUAGGGUGUAAAUUAUACCAAAAGCAGUCUUUAGGGGGGGGGUAUUUGUCCAUUGAACCACAUUUGAAGUUGAAAAUGAACUUCUUUCUAUCCAUUAUGUUGCAUUGUGGCCCGCGAGAACGGAACAUGGGCAUGAAUCUGGUUGGAUGUGCCUCUUUGAAGUCGUUGCCAUUUGGUCGAGCUGCUGGGAUUCCUGGCCUAGACGUUUGCUGGUUAGCAAUCUACUACUCCCUCCGUUCCUAAAUAUAAAUCUUUUUGAGAUUGUACAAUAAAGAAUACAUUCAGAUGUAUAUAGACGCCUUUUAAGUAUAGGUUCACUUAUUUUACUCCGUAUAUAGUCUAUUGUGGAAUCUCUUAAAAGACUUAUAUUUAGGAACGAAGGGAGUACUCCUCUUGUCCGUGGUACUCUUUCGCUUUCUUGGGCACAUGCUUUUGCACCAACGGUGAGUGGUGCCUGGCAUUACUUCUUCUAUGGCAACCUCCAUCCUGAGCCUGGUCUGUUUUUACACAAAAUAGAAAACACAAAACCAUAAAAGAUUUGUGGGUACCCCCAUGGGAAACAAACGAGGUUGAUCUCUCUCUCUCUCUCUCUCUCUCAAAUUCCUGAGCAUUUUUUAACUCAUAAAGAAUUUUUAAAAUUAAAAAAUAUGUUUUUAGUUCGUGAACAUUUUCUCAAUAGGCAAACAUUUUAGUAUGUUCAAGAACAUUACUCAAAUUCACCAACAUUUUCCAAAUGCGCAGAAAAUUUUCAAAUUUGUGAACAUUUUAUUAAAUACAUGAACAAUUUUUCAUAUUCAUGAACAUUCUUCCAACUUCAUGAACAUGUUUUCAAAUAUGCGUCCCUAUUCACGAACAUUUCUCAAAUUUGUGAAUGUUUUUCAAAUACGUGAACAUUUUUUUAAGCUUGGGAAAUUUCUCUCAAGUUUGCGAUCAAUUUUAUAAAUACAUAAACGUUUUUAUGUAUUGGGGAACAUUUUCAAAAUACGCUCCUCGAAGAUGAAUUCCAUCCAUCCUUGGCCAAUAUUUUUGUUUCUGAAACUGGGCCGAAAUCAGGCCAGUAAAUGCAAAGUGAUAAACUUUUUGUUGAUGGACUGAUCGAUUGUUCCACCGGCCUAACUACCUCCACACGGUGCAAAUUCAAAGUCCGUGAACGCUAUGUCUCGCAUUACGCGAGACGGUAGCAGCUCUCGCUGACGGUUUUUCCAUUUUUACAAAAAAAUUAAAUGCUUGAUUAACAUUUGCGUGCAUAUAGUUAGAGAAAGAGCUGAGGAAAGGGGGAACCAGAAUCGAUUCCUGGUCUCAAAGGUGACAGCGGGUGCUGCUACAAAGCCCGACCAAGUCCCGUUCGUGAUAAUUUGUAGGUGCGCGUCAUACUUUUGGCGAUUCAAGCCGGUUUUCUUUGAGUUUUUUUCCUUUUUCUCUUUUUUUCUUCUUCAUUUUUUUAUUCUUUUUUGCACUCGUUUCUUCAUUUUUUUCAUUUCUUUUUUCCUUUUGUUUAUUUUCUUUGUUCUUUUGGUUAUUAUUGUGCAUUUUUUGUAUACGUCAACAACAUUUUUUAAUACACGUCUAACAUUUUUCAAAUACAAACCAACAAUUUUUGCAAUACAUGGUCAAUAUUUUUGUAUACACAUUUUUUAAAUGCUUGAUUAUCAUUUUUCAAAUACAAGAUUAACAAAUUUUCAAUUCAUGGUCAACAUUUUUUUCCAUUUUUACAAAAAAAUUAAAUGCUUGAUUAACAUUUUCUUAAUACAUGGUCAACUUUUUUUCCAUACACAUUUAACAUUUUCCAAACGCUUGAUUAACAUUUUCAAACCCUUGUUCGACAUUUCUUUCAAAUGUUGGAUUAACAUUUCUAUAUACAUGAUCAAACAUUUUUAUCAUUUUUAAUACAUGGCCAACAUUAUUACCAUACACAUUUAACAAUUUCCCAAUUCUUGAUUAACAUUUUUUAAAUACUCGUUUAACAUUUCCCAAUUUUAGCUAGCUAUGGUGCAAACUAAGUGUUGUGCCUCGUCUUAAUCUAUCUAUAUAUCCUAUCUUCUAUUCGGCGAGGUGGCUGCGCCCGUGGCGAAUGCGGUCGCCGCCAUUGCCGGCGCCUGACUUGGUCGAUCUGCCUCUUCUCUUUAGAUGAGAUGGGGAGGAGAUGGUGAGAGAUGAGGUCAACGGCUUUGGGGAGAGGAUAAGGGUAGACGCCAACGGUGAGGCGGCGUGAGGAAGACGAGGUGGUUCGCGGCGGCGACGCGUGAGGGGAGGGGAAGGGAGGGGUAGUGGUGCGUGGAGGGGAGUGGGUAUGCGGCGUGCCCAAUUCGCGAGAGAGGAGAGAGGUCGGCAAGGGAGCGAUCCAUGGGAGUUUUUUUUCCUUCUGAGUGAGCCUAGUUGGGCUAUCUGCUGCGUCCAAGGCCCAGUGCACCACAUGUCUUCAAAUUGGCCACCAGUAGCAGCCCUUAGAACAGCAUGGCCAAUUUGCAAAUUUAAAGACAUAAGUUUUUUGCACGCAUGAAAAACAUAACAUGUAUCUUUCCACACAUAAUGAACUAUAGGUACUACCCCAAAAAAACAUAAUGAACUAUAGGUUGUCACAAGAACUCAUGCCAUCCCACAACCUCCCUCCGACCCUGCCAACAUUGUUGCAGCUGCACUCGCAAGUGUUACCGUAGAUGAUCAUGAAAUUACCAUAGAUGAUCAUUUCAUGAUUCGCGUAAAACGAAAUAAGAUCUACAAAUGAAUAGAAGCUACACAUACCUUGGCAUGCACACACAUUGCAAGCCAUACUAAGAAGAUAAGUGUUAAUAACUUGUACUCCCUCCAUCUCAGUUUACAAGUCUUCCACGUGUAUCUAGGUCGUCAAUUUAAUUAUACAAAAUAAAUUGUUUAACAUAAAAAUUAUAUCAUUAGAAAAUAGAAUAUCUACAGUUUCUAAUGAUAUAUUUUUUGUAAUGUAUGCCUCUUAUUAAGUUGGUCAAAUUAACGACCUAGGUACAUGUGCAAGACUUGUAAACCAAGAUGGAGGGAGUACAACAUAUACAACACUUAAGACAAGUAAAAGCAAUUUGGUGAGUCAUGGUCUAUGAAACCAAGCUACAUUACUAAUCUAAUCUAUCUUAACAGGUCACACAUGAUUACAAUCUUUUUUGUAUGCAAGUCAAGCUUAUCUAGUCUACACGUAACAACUUGUAGAACAUUACAAAAUUGAUGUUUGCUAACAAAUUCUAGAACACUACAACACUUGACAUGUAAAAAGAAUUUGAUGAGUCAUGACCUACUAAAGCAAGUUAUAUUACUAGUCUCAUCUAUCUUAACAUGCCAACAAGAUUAAAAACUAAGUUCUGUGCAAGCAAUGCUUAUCUAGUUUACACGUAACAACUUGCAUAACAUUACAAACUUAGUUUCACAAAAUUAGGCAAUCAAGAUUAGUGUUUAGCUGUAAAGUGAAUAAGAUGAGUCAUGUGUGUUAUCACACCUUUUUGUGGUGGAAUGAUAGUGCCACCAAACACAACAUACCAAAAUAUGAUUUUGGGAAGCAUCCAAGCACUUUGCAGACAAGCAAAUGCCAAUUGUGAAAGAGAUCAUGCCAUGGCAGCUAUAAAUAGGCAUGUAGCAUGAUGACCAUCCUUCCUCAUUCAUCAUUCUCAUAAGUAGAGUGCAUCAUUCAAGCCAAGCAAGAACUGGUCAAUACAAAUACACCAUGAAGACUUUUCUCAUCCUUGCCCUCCUUGCUAUUGUGGCGACCACUGCCACAACUGCAGUUAGAGUUCCAGUGCCACAAUUGCAGCCGCAAAAUCCAUCUCAGCAACAACCACAAGAGCAAGUUCCAUUGGUGCAACAACAACAAUUUCCAGGGCAGCAACAACCAUUUCCACCACAACAGCCAUAUCCGCAGCCGCAACCAUUUCCAUCACAACAACCAUAUCCGCAGCCGCAACCAUUUCCGUCACAACUACCAUAUCCGCAGCCGCAACCAUUUCCACCACAACAACCCUAUCCACAACCGCAACCACAAUAUCCGCAACCACAACAACCAAUUUCGCAGCAACAAGCACAACAACAACAACAACAACAACAACAACAAAUCCUUCAACAAAUUUGCAACAACAACUGAUUCCAUGCAGGGAUGUCGUCUUGCAACAACACAACAUAGUGCAUGCAAGCUCACAAGUAUUGCAACAAAGUAGUUACCAACUGUUGCAACAAUUAUGUUGUCAGCAGCUGUGGCAGAUCCCCGAGCAGUCGCGGUGCCAAGCCAUCCACAAUGUCGUUCAUGCUAUUAUUCUGCAUCAACAACAACAACAACAACAACAACAACAACAACAACCAUCGAGCCAGGUUUCCUACCAGCAGCCUCAGCAACAAUAUCUAUCAGGCCAGGGCUCCUUCGAGCCAUCUCAGCAAAACCCACAGGCCCAGGGCUCUGUCCAGCCUCAACAACUGCCCCAGUUCGAGGAAAUAAGGAACCUAGCGCUACAGACGCUACCAGCAACCUGCAAUGUCUACAUCCCUCCAUAUUGCUCGACCACCAUUGCGCCAUUUGGCAUCUUCGGUACUAACUGAGAAGAGAAGAACUCUAGUACUAGAUAUAUCAAACAUCGUGUUCUUAGUCCAUGGUUUGGUCGUUGUACUGGUGAAAAUAUAAAGUGACAUGCACUACCAUGUAAGAACCCGAACUAUACUAGUUCAAACUUGGGAAUAAAAGACAAAGCCAGGUCUUGUCUGCAUAUGAUUAUUUGUUUGAGUUCCAUUCAUGUGCCCGUUCACAAGUUCACCCCUAAUUAUAUAUAUUACGCAUUAAGUAGAUAUCUAUGUUGCAUUAAUUUGAAGAUAACAAAAUGAGUCUAAAACUUGAAUUAAAUUGAAUUGUUUUCUUGGACUUUCAAAUUGUGUAUUAUUAAAGUAGUAACGACUAUCCACAUCCUUGGCUUGCCCUUGAUCAAUUAUUUCCAGAGAAGCAUUCAAUUCAUCAAUCAAUUACAUUGAUUUUUGAGACUGGUACAUCUCCUCAUCAUGAGUAUCAUUGCGGCUACUCCAAAUCGCCCACAUAACCGAAGCAUUAAUAGCGCUCUUCUUGCAUCAGGAAAUAUGGAUUGAAGAUAUCAGGUGACCAUGUUUCCGGGUGCAACCUUGGGAGUUUUAUGUCAAAAUAUUCUCAAGAAGAAUCCAAGAAUAAACUUGCAUGCUCACGUGUGAUAAGGGCAUAUGAAGUAACAUUUCCUCCCCAUGGCCACAUAGGGCACACACAUAACCCCAUCACAUGCAUUUUUAGUUAUGCAUAUGAAAGGUAGGAUGUUUUUAAUUACUCUCCACCAAAAUACUCUUAACUUGGCUUGUACCCUAAGAGUUUGUUGCCUUUUCAUUUCUUCUUCCCCAUUAGACAAACUAGACAGUCCAUCCACCACACCAUUCCUUGUGUCCAUCAUGGCUCUGUACAACAAUUGGACAGAACAAAUGUCAUUUCUUUAUGAUACCCACGACCAAAUGUCCUCUGCUGGAUUGUUUGGUCGUGGCAUAUUAAGGAUGGCCACCUCAUCUGAUGGGAUAAACACCUAAUGAAUGAAAGGAUUGUUCCAGUCGCCCGUGUUUUUCAUCGAUAAGAUCAGCUACAAGUUGGACCGGAGUUUCUCACAUGCAUCGUAGUGGUUUCAUUAGCGGCAUGCCCUGCACCCAUUUAUCAUGCCAUAUCUCUGUAGUAUGUGCAUUCCCAAUUUGUCACAACAUACCCUCCUUCAAACCUUCUUGACCUUUCAGAAUUGCACGCCAAGUUAGCGAUGCACUAUGCAGGAACCCGCAUUUCAAAAAAAAAAGAAUCUCAUUUCAUGGUAUCUUCCAUAAAGGACCCUCAUACAUGAGCUAUCUAGAUAGAAACAGCCAUGUAUGUUUAGCAAACUUUGCAUAAGUGAAUAGAUCAAGGUUGUGGAACCCCAAGCCUCCAAUUACACCCGGCCUCUCUACCAACAAGAUGUCUAAAGACAUGAAGGAUACACACAGCCAAAAAAGAAAAUAAAAAGAACAAAAUAAAAAAUACCCCACCAUGGUGGUCAAUCACAAGCAUCAACAACACUCUAACCACCACCGAAGACAAUGCCCGGAUUACAAAAAGGUUAUUCAAAAGCAACACCCACAAGAAGGAAACAAUGCACAAGCGUUGUCGUUGCCCGAUAGAAGAUCGUGGGUUUUCACCCUGGAAAAAUUUUGAGUUCACCCAAAAACAAUGCCUUCAACAAGGCCAUUGCCAAGUACAGCCAAUAAGGGGUAGACCUUGGGUUUUCAACCUAGGAACUGAGACUCGAUAGUCGACAAGUACCACCGAAAAUGCAGUCCACCGGUGUUGCCGCCCCCGCUUGCCGAGGCCGCUGUUGCAAGUCACCAAACAUACAGUUGUCAUCGCAUCCAAUACAUCCUUCCGCCGAAGCUUCAAGACCUCAAAUGGCAGCCGCCGUGACUUUCUCCACAUCUAUCAAUGCCUUGAGGAUCUUGACUUAGACAUGUCCCGUGACAUAAAUAAGAAACCGAAGCUUCGCACCGCGUCCUCUUGAGGCCGUGUUGGCUGAUAAUAUUAGCGCGUAUGACGGGAGCCUUUCCAACCUAGAUAUCCAGGGGCGACAUACACCAAUCAAUAUAGAUCUCCGCUCGGAAAGACCGGAACUCAUCAACGGCCAGAUCCAAGUGGUCGACAUCCGGCAAAAAGACGACUUGGCGGAAGAAGAGCAUCAGGGCCAAACCACCAUUAUUAGUCCGAAGCUAAUAGCCCCCACGCCGCCCUCCUCUCGAUCCAGACCUGCAGAAAAAGAUCAACGACGCCGCAUCGUGCCACUUGCAUCCGUGGAGGCUUGAACUUGGCAAGAUGCCAACCAUGGCUGGAGACGGGGACCAGCCACUCCUGGCUGGAUCCGGUGACUCCUAGUCCUACCGCUGCCGCUACGGCGGCACCGCGUGUGGCCUACAAGCCCAUCCACGAUGAUGUCUGAUUAGAAGGAUACAUGGAUAUACAGAUGAAAAGGCCCUUGUUAUCCCUCCAACAAUAUAUAUAUAGCUUAUUGGGACGUGAGAAAGCUCGCACAAUUUUAUAGUGGCUAUGGAAAUGUGUUGCCAGACAGAGAUAUAAGAUUUUUGUUUGGCAUCCAGACCGUUUGUGUCAUGCUUAAUCGAUGGUCACUCUAAUUUUUCCGGCGGGCCUUCCCCGUGGUACUGCAGCCUUAUAUGUGUAUGGGUUUCAUACAGCUAUUCUGUCCUGUCUAGAAAAGGAGAAAACCAAAAUUACUUGGAGUUAAUAACUAAUACGUUUCCUUUAACUACCAUGUGCACGGCGAGGAUUUACGUGCAUGAUGUUUUUUCCUCUCCCCACGUCAUAUUGGGCCGGCCCAUUCACGCGCAUAUGGUUAGAAAAAGAGAUGAGGAAAGGGAGAACCAGGAUUGAUUCCUAGUCUCAAGGUGACCGUGGGUGCUGCUACCAGUCCGCCCAAGUCCCGUUCGUGAUAAGUUGUAGGUGCGCGUGGUACUUCAAGCGAUUCAAGCCGGUUUUAUUUGAGUUUUUUUUCUCUUUUUUUUCUUCUUCAUUUUUUUCAUUCUUUUUUACACUCCGUUUCUUCGAUUUGUCAUUCUUUUUUUCUUUUGUUUAUUUCCUUUUUUUCGGUUUUCUUUGUUCUAUUGGUUAUCAUUGUACAUUUUUUGUAUAUGUCAACAACAUUUUUCUCUAAUACACGUCUAACAUUUUUCAAAUACAAACCAACCAUUUUUGUAAUACAUUGUCAACAUUUUUUCUAUACACAUUUUUUAAAUGCUUGAUUAUCAUUUUUCAAAUACAAGAUUAACAUUUUCUCAAUACAUGGUCACCAUUCUUUUUCUAUUUUCACAAAAAACUUAAAUGCUUGAUUAACAUUUUCUUAAUACAUGGUCAACUUUUUCUCUAUACACAUUUAACAUUUUCCAAACGCUUGAUUAACAUUUUCGAACCCUUGUUCAACAUUUCUUUUAAAUGCCUGAUUAACAUUUCUGUAUACAUGAUCAAACAUUUUUAUCAUUUUAAUACAUGGUCAACAUUAUUACCAUACACAUUUAACAAUUUCCAAUUCUUGAUUAAUAAUUUUUAAAUACUUGUUCAACAUUUUUUUCAAAUGCAUAAUGAUGACAUUGUUCAAAAGUGGCAUCACAAGUUUCAGGGAGUAGAAAAUAGAUUAAUCAAUGAAACCGCGCGAACUUUGUGAUGCUAUUGUGUUAUAUCAACUACUUUCUCCGUCUCAUAAUAUAAGAGUGUUUUUCACAUUAGUAUAUAGUGGAAAAACGCUCUUAUAUUAUGGGACGAAGGGAGUAUGUGUUUGUUAUGUCAUACUGAGCACCAAAUUCACUAUAUAUAUAUCUAUACCAAUAUAAAAAGACCUAAAGGGGCAGAUCCAAAUAAUCUUGGCCAUUAAAUCAUGUCAAUCCAAUGACAUAGACUGCUUCACUGUCGAGCACUUAAUACGUUUAGCAUGCAGUUAAUUGCAUGCCAAAUAUAGUGCUAAUCACAUAAUAACAUGCAAAUAAUAUCCUACUUAAUAUCCGAAUGCACUUAAUAUACUUCCAAAUUAACGCGCAUUACACAUACACAUUAACUAAUCACAUAAUCAAAGAAAUUAACACACAAAUAAUAGCAUACCUAAUAUCCACGUGUAAAUAAUAAAACAAUAUAAUGCUUAAAUAUUAACCUGUGUUGCACGUGCACAUUUAGUAGAACAUGGGAAUACAGUAACAGUAAGCUCACUAGACGGAAGCCCGUCACGGCCAUGUGAAUAGGAUCCUCCUCGUACUGCUCCUCUCCUGCCCUGCCCUGAGCAGUAUCAUCCGUCGUCGUCGCCGGGCGGCGCAGCAGCCGGCGGCCGAGGGGAGACCGAGAUUUCCUCUUUGGAGGCGCCGAAUGCGGCUCGUAAGUCCAAAUCCCUCCCAGUCCCGCCUCUCGAAUCCCCACCGGUCUCCUACUUCCAUGCCGCCAAUGCCCGCCUUUUCUUUGGACUCCGAGCGAGGAAUCGGAGGGAAAGCUGUGUGCUUCUUGCAGCUUCAUGCCCCGGCAAUGGCGGCCCUGCUUGCUUUCUGUUGCCGCUGGGUCGCUCUACUCUCUGCGUGCCCGUCCGCAAGGUGUUCGAUGGAUUGUGCGCAGGGUGUCGGCCCGGCUGGUCCCCUGGUCUCGUUCCAGUUCUCCCAGGUUUCAGUCUGCUUACUGUCAGUUGCUGAAAAUGUGCACGAAACGGAUGAAAAUGCUGGGAUAUGCGCUCUUUGUUUACCGUUUACCGUCAUUUGUUUGGUUGCAGGAAGCACCCGGCCUUAAGCAUAGUACUACAUAUAAAGUUGUAUGUUCUGUUCUGUUUGUUUGUUUGCUGUCUGAUGAUUGAGACAAGGGCAUAAUCUAAAGUUUGGCACCUGCACUUGCACCUGCUCCUGCACAUUUAUGUGCUGGAAACUGGAAUCUGUUCAGAGUAGUAUGGCCACGCCACAGGUUUUAGCUUUCACUCAUGGACCACAUUGCUUCUUGACUAUCUUGGAUGCUUGUUGGCCCAUCCUUGUAAUUCUAUAUCUUUCUAGUAGUCUUAUAAAUCAGAAACAUAACAACUUUUUGUGUUGCUUACUAUAUUUUGUGUAUUUACUUAGCGUGUUUAGUCAAAUCAUCUGUCAUUGUUCUCUCAAGUUGUUUUUCCUUGCGAUAUUCAACCCAGCGGUUUAAAAUUCCUGCAAUUGAUUCAUUCAAAGUGAUUUUUCCUUCUUUGUUGUUGUUUUCUUUUAAAUGUUUGGGCUGAGGCUCCAAAUGUUGCUACUCUUUUACAUGGACUAUGUUACUUUGGAGAAUACAAGAAUUAUGCAUUGGUACCACGAUAACAUAUGCCUAAUGGUUUUUCUUACAGGAUGGGGUUUCCAACACAUAAAUAGUUUGCUAGCAUGCAGACAAGUGUCCAGUAGCCUUUGCGCCAUUUGAGGCGUAAUGGAGAUAGUUUUUCUCAUGUUGUUGGUUCUUUCUCUGCUCCUUUUCCCUAAUGGCAUCUGCAAGAGUUUAGCCACAGGGCCUCCUGUUGUGAAUAUUGGGUCUAUUCUUCAAUUUGACUCCACCACCGGAGGUGUUGCGGCAGUUGCCAUCCAUACAGCCUUGGAAGAUAUCAACUCCGAUCCAACAGUUCUAAAUGGAACUACACUAAAGGUUCAAAUGAAGGAUACAAAUUGCUUUGAUGGUUUCCUUGGCAUGGUUCAAGGUAGGCUAGCUUUAAUGUCACUCAUUCAUUUCGCAACCUUCAAAUAAUUUUUUACUUCUGUUGUGGAGUUGUGGCAAUGAUGCCGUGUUCCUUGUAUCAGCUUUGCAGUUCAUGGAGACUGAUGUUAUUGCACUCAUUGGCCCUCAGUGCUCUACUAUUUCUCAUAUGAUUUCAUAUGUAGCAAAUGAGCUUCAAGUCCCUUUAAUGUCCUUUGCUUCUGAUGCAACUCUUUCAUCGAUACAGUUCCCGUUCUUUGUCAGGACGGGUCCCAGUGAUCUCUAUCAAAUGGCGGCUGUGGCAGAAGUUGUUGACUACAACCACUGGAAGAUAGUGACUGCCAUAUACAUUGAUAAUGUUUAUGGUAGAAAUGGCAUUGCUGCUUUGGAUGAUGCACUCACUUUAAAGCGCUGCAAAAUAUCCUACAAGGUUGGGUUUCCUUCCAACGCUAAAAGGAGUGACCUCAUAAAUUUGUUGGUUAGUGUCAGUUAUAUGGAGCCUCGUGUUAUUGUUCUCCAUACUGGAGCUGAACCUGGACUCAAGCUUUUCUCUGUGGCAAACCAACUGAACAUGAUGGGCAACGGCUAUGUGUGGAUUGCAACUGACUGGCUGUCUGCAUAUCUUGAUGCUAAUUCAUCAGUUCCUGCUGAGACUAUAUCUGGCCUGCAAGGUGUUCUUACUUUACGGCCACAUAUUCCCAACUCAAAGAUGAAGAGUAAUUUGGUCUCCAAAUGGGGCACGCAAAGUAAAAAGUACAACUACAGUGAUCUUCGUGUAAAUACGUAUGGUUUUUAUGUUUAUGAUAGUGUCUGGGCAGUAGCUCGGGCUCUGGAUGCCUUCUUUGAUGAUGGUGGUAGGAUUUCCUUUUCAAAUGACUUGCAUGAUGGAAUUGGAGGAACUCUUCACCUUGAAGCAAUGAGCAUUUUUGACAUGGGAAGCAAAUUACUGGAGAAGAUUAGAAAGGUAAACUUCAGUGGGAUAUCUGGGCAAGUGCAAUUCGAUGCUGUAGGCAACCUCAUUCACCCUGCGUAUGACAUCAUAAAUGUCAUCGGAAAUGGCAUGCGGACCAUUGGUUUUUGGUCAAACUAUUCUGGCUUGUUGUCGACUGUCUCUCCAGAGGCUCUAUAUUCAAAGCCUCCUAAUAUUUCUCUCGCCGAUCAGCAUCUCUAUGAUGUUAUUUGGCCUGGGGAAACUGCACAGAGGCCUCGAGGAUGGGUCUUUCCUUCUAAUGCCAAGCAGUUGAAAAUUGGUGUUCCCAACAGAUUUAGCUUCAAAGAGAUCGUCACGGUAGACAAUGCUACUGGGUCAAUGAAGGGUUAUUGCAUCGAUGUCUUUACUCAGGCAUUGGCUUUGCUUCCUUAUCCUGUUAGUUACAAGUUUGUACCUUUUGGGAAUGGUACUGAAAAUCCUAAUUAUGACAAACUCGUACAGAUGAUUGAAUCAAAUGUAAGUAUGGAAUGCCUCUUUUCUUCCUCUAACCAUUUCAUCAUAUACCAUGCUGACCAGGGUCAUCUUAUCCUGCAGGAGUUUGAUGCAGCUAUAGGGGAUAUUGCAAUUACAAUGAGGCGGACAGUAACUUUUGAUUUCACCCAGCCAUUCAUUGAAACAGGCUUGGUUAUCUUGGCUCCGGUUAAAGAGCAUAUAACAUCGUCCUGGGCAUUCUUGCAGCCAUUUAGUUUGGAGAUGUGGUGUGUUACAGGGCUGUUCUUUCUUAUUGUGGGUGUGGUUAUUUGGGUUCUUGAACAUCGGAUCAAUGACGAUUUCCGUGGUUCAGUAUGUCAACAAAUAAUAACUAUUUUCUCGUAAGGAGCUGGCAUUUACCUUUUGUAUCGUCUUCUUGUAUAUCAUUCCUGUUUUCGAAGUGUUGAUGUUUUAACAAGUCUUGUGCAAUAUGUUGCAUACAGCGAGCACCUUAGAGCAUUGGCCAGUUAACAUACCUAAAUGAAGCAUCUAGUGAUUACCAAUGAACUACUCCCUCUGUCCCAUAAUAUAAGAGUGUUUUUGACGGCGGGAGUAUUAUCUUAAUAAUCUUGUGAGACAUAUAUACAUGCACAGUAUAUAUAUUCGCUUAAUGAUAUUUAUGUUCAUUGCUCUAUUUUUUCCUGUUUUCACGUACUUCUCCACAUGUAUUUGCCAAAUGCUCUUAUCAUGACGUGAUUCCUUACUGUGAGUAUAAUUUCAAAUUUUAUUGCCUGCAGGUUCAGCUUUUCAACUUUGUUCUUCGCACACAGUGAGUAAACCAACCUUUUCUCUUAUGUGUUUUUUUGGCUAUAACAUUUUGUUCUGAGGCAUGACUCGUGAUUUCAUCCAUGUCUGCUCGCAGGAGAAAAUACUAUGAGUGCCUUAGGGCGUGGUGUCCUGAUCAUAUGGCUGUUUGUUGUUUUGAUAAUUGUAUCCAGCUAUACCGCGAGUCUUACUUCCAUCCUGACCGUGCAACAACUUGAUACUUCUAUAAAAGGAAUUGAUGACCUGAAAAAUAGCAAUGAUCCUAUUGGUUUCCAAGUUGGUUCUUUUGCACAAGACUAUAUGGUCAAGGAGCUCAACAUCUCACGGUCAAGGCUAAGAGCUCUUGGUUCACCACAAGAAUACGCGGAAGCCCUCAAGAUAGGCCCUAAGGAAGGAGGUGUUAUGGCCAUUGUUGACGAGCGCCCCUAUGUUGAACUGUUUUUGUCAACCUACUGCAAGAUUGCGGUAGCUGGCACAGAUUUCACCAGCAGAGGAUGGGGCUUUGUAAGUACAGUUCAACCAUAUACUUUUAUAUAAACUACUCCCUCCGUUCCUAAAUAUAAGUCUUUGUAGAGAUUCCACUAUGGACCACAUACGGAUGUGCAUAGAUGCAUUUUAGAUUGGAGAUUCACUCAUUUUGCUCCGUAUGUAGUCCAUAGUGGAAUCUUCCCAAAGACUUAUAUUUAGGAACGUAGGGAGUAGAAUAUAAGAACAAAAUAUUAUGCUGUUAAUGUCCUGGAAUAGAGGUUUUAACUUUGAAUAGUUGUGUCUAGUCUCUAGUUUAUUAUGCAACUUUUCUUGCACUUAUCUGCGGCUACUUUGUUUCGCAAAUCGAAAUGUAGCACCUUACAAAUUAAUUCUGCCAGGCAUUUCCAAGGGACUCCCCUUUGCAAGUAGACCUCUCCACCGCAAUCCUGUCUCUGUCAGAGAAUGGGGAGCUGCAGCGGAUCCAUUCCAAAUGGCUCAAUACAGGGGAGUGCACAACUGACAACAGCGAGUUUGUCGACUCGAACCAGCUCCGCCUUGAGAGCUUCCUUGGUCUGUUCCUAAUCUGUGGUGUGGCAUGUGUUCUCGCGCUGCUACUCUACUUUGGUAUCAUGCUAUGCAAAUACCUGAGGCAUGAACCGCGGAAGAGCCUCAGAAGAUUCAUCUCGUUCGUCCAUGGGAAGGAGCCGCCGAAGAACAUGGAGAGGCGAUCCAUGAGCCUGCCUGGAAGCUCGACGCCAACAACGCCGAUGGGCAGCUUUAGUUCCCUUGACAUGGAAAGGCCGGCCAGGCCAGUCAGAAACGGCAGCGUUAUUGAUAUGGAAAGCUAGUUCAUGUGUAGAAAGCUACGCGGUCGACUAACAUAGGUUCUGGUAGUCGGACAGCAGGGGUGUAUAGGGGGAUUCAAAAUACUUCUUAAGUACUCCCUCCGAUCCAAAUUAUUCCAAAGUUUAGGAAAUAAGAGAAGGAAGGAUUAAUAAGAAAUAAAAAUAUUGAAAUGCUCCUCCUGUCCUACAUAUAUUGUUUUUACCUUUUCAUGACUGUAUUUUGGGGGGAGUGUGGAUUUUCUAUCAUGCACGGGACCUCCCGUGCAUGCAUCCAUCACAUUUUUUAUUGCUGUGUGGGGCCCCUAUUUUCUCUCACCUAACAUACAUUCACAUGUUAAUUUGUACUGACUAGGUUUCAUUCACUAGUGCAGAACAGGCCUUUAUCACUGGUUCAUAAGGGCCUUUAGUGCCGGUUCUGUAACCGGCACUAUGGAGUGGAGACUAAAGGCCCCCCUUUAGUACCGGUUCGGCACGAAUCGGCGCUAAAGUGCCACCACGUGGCACGAGCCAGUCCCGGGUGCUGGUAGACCAUUAGUACCGGUUGAUAACACCAACCGGUACUAAAUGUUUGGGGGGGUUUUGGUUUUAAUUUUUAAUUUUUCAUUAACUUUGGGUUUUCCAUUUAAUUCUUUUUUGUUUGCUGGUAUUUUACGAUACUACAUAUUGUACACGUUAUGCAUAUAUAUAUAAAUAGAUUUUCUCGUAGAACUGAUCAUAUAUAUAAUCGAAUGUCUCACAACCACCAUUAAUUAUUCACACAUACACNNNNNNNNNNNNNNNNNNNNNNNNNNNNNNNNNNNNNNNNNNNNNNNNNNNNNNNNNNNNNNNNNNNNNNUUUGCUGGUAUUUUACGAUACUACAUAUUGUACACGUUAUGUAUAUAUAUAUAAAUAGAUUUUCUCGUAGAACCAAUCAUAUAUAUAUAUAAUCGAAUGUCUCACAACCACCAUUAAUUAUUCACACAUACACAUGUAUAUAUAUAUAUAUAUAUAUAUAUAUAUAUAUAUAUAUAUAUAUAUAUAUAAUUUCUCCUCCAUGUUGCCUUGGUGCCUUCGGAGCACGAUGACAAGUGGUUCAUGGAGACGGUAGCGGGUAAUAGUAUUUUCCUUUGGGAUCUAUGACCUGCUCGAGCAAAAAUCUCGUUAUUUCCUCUUGAAGUGCUCGUAUGCGCUCUGUUGGUAGGAGCUGGUCCCGCAUGUCUUUGAACCGUUAAGAAGGAGAUCAAUAUGCAUGUGUAUUAGUUGUGUGACUAGAUAUCGAUAAUCAUGUAAGAUUUGUGAAUAGUGUUCUGGCAAACGUACCCAUUGUUGUCUAUCAUAUCUGCUCCUUUCGGACGCCAUUAUGCGAAUGUUCUUGAAAACGUAGUAUGCACACACUUCAGUCCCCGGCGCCUGCUUCAGGGCCUUUACGAGAAUAGAAUUUAAUCAGAUAAUAAUUAAUCAAGUGUGUUAAUUAAUUAAUGGUAUUGAAACAAGAAUUAAAGAGAUGGUAGCUAGCUAGCUAGUACUACUUAAUUACUUGCCUUGGGUCGAUACCAAAAUAGCUUUUGUCGCCAUUUUCCUGAAGUCACCUUGAUGUACUUUACCCAAGCCCUUCCCGUCGGCAAAGAAAAUUGAUAAAGGGGUUAUUAAAAAUAGUUCAUAUCAGGAAAUGAUAAACUAAAUAGGCCAAGAUAUAGUUAAUAAUGAUUGAAAUUACCUGUUGACUAUCCCUUCAUUAUGCUGUAGUCACUAUCUUUUUUAAGUAGUGAGUCCAGUACUUCAACUUUUCCUUCGUCAACUUUAAUGUCUAACAAGAUCCAGUGGUACCUGCAUACGCAUAAGUUUGCAUGUAUAAAUUAAGCGGGCAUGUGCAUAACACUAAUCAACUAUAACCCUAAACCCUUUACACUUAUUAACAUCUAGCUAGUAAGCAAAAACAGAAUUUGUAGUACAAGACAGUGUGACUCACUCGAAGUUGUAAGGAAGUAGUACAUCUUCAUUGCUAUUGAGGUGCUUCAAGAACUCUAGCAUGUUUUUCUCUACAUCUUGUCUACACCAUUCCAAUUUCCAUGUGUAUUCAUUAACAGUAUUUGGGUCAAUGAACCCAAUGCCAUAGCGUCUAGCUUUUUUCAUUUCAUACAUCUUCAUCCUGCAUAAUACCACAGAAAAGAAUAUAUAGUGAGGAUAUUUAAUUACAGGUAAUUAAUGAUCAAUCAAUGAGCACUAGAGCUAGCUUGAGACUUAAAUUACAGAAAGAAAUCACUUACAGACAAUAGCAACUGACGAUAGAUUUGUCGAGUGCAUCUUGAUUGAAUAACUGAAAUAGUUCUGAAUACUCAACAGUUAGAGCUUUCUUAUUGAAGUAAUGAUCUUCCUUGACUUGCACCAUGAGGGACUCUCAAUUGGAAAUCUUGAUAAUUUUCAUGUACCAAUCAUGCAAUUCAUACAUUCUCGUUGGGAGGUUCUUGACCUCCUCGGGCUCGACCAAAGGUUGGCCCCGGACAUAUUUCCGUUUUAUUUUCUCCUCUCUAAGCAGAGACAUGGGCUCGAUAUCGAGGAGUUGUCCAAUAGUGAUCUUGAGCAUUUCAGCCUGCAUUAUAUGAUCCUCGGUUAUUACCACACCACCCACCUCGGGAACGUAAAUGGUUGCGCCGCCUGUUCUCCCAGCUGGGGAACGGUUUUCCCGUAUUUUUUGACAGCUGCUUGUUGGCUCGAGCUCGAGCUCGCUUCUUUCCGUAGUCGUGCUCGAUGUGCCUUUCUGAUUUGGCGCUCAUAGUCUGAGUCAACAGGCUUGGGAGCUGGUGGCCUAGCCAUACGAAUGAAGUGGUCAAUAUUUUUCCUCAGGCACUUUCUCCCUCGGCGGCGUUGCCGGUUUCGGUCCAAAAUGGGCGUCCACUUGGGCCUUCACUAUGGCUGCAUUUUGCUCCUCGGUCAUGUUGUAAGGCCUCUGAGGAAGAGGAGCGAGGCUGCUUGGACCAUAUUUAUAUCGCUUGUCUCCGCCUGUACUUCCUGUACUACCUUGACUCGUACCACUACGCACCAUAGCUGCGGCGUGUCUCUUCUGCGAUUGCUGAGGCGGCGGAGACGGCUGACGUUGCUGAGUUGGAGCAGGAGGAGUGGCCUGACGCUGUGCCAGACUUGAAGCAGGAGGUGUGGCCACUAGUAGAAAAAGGGUCAAAUGUGAAGCACAUUAGUGCCGGUUUGUGAAAAAACCGGCACUAAUGUGAUCAAUAGUACCGGUUCGUGGCGGCGAUCAAUAGUAUCGGUUCGUGACGAACCUUUAGUACCGGUUCAUGCCACGAACGGUACUAAAGAGGAUGUGGCAGCCUGCAGUCAGGCUAUGGCCCCACCAUCACCAUUUAGUGCCGGUUCGUACCACGAACCAGUACUAAUGAGGUUAUGGCAAGCUGUUUUUAGUCCCACCUCGCUCCCCUAACAAGGCUUUUACCACCUUAAAUAUGUUACUUCUCAAACUAUCACAAGCACUUGGUCUUCAUUGAACUCUAUGUGUAGAAUUUGUGGCUGCAAUAUGAGUCUUCACCGGUUUAUAAAUCGUUGAGGACUCAUAUUGACAAUUCAGAUUGUACACAAAAAGAUCAUUGAUGAUCAAAGUAUUUUUAAUGUAUAAGAUCAUAGUGACAAUUCAGACUGUAAAGAAAUAUAAUAUCAUAAUCUAAAUGCUCUUAUAUUUUUUGCAUUCAGUAUGCACCAUUCAAAGCGACGCCAUCAACUUUCAACCAUUUAUGCCUUCAUUUGCUAUUUUUCAUGCAUUUAAUGAUUUGUUUUGAGAACUAAAUAACCUGGAAAUUGAAAAGCACUACAAAUGAACUCUGAAAAAGUUGAAACUUGGCAUGGUAUCAUCAUUUCACCCACAUAGCAUGUCCAAAAAAGUAGAGAGGGUUAUGGCAAAAACUGGAUGCACUUCGUUUACAAACUGGACAAUCUCUUUCGAAGUAUUUGGGUUUUGACGAAAUUAAACUCAUCUGUUACAAAGGCAUUUCAUUUUUUAAACUUAUUACAACCCCAGACUUUUUGUUCAUUAGUAUGCACUAUUCAACUACUAGGCGGGAGGAGCUCUUUAGUACCGGUUCCAACUGCUAAGCGGGAGGAGCUCUUUAGUACCGGUUCGUGGCGAACCUUUAGCACCGGUUCGUGCCACGAACUGGUACUAAUAAGGUUGUGUUAGGUAAGGCUGGGGCCCCACGAGCACCUUUAUUACGGGUUCAUGGCAUGAACCAGUACUACAGUUUCUUAGAAAGCUGUUUUUUAGUCCCACCUCGCGAAGAGAGAGGGACUAGGAGCGGUUUAUAAGCCCUGAGUGCAGAGACGAUGAAGAAGAGGCUCAAUGCUCACGUUGCUUAGCUUCAAGCCUUGAGGAAUAUGGUAGACUGCAUGGAGCUAUGUGCAAUGCAGUUUACACUAUUCCGAAAGGCUUGAAACUAAUUAACGAGCAUUGCAUCUCUUUUUUAUUUUUAAUAACUUAUUACAACUCCGGACUUCUUCUGUUAUGGCAAAAACUAGAUGCACUUCGUGUACAAACUGGACAAUCUCUUUUAAAGUAUCAGGGCCGGUUUCAGACGAAAACUCUGGUUAUAACUCCAGACUUUGACCAUCAAGUUUUAACCAUCAACUUGGCAUGGUAUAUGAAAAUAAAUGAAUAGAAGAAAAUAAAUAAAGCAGAAAAGAAAAAAACUAUAGCAGAAAAUAAAAAACUAUAUAAAAAACUACUCAGAAAUAAAUAGAAGAAAAUAAAUAUAGCAGAAAAGAAAAAAACUAUUCAGAAAUAAAUAGAAGAAAAAAUAAAGCAGAAAAGAAAAAAAACUAUAUUUGCUAUUUUUCAUUCGUUUACUGAUUUUUUUAGAGAGCCAAAUGACCGUGAAAUUAAAAAUCACUACAAAAUAAACUCUGAAAAUGUUGAAUUUUGGCAAACUAGAUAAAAAACUACUCACAAAUAAAUAGAAGAAAAUAAAUAUAACAGAAAAGAAAAAACUAUACAAAAAACUACGCAGAAAUAAAUAGAAGAAAAUAAAGCAGAAAAUAAAAAAACUAUACAAAAAAAUUGGGGCGCUGCCCAAUGGGCCUGCUAGGCCACGGGCGUGCAAUUACAGGCCCUAACGGCCCAACAGGCUCACAGGGCAGCGCACAGAAGUUAGGCCCAGAAGCCUGCUAUAUAUAGGAGUUCAAAGAGGCAGCCGCGGCUGGGUUUAUAAACCAGUGAGGCUGCCCUUCGCACGGGGAGAUGGGACUAAACGUCGUGCACCGCGGGUGGCAGCGCAAGGCCUUUAGUAUCGGUUGGUGGCUCCAACCGGUACUAAAGCUCGUGCCUUUAGUACCGGUUGGAGUCACCAACCGAUACUAAAGGCCAUCGGUUCCCGUCGUUUGGCCUGGCGAAAAUAGGCCUUUAGUACCAGUUGGAGGCACCAACCGGUACUAAAGGCCCAUCCUAUAUAUAUAGCACUUACGAAAUUUUCAGUUUCAUCCCCCACUUCGUCUCUCGAACCGCGUGCGCCGCUCGAUCCCCGUCGUGUCGCCGCACGUCGCCCGUCGUCCGUCGUCGUCGUCGCUGUCCCCCGCCGCCGCCCGUCGUCGUCGUCGUCUCACGCCGCUGCCCUGAACGCCGCCGCUGUCUGUCGUCGUCGCCGCGGCGCCGCCCGAUACGUCUCUCCCCGCCCCGUACGCCGACGCCCCUGCCCCCGCCCCGUACGCCGCCGCCCCCGCCCCCGCCCCGUACGCCGGCGCCCCCGCGGCGUACUGCACAUACACACACACGUAUACAUAUACACGCAGUACACACAUAUACACACACAUACACAUACACAUUUUUUUACUAGUUGAAUAAUUUAUAUAAUUAAUAUAACUAGUUUAUUUUAGUAAGAAAAUAAUCGAACUAGUUUAUUUAGGUAUAUGAGAUUUGAACUAGUUGAAUAAUUAAUAUAACUAGUUUAUUUUUAGUAAGAAAAUAGUCGAACUAGUUUAUUUAGGUAUAUGAGAUUUGAACUAGUUGAAUAAUUAAUAUAAAGAAAAUUUAGGUAUCUGAGAUUUGAUGAUCUAAUUAAAAUAUUAUUUGUUAAUGAGUUUUUCUGUUUAUUUAAUUUUUUUUAUAUAUUUUUAGUUUAUAUAAAUGUUAGAUUAAUGUCGAAUGUUAAAUGAAUUAGAUAGAAAAGUUAAAUAUAUAGUAAUGUCAAUUGUUAGAGAUGAAUAUAGUUAGAUAUAUUAAUGUCAAAUGUUAGAUGAAUAUAUAUAUUUGAAUUAGCUAGAUAUUAAUUAAUGUUAGAUAGUAAUAAGUGUUUAAUGUUUCACUUAUAUGAACAUAGGAAAUGUCAUCUGACAACGAAGAAGAUUUCAUUAUGUGCGAACACUNNNNNNNNNNUCUCCUACAUGUUGCCUUGGUGCCUUCGGAGCACGAUGACAAGUGGUUCAUGGGGGCGGUAGCGGGUGAUAGUAUUCUCCUUUGGGAUCUAUAACCUGGUCGAGCAAAAAUCCCGCUAUUUCCUCUUGAAGUGCUCGUAUGCGCUCCUCUGAUAGGAGCUUGUCCCGCACCUAUUUGAACUGUUAAGAAGGAGAUCAAUAUGCAUGUGUAUUAGUUGUGUGACUAGAUAUCGACAAUCAUGUAAGAUUUGUGAAUAUUGUUCUGGCAAACGUACCCAGUCCUGUCUAUCAGAUCUGCUCCUUUCGGACGCCAUCAUGCGAAUGUUCUCGCAAACGUAGUAUGCACACACUUCAGUCUCCGGCGCCUGCUUCAGGGCCUUUACGACAAUAGAAUUUAAUCAGAUAAUAAUUAAUCAAGUAUGUUAAUUAAUUAAUUGUAUUGAAACAAGAAUUAAAGAGAUGGUAGUUAGCUAGCUAGUACUACUUAAUUACUUACCUUGGGUCGAUAUCAACAUAGCUUUUGUCGCCAUUUUCCUGGAGUCACCUUGAUGUACUUUGCCCAAGCCCUGCCCGCCGGCAAAGAAAAUUAAUAAAGGGGUUAUUAAAAAUAGUUCAUAUCAGGAAAUGACGAACUAAAUAGGCUGAGAUAUAGUUAAUAAUGAUUGAAAUAACCUGUCGACUAUCCCCUUCACGAUGCUGUAGUCACUAUUUUUUUAAGUAGUGAGUCCAGUACUUCAACUUUUCCUUCGUCAACUUUAAUGUCUAAUAAGAUCCAGUGGAAGCUGCAUGCGCAUACGUUUGCAUGUAUAAAUUAAACGGGCAUGUGCAUAACACUAAUCAACUAUAACCCUAAACCCUAUACACUUAUUAACAUCUAGCUAGUAAGCAAAAACAGAAUUUGUAGUACAAGACAGUGUGACUCACUCGAAGUUGUAAGGAAGUAGUAUAUCUUCAUUGCUAUUGAGGCGCUUCAAGAACUCUAGCAUGCAUUUCUCUACAUCUUGUCUACACCUUUCCAAUUUUCAUGUGUAUUCAUUAACGGUAUUUGGGUCAAUGAACCCAAUGCCAUAGCGUCCAGCUUUUUUCAUUUCAUACAUCUUCAUCCUGCAUAAUACCACAGAAAAGAAUAUAUAGUGAGGAUAUAUAAUUACAGGUAAUUAAUGAUCAAUCAAUGAGCACUAGAGCUAGCUUGAGACUUAAAUUACAGAAAGAAAUCACUUACAGACAAUAGCAACUGACGAUAGAUUUGUCGAGUGCAUCUUGAUUGAAUAACUGAAAUAGUUUUGAAUACUCAAUGGCCAGAACUUUCUUAUGGAAGUAAUGAUCUUCCUCGACUUGCACCAUGAGGGACUCUCGAUUGGAAAUCUUGGUAAUUUUCAUGUACCAAUCAUGCAAUUCAUACAUUCUCGUUGGGAGGUUCUUGACCUCCUCGGGCUCGACCAAAGGUUGGCCCCGGACAUAUUUCCGUUUUAUUUCCUCCUCUCUAAGCGGAGGCAUGGGCUCGAUCUCGAGGAGUUGUCCAACAGUGAUCUUGAGCAUUUCAGCCUGCAUUAUAUGCUCCUCGGUUAUUACCACAUCGCCCAGCUCGGGAACGUAAACGGUUUGCCCACAAUAAUAUUGGGCGCGCGUACUCUCAUGUGUUGUUGGCACAACAAGCGAGGGGGGGGGGGUGGUCGAUUGCGCCGCCUGUUCUCCCAGCUGGGGAACGGUUUUCCCGCAUUUUUUGACAGCUGCUUGUUGGCUCGAGCUCGAGCUUGCUUCUUUCUGUAGUCGUGCUCGAUGUGCCUUCUUGAUUUGGCGCUCAUAGUCUGAGUCAACAGGCUUGGGAGCUGGUGGUCUAGCCAUACGAAUGAAGUGGUCAAUCUUUUCCUCAGGCACUUUCUCCCUCGGCGGCGUUGCCGGUUUCGGUCGAAAAUGAGCGUCCACUUGGGCCCACACUAUUGCAUCGUUUUGCUCCUCGGUCAUGUCGUAAGGCCUCUGAGGAAGAGGAGCGAGGCUGCUUGGACCAUAUUUAUAUCGCUUGUCUCCGCCUGUACUUUCUGUACUACCUCGACUCGUACCGCUACGCACCAUAGCUGCGGCGUGUCUCUUCUGCGAUUGCUUAGGCGGCGGAGACGGCUGACGUGGCUUAGUUGGAGCAGGAGGAGUGGCCCGACGCUGUGCCGGACUUGAAGCAGGAGGUGUGGCCUGACACGGUGUCGGACUUGAAGCAGGAGGUGUGGCCUGACGCCGUGCCGGACUUGAAGCAGGAGGUGUGGCCUGACACGGUGGCGGACUUGGAGGAGCGGGAGUCUGCUGACACGGUGGCGGACUUCGAGGAGGAGUCGGCAGACGCGGUGUCGGUGGACUUCGAAAGAUGAUGCAAUCCUUUUUCCAUAGGAUGAAACGAUGUAUGGCCUCUCCCAGUGUUUGCUCGUCGUCACCUCCAGGAAUGUCAAGCUCUAGCCCCGAAUAUGGGCCCACCACCUCAUCAACCAAGACACGAGCAUAGCCCUCUGGAAUCGGGGCACAAUGGAAGGUUGCUCCGGGGGUAAUUGUAAAAGCAACGGCGUUCGCCACCUUCAUGGAUAUGUUCUUCAUUUUGUAGUGUAGCUCACAGUUAGUGUUCUCUAUGAUGUCAUCCACAGGGUAUGUAUCCAGCAGUGCGUCGCCCGGGGCGGAACCAACGCUGCUUCUCGGCAUGGAUGGGACGGCGCUAUCCAAUGCUGGAUGAUCAUCCGCUUGCUGCUGCCGCUGCUGAGACCCCCUUUCCUGGCUAAGUGAGUCGAUCUGCUGCUGUUGCUGCUGCUGGAAUUUGAGUGCCAAGUCCGCGUGCCUUGCUUCUAGGCCUUGAAGGCGUUCCGCGUCCUGCUUCCUCUGCUCCUCCUCCAGCUUCCUCUUCUUCUCCUCCUCCAUCUUCUUUCUUGCACGGGUCCUGUAGUCGUCGUUCCAUUCCGAAAAGCCCUCAUACCAGGGAAUAACGCCCUUGCCUCGCGUUCUUCCCGGGUGUUCAGGAUUUCCCAGGGCACGCGUAAGCUCGUCGUUCUCUCUGUUGGGCGUGAACACCCCCUUUCGAGCAUCUUCUAUUGCGUCAAGUAACUUUUCUUCUGCUCCGUUUAGACUUGCCUUCUUCGAAACCAGGCCUGUCUUCGGGUCCAACGCCCCCCCAUGCGCAUAGAACCAAGUUCUGCACCUGGGGGGCCAGCUCCUAGUAACCGGAGUGACCCCUGCAUCCUCCAUCUCUUGCUCAGACUUAUCCCACUUAGGCAUUGCCACCGCGUAGCCACCUGGACCCAGCCUAUGGAACUGCGUCUUUUUUGCGGCAUUGGCCUUGUUUUUUCUCGACGUUCCUUAGAUAAUUCUGAUUCCUUGAAUUUCACGAAAGCGGGCCAGUGUUCUCUUUGCUUCUCCAGUGUUCCCUUGAAUUCUGGAGUCUUCCUUUCUGCAGUGAGGUAGUUGGCCCAUACAGUUUUCUUGUGGGUGUUGAAUGCAAUUGCCAUCUUCUUAAGAGCAGCGUCCUUGACUUUCUGCACAUCUGCAUCAGUGAAAUAAUCUGAUAGGGUGAAAUGUUCCAUCAGAGAUUUCCAAAGCUUUUGUUUUGCUCUGUCGUCGACCCAAGUAAUAUCUGGGCGUUUAGUUUUUGGCUCUUUCCAUUCUUGAAUGGAGAUCGGGAUUUGGUCCUUCACAAGAACUCCGCACUGACGAACGAACUUGCUCGCAAUGUUCUUAGGCGUGAGGGGUUCGCCACUAGCUUUGAUGGAAUCGAUGUUGUACUUUACACCCUCCUUCAACUUUUUGCUCGGGCCGCGCUUUGUCCUGCUGUCUGUAGAAGCAGAUUUGCUCGAUCCGGAGGGCUGAAAGAAGAAAGAUCGAUUCGUUAAUAUAUCUUCAAAUAAAAAAACAUGUGAUGAUCACUAGAUGACUGCUUAUAUAAAUAUACCUCGCCGGUAGUCUUUGUUAUUUCAAGAUCAACAUUGUAUUCGUCAUCAUAAUCAUUGUCUGCGUCAUCAUAAUCAUAAUCAUAGUUCAUGACUUCAUCAGCUCGGUCGUCGAGAUUGAAUAUCUUAUCAUCACCCUCCCCGGUAUUGUUCAGAUAUUGGGAGCCGUCAUUUGCUUCAUUUAGAUCAUCUGGCCUGCUAGGGCUGCGUAUGAUCUCGAACAGGGCCUCUUCUCCCUCUCUGCCGGUAUUGUCCGCCAUAGCUUUUAUUUAACUAAUACAAAAGAAAUAUAAAACAAUUAAGUAUUCAAAUUACAAUGCAUGGAUGCAAUCAAUAAGGAAAAACUGAAUCAUAUAGUACAUAAUAUGCAUCGUCUCGAAUAAUAUAUAAUCUCGAAUACAUCGUCUCGAAUAAUAUAUAAUCUCAAAUACAUCACUGGCUAGGUAGCUAAUAAAGAUCGAAUACUAUAGAAGAAUCUAGGCCACUCGCGGUUCCUGGGGCGCGGGCGGUGGACACCCAAAGACAAGGAACCAUCACAGAAUCAUAUCUCUGGUCAUCUGCCCAAAGAACCUGCCAGGUAUUGGAGAACCUGACGUCCAUAGCAGCCAUGUAGCGAUGGACGUGCUCGUCCUCCUCCCUGACACGACGACGCACCACCUCUGGCGGGGCCGGCUCCCUCUGCACCGAAUGUGGCCCACGCGAACGCCACUAAAGGAGAUCAGGGUCGACAACGGGACCCGAGGCUGGGUCCCUCACCAAGCGGCGCGCCCCUCCAGGUAGCACCUCCCAAUGCCAGCCCGGCGGAGCCCAAUCCCGGACAUGGGUCAGCCGGACGUCGUCGCGAACGGGUCGACGGCGAGGAUGCAGGCCGGGCAUCGUCGAGAACAAAUACUAUAUGCCCGCAAAAAGUAACAUUUUUUAAAAGAUUGGAUUGUGAUAACUAAAAUUCUAUAUGCAAAUUCUAACAAUUUGACAUUAAUCUAAUUCAUCUAACUAAAACUAAUUCUAAAAUUUCUAACAUUUCUAUAUAUAUAACUAACAUUUCUAUAACAUUUCUAAUAUUUCUAUAACUAAAAAACAGAAAAAUUGCUACGAUGACGCGGAUGGCGACGAGGGGGGCAGCGACGGGGGCGGCGACGACGGGGACGGGGACGGCCGGGGCGGCGACAACGGNNNNNNNNNNNNNNNNNNNNNNNNNNNNNNNNNNNNNNNNNNNNNNNNNNNNNNNNNNNNNNNNNNNNNNNNNNNNNNNNNNNNNNNNNNNNNNNNNNNNNNNNNNNNNNNNNNNNNNNNNNNNNNNNNNNNNNNNNNNNNNNNNNNNNNNNNNNNNNNNNNNNNNNNNNNNNNNNNNNNNNNNNNNNNNNNNNNNNNNNNNNNNNNNNNNNNNNNNNNNNNNNNNNNNNNNNNNNNNNNNNNNNNNNNNNNNNNNNNNNNNNNNNNNNNNNNNNNNNNNNNNNNNNNNNNNNNNNNNNNNNNNNNNNNNNNNNNNNNNNNNNNNNNNNNNNNNNNNNNNNNNNNNNNNNNNNNNNNNNNNNNNNNNNNNNNNNNNNNNNNNNNNNNNNNNNNNNNNNNNNNNNNNNNNNNNNNNNNNNNNNNNNNNNNNNNNNNNNNNNNNNNNNNNNNNNNNNNNNNNNNNNNNNNNNNNNNNNNNNNNNNNNNNNNNNNNNNNNNNNNNNNNNNNNNNNNNNNNNNNNNNNNNNNNNCGGGGGCGGCGGGCGACGGGGCAGAGGAGAAGAAGCAGAUGAAAACUGACGAAAUUUCUAAGUGCUGCUUAUAUAGGAUGGGCCUUUAGUACCGGUUGGAGCCACCAACCGGGACUAAAGGUCAAAUUUGGCCAGCCCAAGCGGCGGGAAGCGCACCCCUUUAGUACCGGGUGGUGGCACCAACCGGUACUAAAGACCCCCCUUUAGUACCGGUUGGAGCCACCACCCGGUACUAAAGGGUGUGCGCUGCUAGGCGAGGGGCGCAGAAGUUUAGUCCCACCUCGCUAGUUGAGGAGCGCCAGGACCAGUUUAUAAGCCCCGAUGCGGGCACUGCAUUGAGCUCCUCUCAAUAGUAGGCCUUCUGGGCCUACCUCUCCUACUCUGCCUGUGGGCCUACUGGGCUUGCGGGCCUGCAUCCUGGCCCAACUACAGGUUGGGUUUCUAGUCGUAUGCAGGCCGCUCUGGCCGAGUAGGUGGGCUUUUUUAUUUUCUUUUUUUUUUACUUUAUUUAUUUUUGAGUUGUUUUUUGCUGUAUUUAGAGUUUCUUUGGGAAUAUUUUUGCUUUAGGUACAAAAAAUUACAAAGUUUCUGUUAAUGCCGGUAGUUUACAAAUUUGAAUAGUUUAUAUUUUGAAUUAUUUGAAAUUUGUGUGAAUCACUAGUUUGUGAAUAACUUAACUUUGAAAAUAGAUUUUCAGUGAUUCUUUUAUCUUAUGUUUAAUAUUAGUGUGUUUUAUCAUUAUAUUCAAUUUGGUAAUGCUUAGGUUAUUUAAAAAAUGAAAUCCCUUUGUAACGGAUGAGUUUUUGUCCGAAACCCUGAUACUUCGAAAGAGAUUGUCCAUUUUAUACACGAAGUGCAUCCAGUUUUUGCGGUAACCCUCUCUAUUUUUUUGCACAUGCUAUAUGGGUGAAAUUAUGAUACCAUGCCAACUUUCAACCUUUUCUGAGUUCAUUUGAAAUGCUUUUCAAUUUCAGGGUCAUUUAGCUGAAAAAAUCAGUAAAUGCAUGAAAGAAUUUGUUUGCACAUAAAAUUUCUUCGCGUUUCAAAUGUCAAAACACAUAACUACCCUAACUAUUACAGAGAUUCCUUCCUGGGUGUGAAACACAGAAGAAAUUGAUGAUAGUGAAGCCGAUCACAUCCCAGAUCUUUGGGUGUGUAACUUUUUCUUCGCAUAUGUCCCUUUGCGCCGUAGCCAUGGAAAAUCUUCAUCAUUUAACUGGAUGCUCGGGUCAAUAUUCACUGUGAAUGGAGCAAUUUCAUCAAUCUUUUCAUAAUCUUCUGACAUGUCUGUCUUGUCAUCCACUCCCACGAUGUUUCUCUUCCCAGAAAGAACUAUGUGGCGCUUUGGCUCAUCGUAUGAUGUAGUCGCUUCCUUGUCUUUUCUUUUUCUCGGCUUGGUACACAUAUCCUUCACAUAGAAAACGUGUGCCACAUCAUUAGCUAGGACGAAUGGUUCAUCUGCAUACGCAAGAUUGUUGAGAUCUACUGUUGUCAUUCCAUACUGCGGGUCUUCCGUUACCCCAUAUCGUGUCAUAUUGACCCAUUUGCACCGAAACAAAGGGACCUUCAAAUCACGUCCAUAGUCAAGUUCCCAUAUCUCCUCUAUGUAACCAUAAUAUGUUUCCUUUCCCGUCUUGGUUGUUGCAUCAAAGCAGACACCACUGUUUUGGUUGGUGCUCUUCUUAUCUUGGGCGAUCGUGUAAAAUGUAUUACCAUUUAUCUCGUACCCUUUGAAAGUCAUUAUAUUCGUAGAUGGUAACUAGGACAGCGAGUACACAUCAUCUUCAAUAGAGGCGUCAUGCAUGGUACGUGUCUGCAACCAGCCGGCGAAACUCCUGGUUUGUUCACGUGUAAUCCAGUCAUCAGACCGCUCCGGGUGUUUGGAGCGUAGAAAAUUCUUGUGUUCGUCCAUAUACGGAGCCACCAAGGCGGAAUUCUGUAUAACUGUGUAGUGUGCUUCAGUGAGAGAAUGUCCGUCCAUACAUAUUUUUUGAUUCCCUCCUAGCGUGCCUUUUCCAUCUAGUCUGCCCUUAUGCCGCGAUUCAGGAACACCAAUCGGCUUAAGGUCAGGAAUAAAGUCAAUACAAAACUCAAUGACCUCCUAAUUUUCAUGGCCCUUGGAGAUGCUUCCUUCUGGCCUAGCACGGUUAUGAACAUAUUUCUUUAAGACUCCCAUGAACCUCUCAAAGGGGAACAUAUUGUGUAGAAAUACAGGACCCAAAACACUAAUCUCUUCGCAUAGGUGAACUAGGACGUGCGUCAUGAUGUUGAAGAAGGAUGGUGGGAACACCAACUCAAAACUGACAAGACUAAUCGAACGUUGAGGAAUGCACGCAUAGCUUCACAAUGGCUAAUCGAACGUUAUCCGGUAGAAGCCCCCUCAAUGCAACCGGAAGCAGUUGCGUCAUAAUCACGUGGCAGUCAUGAGACUUUAGGUUCUGGAACUUUUUCUCUGCCAUGUUUAUUAUUCCCUUUAUAUUCGACGAGAAGCCAGACGGUACCUUAAUACUGAGCAGACAUUCAAAGAAGAUUUCCUUCUCUUCUUUGGUAAGAGCGUAGCUGGCAUGACCCUGAUGUAUGCCGUCUUUUCCAUGCAUACGUUGCUAGUCCUCCCGUGCCUCAGGUGUAUCUUUUGUCUUCCCAUACACGCCCAAGAAGCCAAGCAGGGUCACGCAAAGAUUCUUCGUCACGUGCAUCACGUCGAUUGCAGAGCGGACCUCUAGAUCUUUCCAAUAGGGCAGGUCCCAAAAUAUAGAUUUCUUCUUCCACAUGGGUGCGCGUCCGUCAGCAUCAUUCGGAACAGGUUGUCCGCCAGGACCCUUUCCAAAGACUACCUUCAAAUCCUUGACCAUAUCAUGUACAUCAGCACCAGUACGGUGGCGAGGCUUCGUCCGGUGAUCCGCCUCACCUUUGAAAUGCUUGCCUUUCUUUCUUACGGGAUGCCUGCUCGGAAGAAAUCGACGAUGUCCUAGGUACACAUUCUUCCUACAAUUGUCCAAAUAUAUACUGUCGGUAUCAUCCAAACAGUGCGUGCAUGCGCGGUAUUCCUUGUUUGUCUGUCCUGAAAGGUUACUGAGAGCAGGCCAAUCAUUGAUGGUCACGAACAGCAAGGCCUUUAGGUCAAAUUCUUCCCCCAAGUGCUCAUUCCACGCACGUACACCUGUUCCAUUCCACAGCUGUAAGAGUUCUUCAACUAAUGGCCUUAGGUACACAUCAAUGUCGUUGCCGGGUUGCUUAGGGCCUUGGAUGAGGACUGGCAUCAUAAUGAACUUCCACUUCAUGCACAACCAAGGAGGAAGGUUAUACAAACAUAGAGUCACAGGCCAGGUGCUAUGGUUGCUGCUCUGCUCCCCAAAAGGAUUAAUGCCAUCUGCGCUUAGACCAAACCAUACGUUCCUUGCGUCAUCUGCAAACUCCUUCCCGUACUUUCUCUCAAUUUUUCUCCACUGCGACCCGUCAGCGGGUACUCUCAACUUUCCGUCUUUCUUACGGUCUUCUCUGUGCCAUCGCAUCGCCUUGGCAUGCUCUUUGUUUUGGAACAAACGUUUCAACCGUGGUAUUAUAGGAGCAUACCACAUCACCUUGGCAGGAAUCUUCUUCCUGGGGCACUCGCCCUCGACAUCACCAGGGUCAUCGCGCCUGAUCUUAUAGCGCAAUGCACCGCAUACCGGGCAAGCGUUCAAAUCCUCGUACUCACCGCGGUAGAGGAUGCAGUCAUUAGGGCAUGCAUGUAUCUUCUGCACCUCUAACCCUAGAGGGCAGACAGCCUUCUUUGCUUCGUACGUACUCUCGGGCAAUUCGUUGUCCUUUGGAAGCAUAUUCUUUAUCAUUACCAGCAACUUUCCAAAUCCCUUGUCAGAUACACCAUUCUCUGCCUUCCAUUGCAGCAAUUCCAGUGUGGUGCCCAACUUUUUCUUGUCAGCUUCGCAAUUCGGGUACAACAAUUUCUUGUGAUCCUCUAACAUGCGCUGCAACUUCUUCUCCAAAUCACUUGCGCAGUUUCUCUUUGCAUCGGCAAUGGCCCGACCUAGAUCAUCAGCGGGCUCAUCUGAUGCCUCUUCUUCAGCUUCUUCCCGCAUUGCCGGCUCAGCUUCUUCCCUCAUUGUUGUAUCAUCGUAUUCAGGGAACCCAUGGCCAGGAUAGUUGUCGUCGUCCUCUUCUUCUUCAUUGUCUUCCAUCAUAACCCCUCUUUCUCCGUGCUUGGUCCAAACAUUAUAGUGGGGCAUGAAACCAGGACUUAAACAGGUGGACGUGAAUGGUUCUUGACGUAGAGUAAUUGUGAUCAUUCUUACAGACUAAACAUGGACAAGGCAUAAAACCAUCCGCCCGCUUGUUUGCCUCAGCCGCAAGCAGAAAAGUUUGCACGCCAUUAAUGAACUCGGGAGAGCAUCGGUCAUCGUUCAUCCAUUGUCGGCUCAUCUUCAUUACACAACACCGAAUAGACCAAAUUAAUACAAGUUCAUACAUAAAGUUCAUACAAGCCUUAAAUGCAACAAACAAAUAACUCUCUAACUAAAAAAUUUAAAUGCAACAACAAAUGCGAUCAAGAUCGCAACUAAGGUGACAAUUGAUCCAACAACAUAAUGAUACCAAGCCUCACUAUCAAUGGCAUAUUUUCUAAUCUUUCUAAUCUUCAAACGCAUUUUCUCCAUCUUGAUCUUGUGAUCAUCGACGACAUCGGCAACAUGCAACUCCAAUUCCAUCUUCUCCCCCUCAAUUCUUUUCAAUUUUUCUUUCAAAUACUCGUUUUCUCUUUCAACUAAAUUUAACCUCUCGACAAUAGGGUCGGUUGGAAUUUCCGGUUCACAAACCUCCUAGACAAAAAUAUCUAUGUCAACUUGAUGGGCAUAAUUUGUCAUAAACACGAAAUGCAACAACUAGUUUUAAAAGAGAAUAUACCACAUCCGAAUCAUAAUAAGGAUGAGGGCCGACGGGGACGGAUAUCAAAACCAUGGCACUAUGUAUAACAAACAAUGUACGGGUAAGAUAAUUAUACGAGUAACUAUAUAUCCAAAUCACACAAACAUCAAUUUGGUAAUGUAAAACAUUCAUGAACAAGAGGCUCACCACAAGGUGGUGCCGGCGACGGAACGGUGUGGGCGAUCGACUGUGGUUACGAUAGAGAUUUAGAAGGCACUAAGUAAACCACACCUACAUAUGCAAACUAAGUGUUAGUUUUGACCACAAAUUGCAUAUAAGUCAAAUACUAGCACAUAUAUUUUCUACCAAAUUACUAAACUCAUAAAUUAAUCACUAUACAAAGCAUUGCAAGAGCUAAUCUAGCAAUGAGAGAUGAAAGGACAAAGUUGCUAACCUUUGUGGUCAUUUGAAUGGAUGGGGGCCUUCAAAUCUUGACAAAUUUUGGGCAAAAUGUGUGAUGAGCUCGAGAGGAAGAGGGGAAGAACAUAGAGGAGAGGGGAAAGGGGAAGAACAGAGCGAGCUCGGGUGGACGAAAGGCUUAUGUACGACGACCUUUAGCAUCGGUUCGUGCCACGAACCGGUACUAAAGGUGCUGGAGGGGCCCCGGACUGACAACAUCCUUCCACCUCUCACUUUAGUACCGGUCCGUAGCACGAACCGGUGCUAAAGGUCGGCCACGAACCAGUACUAAUGAAAGCAGCUGGCUAGCCGUUGGAACCGGCACUAAUGCACACAUUAGUGCCGGCUCAAAAGCAAACCGGCACUAAUGUGCUUGACAUUUGACCCUUUUCUACUAGUGAUUCAAGUAAAUAGAUGCCUAAUGCAUGUUGAAAUAAAAGUUUGCUUUACAUUCUGUUUGCACAAUUGUGUUUUUUACAAAGUCUUUAAAACAAGACCAAUAUUGAAUAUAUUUUUAGAAAUUAAUUUUUGACAACUAAAUCACCAUGCUUCGAACUUGUUCCAUACAUAUUUAUUAAUUCCAUGUGAAAAUUUUAAUAAUGUACAUUUCACAAAUUAUUAUCUUAUUGUUUCACUAUGGCUCCCCAUGUUCCGUUGCAUUUCAUAAUGAUACAUUGUGUGCCAAUGUGUAUCAAACUGAUUCUUAGUAAUCUAAAAGUUUGUAAAUAUUAAUAUAUUUUAUUGCAACAAAACUUUGGCCUUAUCUAGUGUUUAACAAAACAUGGCAUAGUUAUGUGUACUCUUAUAGUGUUUCACUAUGUUUCAGAAUUUAAAUUUUAAAAAUUAUUGAAAUAUAUUCAAAAGUGGUCUCUUUUCAAAGGUCUCGUUGUCAAAAACACAAAUAUGAAACCGGAUCAUAAAUUGUACUUUUGGUUCAUAAGACCAAUUAGAUUUGAACUUGGAAAUAAAAUGAAAAAGUAUGAAAUGGUGGAACGUAGGUGGAACAGUGUACUUGCAUGUGAUGAAAGAAAUAACUAACUAACUGCCAGCGGUAUAAAUGCAUGGCAUCGGAUCUCCAAACAAACCAACGGCGCAUGCAUGCACGGUACCUCCCGUGCAUGGGAGAUUAGCUUUUCUCUAUUUUGGGGGAUACUGUGCCAGUUCAGACUUGGCGUUUGGCAGCGUGGCCUGUUCAUGUGUUUGAUUGGGCGUAGUAGUGUGUGGGUACUUCAGUUAGAUGGUAUGCAGCGGAUCGAGUCUAUCGACCGUGUGGCGAUGCCUGUAGAUUGUAGCACUAAAAUAUGAUGCUCAUUCAUAAACUAAUUUAGAUAAAGCCGCAAAAAAAAUGUGCUAGUUUUUUUUUGUGCUCACAUACUCUGUUUUGUCUCAGUUUUAGUCCAGGGCAACUUUGAAGCUUAUCUUAGGGUGGUAGCCAGAAAAAUGUGUUAAAGACCUUAUUAAGAAGUGAAGAAGAAUAGGCGUCUCCAGUUUUUGUUUCUCCAACUCUAUGCCUACACUGUAAUAUUAUUGAUGGAUUAGCUCCAGUUGAUGCAACUGUACUCUUUCUGGUAGGUCUGAGAUGCGAGUGAGCCAGAUCGAUCCUGAGCUAGCUACUUGUCUCCCUUAAGUCUUACAGCAAGACAAAUGCACUGGACUACAAAGAGGAAAUUCCUGCAGGUUCGUAAUGCAUCUGUUUUGGUUCUGGCAUUUGUCAGAUGUGUAUAGUCCCUUUUCGGUUCUUUCCCGUUGUAUAAGGGGUUUCCUGCAUUUCACCACACAUGUAUAUGUAAUGGCCUUUGACCCUCAGUGAAUACUAGUUGCUGUUUAUCCAACAUGGUAUCAGAUGUUAGGUUCCUCUCUCUCCUGCACGCUGCAACUCCGUGCUAGCUCGCCUCCCCUGAUUCGCUUCGUCCCCUUGCCAUCCGGCUGAUGCUGCUCUCUGGCCGAUUCCGGCUGCCCCCGACCUGAGCUCCGCCCGGUCCUCCUCGUCGUGGAUCCGCCGGGGCCUGCUCGAUCCGGCCUCCCCGGCCUAUCCACGGCCAGGCUCGGCCACCCCUCGCCGCGGAUCCAACCGGGACCUGCUCGUCCCGUGCUCGGCCGUAGCCCUCCUUGCCGCUCGGCCACCCCGCGGAUCCGCCUAUGCCCGACCGGGGCCCUCCUCGCCGUGGAUCCGGUCUCUCCGGCCCGUCCAAUGCCAGGCUCGGCCCGGCCGCCGCCGCCUCCUGCCGGCCGGCCGCCGUCGCCCCUUUCUCCGCCUCGCCUUGGAUCCGGCCGGGGUCUGCUCGUCCCGUGCUCGUCGGGUCCUUGCUUGGCCGCUCGUCUGCCUGGCCGCUCGUCCCGUGCUCCUGCACUCGGGUUCGGCCCUCUGUGGUCAAUGUGUGUUGCCUAUAGUUGACCCUGUGUAAAAAAACCCAAUGAGCUCGUCAUGUCUCCGUCAGGCUAUGUGGCUGUUCCUCGGUGCUCGGUGAUCUUCGAUGGCACCAACUAUGCUGAGUUUGUGGGUUUCAUGCGCAUUCACAUGCGUGGUCUUCUCCUGUGGGGCGUUCUCUCUGGCGAGGUUCCAUGUCCGCCUUGCCCUGUUGCUCCUGUGGCUCCUAUCCCGCCGGUGCCGCCUGUUCUUGCUGUUGAUGCUUCUCAGGCUGAUCGGGAUACAGCCAAGGCCCUUGACGAUGCCGCGGUUGAUGCUUAUGAUCAGCAGGUAUCCGCCUACUCAGAUGCUCUUUCUGCUUACCGAAACGAUUUGUCUGCUUACACUCAGUGGUGCAACGAUGAUGCUCGAGCUACUGCUGUUCUCACUUCGAGUGUCUUACCUCAGUUUGCAUCUGAGUUCAUGGGUCUCAGUAUUGUUGCUGCGAUGUGGUCCUAUCUUUGUCAGUGAUAUCAGCCCUCUGGUGAUGCUCUCUACUUAUCUGUGGUGCAUCAGGAGCACGCUCUUCACCAGGGUGACCCUUCUGUUGAUGAGUUCUACUCACAGAGCUCUGCCAUCUGGCGCCAGAUUGACUCUCUCAGGAUAGUUGUUUGUGGUUCUUGCCGUUGUUGCCAGACUGUACGGUCAGACUUGGAGUUUCAUCGUCUCCAUGAGUUCUUAUCUCACCUUCAUCCAGAGUUUGAGCCUCGGCGUGCUCACCUGCUUGCUCGUGGUCGUGUUCCUAUUUUGGAGGUGCUUGUAGAGCUUCCUGCCGAGGAGACACGCCUCCGUUCUGCUGGUCUGCUUGUGGUUCCCACUGUGCUUGCUGCCCGAGCUCCUGUGUCGUCUGCUCGCCUCACCACUCGACCACUCCUGCCCACACCUCCAGGGGGUGGUUCACCCUCCUUCAGGCGAGGGUCGAUCGCGCUCGCACACCUUCCGUGGCUACUGCAACAGGCCAGGUCACCCAAAGUCUGAUUGUCACAAGAAGCGGAAAGACCUGAAGCGCUCUUCUUCUAGUGGGACUCGUGCGUCUUCCUCGACUUCGUCGCUCAUUGACCAGGAUAUUGUGCGGCUCAAGCGCAUGUUGGCUUCCUCUGGUUCUUCCUCGACGGGUUCUGUUGCCGCUGUGACUACCACUACCACUCCGCCGCCGUCGGAGCCUACUCAGUGAGGUACAUCCUCGUGGGUUCUGGAUUCUGGAGCUUCUUUCCAUAUGUCUUUUGACUCUUCUGCUUUAUCUUCUCUUCGACCUCUUGAUUUUCCUCUUAAUGUUCUCACUGCCGAUGGCACACCCCUUCCUGUUACUAGUCGUGGCAUUCUUUCCACUCCGUCUUUUUCGGUUCCUAGUGUUUCUCAUGUUCCUCGUCUUACCAUGAAUCUUUUUUCCGCUGCCCAACUUACUGAUUCUGGUUGUCGUGUCAUUCUUGAUGCCGACUCUUGUUCUGUUCAGGAUCGUCGCACUCAGGCUCUGGUUGGCGCUGGCCCUCGGCGCGGUGAGUCUAAGGGACUUUGGGAGGUUGACUGGCUUCGUGUUCCUUCCGCUGCUACCACAUACACCAGCUCUCAUGCUCUUGUUGCCUCCUCUUCUGCGUCCUUCCAGCAGUGGCAUCAUCGACUUGGUCACAUCUGUGGCUCUCGCUUGUCCUCCUUAGUUCACCAAGGCGUCUUAGGGUCUGUCUCUGGUGAUGUUUCGUUGCAUUGUGAUGGUUGUAGGCUUGGAAAACAGACUCAGUCACCUUAUCCUACCAGUGAGUCUAUAUCUCAGCGUCCUUUUGACUUAGUUCAUUUUGAUGUAUGGGGUCCUGCUCCUUUUGACUCGAAAGGGGGUCAUCGCUAUUAUGUUUUGUUUAUUGAUGAUUUCUCUCUCUACACUUGGCUUUAUUGUAUGAAAUCUCGCAGCGAGGUUCUCCCCAUAUACAAGCGUUUUGCUGCCAUGGUUCGCACUCAAUUUUCCACGCCUGUCCGUAUCUUCCGUGCUGACUCAGCUGGAGAGUAUAUCUCUCACAUGUUGCGUGGUUUUCUUGCGGAGCAGAGUACUCUUGCCCAAUUCUCUUGCACUGGUGCACAUCCUCAGAAUGGCGUUGCUGAACACAAACAUCGCCAUUUGCUUGAGACGGCUCGGGCGAUGAUGAUCGCCGCCUCUCUUCCACCCCAUUUUUGGGCUGAGGCCGUUUCAGUAUCCACCAGCUCGUCAACAUUCAGCCAUCGGCUGCCUUGAAGGGUGGUAUUCCUAUGGAGCGUCUCUUUGGUCCUGACUACUCUGCUCUUCGCAUGUUUGGAUGCAUGUGCUAUGUUCUCCUUGCUCCGCGAGAACGAACCAAGUUGACUGCUCAGUCAGUUGAGUGUGUUUUCCUUAGCUAGAGUGAUGAGCACAAGGGCUAUCGCUGUUGGGAUCCUGUUGGUCACCGACUGCGCAUUUCGCGUGAUGUGACUUUUGAUGAGUCUCGUUCUUACUAUCCGCAUCCCUCCUCCUCGAGCUUUUCCGUGGAAGAUAUUUCCUUUCUUCUCCUUCCCGACACAUCUCCCUCUGUGUCUCCUGUUAUUCCCUCUCCCCCGAUGAGUCUCCCUACACCAUCGGUACCAUCAUCCCCUCCCUCCUCCUCCUGUCCCUCGUCAUCUCCCUCCCCACCCUCCUCCCCAGUCUUUCGCCCUCACUCCCCUUCUCCUCUCCACUACACUCGUCAUCCUCAUGCUGUGGAUGAUCCUACUGAUGUGCCCUCUACUUCCGGUGCACCUCCUCUCACGCCUACACCGGUCCAUAACCUUUGCGUUAGGCCUUGUCCCCCACCUGAUCGCUAUUCUCCUGACCAGUAUGGUCUUUCUGCCAUUGCUGAGCCCACCACCUAUCGAGCUGCCAUGACUCGGCCUGAAUGGCAGCUUGCCAUGGCCGAGGAGCUUGCGGCGCUUGAGCGCAAUGGCGCGUGGGAUCUGGUUUCUCCUCCUUCUGGUGUUUGUCCCAUCACGUGCAAGUGGGUCUAUAAGAUUAAGACUCGCUCUGAUGGUUCUCUUGAGCGUUACAAAGCUCGUCUUGUGGCUCGUGGCUUUCAGCAGGAACAGGGGCGUGAUUAUGACGAGACUUUUGCUCAUGUGGCCCAUAUGACCACUGUCCGCACUCUACUUGCUGUGGCUUCUGUUCGUCAUUGGCCUGUGUCUCAGCUUGACGUUCAGAACACCUUUCUCAAUGGCGAGUUGCGUGAGGAGGUUUAUAUGCAGCUACCACCGGGGUACUAUGCUCCUGAUGGUAUGGUCUGUAGACUUCGCCGCUCCCUCUAUGUGUAGGAUCGGAAGUAUGUCUAGAGGGGGGGGGGGUGAUUAGACUACUUGACCAAAUAAAAAUCUAGCCUUUUCCCAAUUUUAGUUCUUGGCAGAUUUUAGCAACUUAGCACAAGUCAAACAAUCAACCUACACAUGCAAUUCUAAGAGUAUAGCAGCGGAAAGGUAAAGCAAUUGCAUAUGAAGGUAAAGGGAUGAGUUUGAGGGAGCAAACGCAAUGUUGACAUAGAGAUUUUUUAUCCGUGGUUCCGAUAGGUGGUGCUAUCGUACAUCCACGUUGAUGGAGACUUCAACCCACGAAGGGUAACGGUUGCGCGAGUCCACGGAGGGCUUCACCCACGAAGGGUCCACGAAGAAGCAACCUUGUCUAUCCCACCAUGGCCGUCGCCCAUGAAGGACUUGCCUCACUAGGGUAGAUCUUCACGAAGUAGGCGAUCUCCUUGCCCUUACAAACUCCUUGGUUCAACUCCACAAUCUUGUCGGAGGCUCCCAAGUGACACCUAGCUAAUCUAGGAGACACCACUCUCCAAGAAGUAACAAAUGGUGUGUUGAUGAUGAACUCCUUGCUCUUGUGCUUAAAAUGAUAGUCUCCCCAACACUCAACUCUCUCUCAUAGGAUUGGAUUUGGUAGAAAGAAGAUUUGAGUAGAAAGCAACUUGGGAAGGCUAGAGAUCAAGAUUUAUGUGGUUGGAAUGGAAUAUCUUGAACUCAACACAAGUGUAGGUGGUUCUCUCUCAGAAAAUAUGUAUUGGAAGUGUAGGCAUGUUCUGAUGGCUCUCUCCACGAAUGAAGAGUGGGUGGAGGGGUUUAUAUAGCCUCCACACAAAAUCUAACUGUUACACACAAAUCACCAAACUCGGUGGGAGCGAUUCAAAGAACUCGGUCAGACCGAUUUGGUUCAUAAUGUGAACGUUAGGAUUCUCGGUGGGACCGACAUGUCAACUCUGUGGGACUGAUGUCAUUAGGGUUAGGGCAUAACGUAAUCUCGGUGAGACCGAUUACACAAACUCGGUGAGUCCGAUUUUGGUAAUAGCCAAACAGAGUGUUGGUCUGGCAAACUCGGUGGGACCGAUUCGCUCAUCUCGGUUGGACCGAAAUGUUACGAAAGGGAAACAGAGAUUUUGCAUUGUAAUCUCGGUGGGACCGAUCGCUCAUCUCGGUUUGACCGAAACGUUACGAAGGGAAACAGAGAGUUUGCAACCCCAUCUCGGUGAGACCGAGAUCCCUAUCGGUGAGACCGAAUAGAUUAGGGUUUCUGGCAGUGGCUAUGUCAACUGAACUCGGUGGCUCUGGAUGGAAAGAAUCGGUGGGGCCGAGUUGGACUUUUUGGUUUAGGACAUAUGUGGAUAUGAGAAAGUAGUGGAGGGUUUUGGAGCAUAUCACUAAGCAUUUUGAGCAAGAAUCUCAUUAAGCAACACCUCAUCCCUUCUUAAUAGUAUUGGCUUUUCCUAUAGACUCAAUGUGAUCUUGGAUCACUAAAAUGAAAAAUGUAGAGUCUUGUGCUUUGAGCUUGAGCCAAUGUUUUGUCCUUAGCAUUUUGAAGGGUCCACUUCCUAAUCCAUGCCAUGCCAAACAUUGAGCUUUCCUAAAAUAUUUAUCUUGGAAUAGCAUUAGCUCAGUGAGCUAUAUGUUGUUAGGAAUUACCAAAACCACCCAGGGAUAGUUGCACUUUCAAUCUCCCCCUUUUUGGUAAUUGAUGACAACAUAUAGAUCAAAGCUUCGACAAAUGAUAAAUAAGAUUGAAAAACAUCGUCGCUUUGAGAAGUAUGUGAUAAGCAAGAGCUCCCCCUAAAUUUGUGCAUUAUUUAAGAUUUGCUUUUGAAUGCAAAUGCACAAUCGAUUAGGAUCAUGGGUUACUCUUCCAUGUCACAUACAUCUUGGUGGAGCACUCAAAUGAUAGAGAUUAAAAGCAUGCACUCAUCACCAAGCAAAGUGAAUGAUCAUAAUAGGAUAUGAAAGAUAGCAUUAUCCAACAAGCAUUAAGGGUAGCAUAUGAUCAAACACUUGACCAAAUAAGUAUCUCACAAGGACACAAAGUAGUAUCACACAAGCACGCAGUAAAGUUUCAAACCAACCAAAAAAGAGUGCAAAGAGAGAUAAAAACCAACACUCUCUCUCUCGAAGCCUAUGAUCUAUACAUUUUUCUCCCCCUUUGGCAACAAGUUACCAAAAAGUUUGAAAAUGCAUAGUUCUAAACGACUCUCAGGCUUGAUCUUCGGGAGGUGGUGUUGAGAGAACGCCAAGGACGAAGGCUUCUGAUGAAGUGGCUGGAGCUGGUGGAGUAGCUACUGGCGUUGGAACUGGAGCUGUGGCUGCUGGUGCUGAUGUUGUAGCUCUAGUGUCUGUCACUGGCACUGCAGUAGAUCUCUGUCCUCUGGGCACUCUAGCAAAUGCAUCUGUGGUAGACUUGCCCUUCUUCUCCUCUGCUUCCUCCUGAGGUUGCUCAACUGCUCUUUGGAUCUCAGUUACCUUGACAUCAAGGUCAUAGAAUUUUGUCUCAACAAUCCUUUCCAAGCUCUCCUGGUUCUUGGUCAGGGUGGCCAAGCCCUGCUCAAUCCUCAGAGUGGAUUGGAUCAGAUAUGCAAGCUGGUCGUGCUUGCUCUUCAAGAAUACAUGAGAUGCCUCUUCCAUAGUUGGCAUCUUUGCAACUUUCGCAGCUUUAGCCUUCUCUCUCUUUUCUUGUGCUUGCACAAAUGAUGGUUCAUUCUCAGUCAUGACAACAGUGUUGUCCUCAAAUUCAGGAUAGAUGGGUAGAUGCUCCUUGUCCAAGAUGUACUUGCCUUUGCCCAUCUUUGAGUUGAUGAGCUCCUGGAUGUGUGGGGCAUAUCCACAACUUCGCUUCUGAUCGGCUGCAGUCCUCUUGAUUGUUUCCACAAUCAGGCUCAUAACCUUGAAUUUUUGUGGGACAUCAAAUAUGUGCAGCAAGUUGAUAGCAUGUCCUCUGAUCAUCUUGUGAUCACCUGACUUGGGUAGAAGUGUGUGCCUCAGAAUCCAAUUGAUUGUUGGCAGACCAGACAACAAAUAGUGUACAGAUCCAAACUUAUGUGUGUCCAAAGCAUCAUCAGGGAUCUCUUCGUACAUAUUUGCCAUAGAGUUGUGGUCUUUCUUCUUCUUGUCAUAGACAUCCAAGUCAUCCUCAUGUUCCUCAGGAGCAUUUAUUAGUUUUGCCCAUUCUUCAACUGUAAACUGGUACCUAGUACCCUCAGACAUCCACACAAUCCUUCCAUCUGGAUAGAAGUGUGCAGUGGAGUAAAAUUGCAUAAUGAGCUCAUCAUUCCACUUGGUGAACUUCCGAGCCACAAACUCAUCAACUCCACAUGCCUUGAAGUUUUCAUAUACACCAGGGAAGUGAUCCUCAUUUUCCUUAAUGAAUUUCCAAUCAACCCAUCUCAUGUCACACACUAUGGGCUUCUUGUCAAGUAAGGCAGCCUCAUAGAAGUCCUGUUGUUCCUUAGUGUGGAAUGUGUAGUCCAUAGUAGUCCUUCUCCUGGUGGCAUAUGGAUCAGACUCUCUCCAUAGCCUCAAUCCUGAAUCCUUCCUGAUUUUCAUGUUCUCUGCAACUGGGUGUGCAUCAUUGUGAUCAGGGAUCUUGGGCUUCAGCUUUCUCAAAAUGACAGAAUCAUCUUCUUCUUCUUCAGCAGCUUGAGGCACUGGGGCCUUGUUCUUCUCCUCAGCAGGGAUGUUCCUAGUGCUCCUCUUGGGUUUUGGUUUUGGAGCUGGAGCAGCAGCCUUGGGAGCAGCUUUGGGCUUAGAUGGAGCAGCCCCUGAUCUGAUUGCAUCUCCCAUGAGCUUUUGAGCUUUGGGUGCUGGUGCAGCAUCCUCUUCCUCUUCCUCUUCAGAAUCUUUCCUCAUUGAGGGCUUCCCAAGAACUCUAGAAGUAGUGGUUCUGGCCCUCUUCUUCUUCUUAUCCUCACCAGCUGCUUCUUCUUCAGAUUCAAUGGUGAACUUCAUAGUUUCACCUGUGGCAACUUUUCUUGGCUUAGACAUGGGCUGUCUUCCUGCUGGCCUCUUUGUUUUCAGACCUGGCUUAGUUGCAGCAGCUGAGCCAUACUCUUUCUUCAGCACUUUCUUCUUUGAAGUGGCUUCAUCUUCAACAGCCACAUAGUCUUCAUCCUCAGAGUCAGAAGUUCUCUUCUUCCUUGACCUGGUGGCAGCUUUUGGCAAGUUGCUUGGAGUGCUCCUGCUGCCUUCAUCAUAGCUGCUAGAGGGACUAGUGCCCUCACUCAACUGAACCUGUUCCUCUGACUUGUUCUGGCUGUCACUUUGGUCAGACAUCUUGCAGGCAAACUGUCAGCAGACCCUGUGAACAGGUUAUAGAUGAGGUAGAGUAGAUGAGCAUCACAAAGCACAGGAGUUUUUGCAAAAUAGAUGACUUAAAAACUUAGUUUUAGUUCUUCAUAGAAAGCAUUUCGGAUCUACCGUUUUGUAAACUCGGUGAUACCGAAGCAGCUUUUGGAACCUGAACUAGUGAACUCGGUCAGACCGAGUCACAGUUCGGUGGCACCGAGACUGCUAGGGUUUCACAGAGAAUUGAACUCGGUCACACCGAUUUGCAAUUUUCGGUCGGACCGAAAAUGCGUGUGCUCUGGCCUAAGCCAAAAUCGGUGAGACCGAUUUCUACAACUCGGUCGGUCCGAGAUGAAUUCGGCGGAGACCUAACCCUAAAUUUUCAAAUCAAAACUAAUCUACGGGACGUUUUCGCUGGACAGGAUGAUUUCAGUUGUGGCAAGAAACAUGGCAAAGCAAUGUGCUAAGAAUUGGAGUUAAAGAUUAGCACAAUGAUAAAGUCCGUACCCUAGUGCGGCGACGAACUUGCUACGUCGGCAACGGCGGAGAUGAUUUCCGUUGACGGCGGCGGAGACCAGCGGCGGGAGGACGCUGGCGACGAGAGGACGAUCCGGAGACCAGAGGAGGCAGAGUAGGUUACGCGCGGGCGAAGGGGUUCGGAGAAAUUUCCAAAUUUUGACCCAGCGGUAUAUAUAACCUGACCCUGUCGGUGUGACCGAGUGGAACGACUCGGUGGCACCGAGAUGCAAAACUGCAAGCAGUUACUGCAACUCGGUGUGACCGAAAUGUUCUAAUCGGUUGCACCGAGAUUGAAAACUCUAGAUCAACUUGGUGACUCGGUAGGACCGAAAAGGAUGAAUCGGUCAGACCGAGGUGCACAAAGAGGUUUGGAGGUUUAAGUCUAUGACGAAUCGGGAUCUCCGAGUGCUCCUCACACAGAGUGGUUCGAAUCUGACUUGAUCAAACUUUGUGAUGUAGCAUGAAUAGAGUUUGAGACGAGAAAAGCAUAGAUAGCUAGAGGGUGUUCUUAGGCAUUCUUGUCCAUCCAUUUGGCAAAAGAGAAAGAGCCAAACAAUCAAAACAACAAAUGGAUGUCCUCGAAUGAGUAAAAUAUGCAACCAACAUGCUCACACAAUAAAAUGGCAAAUGAAAUAUGUGAAAAAGCAUGCACAAACAUUCUAGCAUCUAUCAAGCAAUUGGCGAUGACUAGGUCAUCUAUAUAUGAGUAUAUUGACUUAGGAGUCAAAUGAGAACAUUUGAUCAUAGGUCAUACUCAUCGUUUAAGCACAAGUGGGGUUACCACUUUUACAUAAAGAAUUGUUGUGUUCACACCAUUAGAGUUGCUUUAGCUCAUUGAUUUGAGUAAAGCUCCCCCUAGAUGUGAUAUUCCCCCUAAAGGGAAUGAACUAACCUUGGGUUUUGUCGAUGAUGACUUCAUGUAGGUGUUGAAGAUGUAGAUGCUCAAUGUUGAUGUAGAUCAUUUGGAGCAAUCCUUUGGAGUGAGUUGCGCUUUCAAUACCUUGUCCCUUGUCUUACCAACAAGAGGGUUUGUGACUCCUUGAACUAGUGCAAGAUAUGGAAGUUGUUUGCACUUGUCCUUGCCAAAAUGAUAGGAGUGAAGUAUGUUGGCGGAGUCACCCUCAAGAACUCUCUAGUUCUUCUUCUUCUGGAUCCACACCAUCUUGAUGGGAACCCUUGGAGUCGUAGUUGUACUUGAUGAAGUGGAACUUGAUGUAGUCUUGGGAACCCACUUGACAAAGGCCUUAGGUGCUUCUUCAAAUGCAUCAAUUUCCUCUUGAAGCUUAUCCUUGCAUUUUUGCUUGUGGUCUUGUGGUGGAAGAUCAUCUUGAGCUUGUGUUCCUUUGAGAGAAGUAGGAUCAUACUUCUCUUGUUGAGGAACAAACUUCGUCUUGGGGUAUUGAUCUUCUUCCCACUCAACUCCAUUGGCAUCGAACUUCCGUUCAAAACCAACACCUUGAUUCUUCCGGUGUCUUCCUUGCUUGCGCACAAUUUCCUCAAAAUGCUUACUUCCGGCAAGACUCUUGUAAACACCUUUCUCUAUGAUUCCCUUCAAUAAGCUAUUUUCUUGCUCAAGUGUAACUAGGCUAAGAGAAUCAUUAGUGGAAUCAAGAGAACUACUAGAAGCAUCAACAUUGGAUUUAGCAUGAUUGUUGUUACUACUAGAUGAAGAAUCUUUCUUGUUCUUGUUGCUAGAUUUAACUUGUGGCAUGUAAGUAGACAAGAGUAAACGCUUGGCAAUGUAAGAAGAACUUUUCUUGCGAAGAUCAUCAUUGAUUGCCUUUAAAAACUCAUGCUCUUGCUCAAGGUUGAGCUUUUCAAAGCGUAGCUUAUCAUGAGUCUUUAAAAGUUCUCGAUGAUUUUCCAAGGUAGUUUCAUGAGCUAACUUAAGAGUGUUUAGUUCUUGAGUUAGACGCUCAAUCUCCUUCUUAUCUUCAUCAUUCGUUUUAUCUUGAUUAGCAUGUUUAAUUGACGUUUCAUCAUAGUUUUCUCACUAGAGUUGUCAACAAGUAAAUCAUCAUCACCUAGCAAAUCAUCUUCAUCACUAUUGAAAUCAGAAUACUCGGGAUGUGUUACCUUUGGACCUUUGGCCAUGAAGCAUCUUCCAAUUCCUUCAUUUGGUGAGUCAAAUAUAUCAUAGGAGUUGGUUGUCACAACUGUUAGACCGGGAACACCUUCAUCUUGAGUAUAUUCGGAGUCGGAGUGAUAACUUCUUUCGGAGUGAUUGUCGGAGUCGGAGCCGGAUACCCAUUCACCAACAUGAGCUUGAUGUCUUCUUUUUGUGUAGCUCCUUGAUGACUUUUCCUUUCUUUCCAAAUCCUUGCUUCUCCGAGAGGGUCUUUGUCCAUAACGAUCAUCUCUACUCCUCCUUUCUCUCGGUGGUGAUUAUUCUCUUCUACUUCUUCUUUUGGGAGAAUCUUCUCUUCUUUUGUAGGGGGCCGUACACUCAUUGGAGUAGUGUCCGGGUCUUCCACAAUUGUAGCACUUACGCUCACGACUAGAAGAUCUUUUGUCAUUGUAGGACCUUGACUUGGAACCUAUUUCUUUGCUUCUACUUUUGUAGAACUUGUUGAAGUUCUUCACCAUUAAGCUCAAUUCUUCAUUGAAGGUUUGUUUCUCACUUGAAGAUGUGGGAGUAUCACAUGAGGCUUUGUAAGCACCACUUGACUUGUUGUGAAGCUCUUCCUUAUCCUUGAGUGACAUCUCAUGAGCAACAAUUCUUCCAUUGACUUCCGUUGGCUUGAGAUCUUUGUAACUGGGCAUCAUUUGGAUCAAUGUGCACACGGUAUCAUAUUUUCCAUCCAAGGCUCUUAGGAUCUUCUUGAUGAUGAAUUUGUCGGUCAUCUCUUCACUUCCUAAGCUGGCAAUCUCAUUUGUGAUGAGAGCAAGCCUAGAGUACAUUUCAGCGAUACCUUCACCAUCCUUCAUUUUGAACUUGUCAAGUUGACUUUGAAGCACAUCCAAUUUGGAUUCCUUGACGGAGUCGGUACCUUCGUGCAUAUCAAUCAAAGUAUCCCAAAUUUCCUUUGCAUUCUCAAGACGGCUGAUUUUGUUGAAUUCUUCGGGGCACAAUCCGUUGAAGAGAAUAUCACAAGCUUGAGCAUUGUAUUGUAGCAUCUUCAACUCUUCCGCGGUAGCUUCAUGGUUCGGUUCUCUCCCAUCAAAGAAUUCACCUUGCAAGCCAAUACACACAAUAGCCCAAACGGCGGGGUUAUGUCCAAGAAUAUGCAUUUUUAUCUUAUGCUUCCAACUAGCAAAAUUAGUGCCAUCAAAGUAAGGACCUCUACGGUGGUAAUUUCCCUCGCUAGACGCCAUACUCUCCUAGGUUGUGAAACCAAGGCUAUGACCACCAAAAGCUAUGGAAAUCAAAGCAAAUGGAGACCAAAGCUCUGAUACCACUUGUAGGAUCGGAAGUAUGUCUAGAGGGGGUGAUUAGACUACUUGACCAAAUAAAAAUCUAGCAUUUUCCCAAUUUUAGUUCUUGGCAGAUUUUAGCAACUUAGCACAAGUCAAGCAAUCAACCUACACAUGCAAUUCUAAGAGUAUAGCAGCGGAAAGGUAAAGCAAUUGCAUAUGAAGGUAAAGGGAUGAGUUUGAGGGAGCAAACGCAAUGUUGACACGGAGAUUUUUUAUCCGUGGUUCCGAUAGGUGGUGCUAUCGUACAUCCACGUUGAUGGAGACUUCAACCCACGAAGGGUAACGGUUGCGCGAGUCCACGGAGGGCUCCACCCACGAAGGGUCCACGAAGAAGCAACCUUGUCUAUCCCACCAUGGCCGUCGCCUACGAAGGACUUCCCUCACUAGGGUAGAUCUUCACGAAGUAGGCGAUCUCCUUGCCCUUACAAACUCCUUGGUUCAACUCCACAAUCUUGUCGAAGGCUCCCAAGUGACACCUAGCCAAUCUAGGAGACACCACUCUCCAAGAAGUAACAAAUGGUGUGUUGAUGAUGAACUCCUUGCUCUUGUGCUUCAAAUGAUAGUCUCCCCAACACUCAACUCUCUCUCAUAGGAUUGGAUUUGGUAGAAAGAAGAUUUGAGUGGAAAGCAACUUGGGGAAGGCUAGAGAUCAAGAUUUAUAUGGUUGGAAUGGAAUAUCUUGAACUCAACACAAGUGUAGGUGGUUCUCUCUCAGAAAAUAUGUAUUGGAAGUGUAGGCAUGUUCUGAUGGCUCUCUCCACGAAUGAAGAGUGGGUGGAGGGGUAUAUAUAGCCUCCACACAAAAUCUAACCAUUACACACAAAUCACCAAACUCGGUGGGAGCGAUUCAAAGAACUCGGUCAGACCGAUUUGGUUCAUAAUGUGAACGUUAGGAUUCUCGGUGGGACCGACAUGUCAACUCGGUGGGACCGAUGUCAUUAGAGUUAGGGCAUAACGUAAUCUCGGUGAGACCGAUUACACAAACUCGGCGAGUCCGAUUUUGGUAAUAGCCAAACAGAGAGUUGGUCAGGCAAACUCGGUGGGACUGAUUCGCUCAUCUCGGUUGGACCGAAACGUUACGAAAGGGAAAAGAGAGUUUGCAUUGCAAUCUCGGUGGGACCGAUCGCUCAUCUCGGUUUGACCGAAACGUUACGAAGGGAAACAGAGAGUUUGCAACCCCAUCUCGGUGAGACCGAGAUCCCUAUCGGUGAGACCGAAUUGAUUAGGGUUUCUGGCAGUGGCUAUGUCAACUGAACUCGGUGGCUCCGGAUGGACAGAAUCGGUAGGGCCGAGUUGGACUUUUUGGUCUAGGACAUAUGUGGAUAUGAGAAAGUAGUGGAGGGUUUUGGAGCAUAUCACUAAGCAUUUUGAGCGAGAAUCUCAUUAAGCAACACCUCAUCCCUUCUUAAAAGUAUUGGCUUUUCCUAUAGACUCAAUGUGAUCUUGGAUCACUAAAAUGAAAAAUGUAGACUCUUGUGCUUUGAGCUUGAGCCAAUGUUUUGACCUUAGCAUUUUGAAGGGUCCACUUCCUAAUCGAUGCCAUGCCAAACAUUGAGCUUUCCUGAAAUAUUUAUCUUGGAAUAGCAUUAGCUCAAUGAGCUAUAUGUUGUUAGGAAUUACCAAAACCACCCAGGGAUAGUUGCACUUUCACUAUGGUCUUAAACAGGCCCCUCGCGCCUGGUUCGAGCGCUUCGCCUCUGUGGUGACUACCGCUGGUUUCUUGCCAGUGAUCAUGAUCCCGCGUUGUUUGUUCACACGUCUCCUCGUGGUCGGACUCUUCUCCUUCUCUAUGUUGAUGACAUGAUCAUCACUGGUGACGACUCUGACUACAGUGCCUUUGUUAAGGCCCGCCUUCGCGACCAGUUCCUCAUGACUGAUCUUGGUCCACUUCAAUAUUUUCUUUGGAUUGAGAUCUCCUCGACCUCUGAUGGCUUCUACAUCUCCCAGGAAAAAUACAUUCAGGAUCUUCUUGCUCGUGCUACUCUUGGUGAUGAGCGCACUGUUGUGACUCCUAUGGAGCUCAACGUUCAGCUUCGUGCCUCUGACGGUGACCCUCUUCCUAAUCCUACUCGCUAUCGCCACCUCGUUGGCAGCCUUGUCUACCUUGUUGUUACGCGUUCCGACAUCUCCUAUCAUGUUCAUAUACUGAGUCAGUUUGUUUCAGCACCCACCUCUGUCCACUAUAGUCAUCUCCUCCGUGUUCUCCGAUAUCUUCGUGGCACUUUCUCUCAUCGCCUUUUCUUUCCCCGCUCAAGCUCUCUUGAGCUCCAGGCCUACUCUGAUGCUACAUGGGCUAGUGAUCCCUCUGAUCGACGCUCGCCGUCUGCAUACUGUGUCUUUCUUGGUGGCUCUCUCAUUGCCUGGAAGACAAAGAAAUAGACUAACGUUUCUCGCUUGAGUACAGAGGCUGAGUUGCGAGCCAUGGCUAUGUUGACGGCUGAGGUGAUUUGGUUACGGUGGUUAUUUGAGGAUUUUGGAGUGCCUGCUACUACCUCGACUCCCUUACUGUCAGAACCGGUGCUAUCAGUAUUGCGCGUGACCCGGUGAAGCAUGAGCUCACCAAGCACAUCGGUGUGGAUGCCCACUUUGUGCGUGCUGCUGUGCAUGAUCAGACUCUUGCUCUUCACUAUGUUCCCUCUGAGUUAUAGUUGGCGGACUUCUUCACGAAGGCACAGACUCGAGUGCGGCAUGGUUUUCUUCUCUCCAAACUCAGUGUUGUUGAUCCACCAUGAGUUUGAGGGGGGUGUUAGAUGUGUAUAGUCCCUUUUUGGUUCUUCCCCAUUGUAUAAGGGGUUUCCUGCACUUCACCACACAUGUAUAUGUAAUGGCAUUUGGCCUUCAGUGAAUAUUAAUUGUUGUUUAUCCAACAACAUUCACGCCAAUCAUAAAACAGUGUUUGUUAGUAGUGGAGUGGUAGGCGGACGCAAAUCAAACCAUCAUUUUUCUUCUAAUUACACUUGUAAAAGCAUCGAUGCAUCUCCGUCGCUUAAUUUUAUUUGUCAUUCUGUUCAGUACCUGGUUUGGUUCAGGAAGAGCUCUUUUUCCUAUGCAAAAUGUAUAACGUAUAUGCUCCUAAUUCUGAUUGCAGACAUAUUCAUCGCGCUAGUGUUUUGACAUGACGCGGGGAACCAAGAGCCGUUCAACAGCGCGUUUCUGGGAUACGCCACCGGUCUGGCACUAAAGGUAGCGGUGAUGAUCUGGUUUCAAGCCGCGCUGCUAAUAUAUCAUGGCAUCUUGCAGCCUGCUCUGUUGCACAUCGUUCCUGGCGCAUGACUGGUUUGGUCGCCGUUCACUCUCCGUGGAAUGGAGAGGUGAAAGCGGGCAAGUAAGCCUGUCUACUUUGUCCCUUUUGUGUAGUGCUGGGAUCAGAGAAAAUAACUGGCAAUCUGGAUCAGCCUGGUUUUGAGACGCGACUUGUUUGCCACUGACUGUUUUGCGUUGGCAGUUACUGCAGUUGGAGUGGGAAGCUGGAGAGGAGGAAGAAGACGAAGGUCCCAACCGGCAGAGCAAAAAGGUGAACCAGCCCUCGCCUUUUUAAUUACUAGGAGAAAGAAACAUUGAGGCAGUAAUUUCUUCAGGCAAGAUCGAUUGGCAGCUAAUUAAGUAGGCUGGAUGGCAUUGAGAAACCCAAAAACGAUUUACAUACACAUGGUAGAUCGUCUCUCUCUCUCCUUCCACCCCUUCCUUUCAUGGCCAUCGUAGACUGCACCAUGUGGCAUUCAAACUUUUCUCAAGGGGAGAGUUUCCUCACACACACACACAUGCACAUACGCAAGCACACGCACACACGUGUAGUACAAACUUAGAAUUUUUGGAAAUAAUGGGAGGCCGAGCAACGGCCAUGUGAAAAUAUGAGGUAUAUAGCUUGUGGAUUUCCAUUCAGUGUACAAGGCCUGCAUGAGGAAUGGAUAAAGAAAUAUAUCUUUGAUUCCCUUAGUUAAAUCUUAUCCUUCAUCGUCAAUUAUGACUAAGCAUACAUAGUAAUCGCUAGUUUCUCUUAUAUGCUUCCGAGAAGAUAAGACUGGAUAUUUUAGUUGCUAUUAAUUAUUUCCCUUCUUUCGCUAAAUAGUAGUCAAACAUGUUAUUAAUGUAUUUUGUAAGGAUAAGGUCGAGCAUCAUGGCCACUAUGUUCUAUAUAUACUGAAUUUGGUGUUCAGUAUGACAUAACAAACACAUAUUGUGAGAAGGAGUAGUGUACAUUGUUCUCUAGUGCACUUUGUUCAGCAAGUUGGGUGAAAAUGUUGAAUAAACCAUCAAGUUUUCAUACAUUUUUUCAUGGCACAGGUUUGCCUUCUCAUGAUGAUGGCUGCACCGUUUGCACAAGCUGCUGGGAGGCCUGUGGCAUCCUUACCAUGGGUAGCGGGGUGUUGCCUGAGGAACUAUUUGUGUUGUGGUGUUGGUGCUGUUGCCCCGACAUCCCAUGCAUCGCAGGCCACCUCUGUACCUUGAAUUAUGGUUUCGCCUGAUCUCCUCUCAUAACAUAGUUGAUAUAACAUAGUAGCAUCACAAAGGUUGCAUGGUUUCAUUGAUUCAUCUCUUUUCUACUCCGUGAAACUUGUGAUGCCACUUUUGAACAAUGUCAUUGCUAUGUCUUCUUAUAACUAAUAAAAUGGGAGGAUAUUUUCAUAUUAUUUGAAUUGUGUUGUAACAUUACCUACUAAUGUGGAUGAUCUGAGUGGACUACAUAGAUCGGAUCUUCUAAAGAUAUAAUCUAGGACUUUGCGAGAUGAUGAAAUUGUCCUUUAUCUUGGUCGACACCUUUUCGUAGAAGUGUUGGUCGGCCGUCUGUGUCUUUUUGCGGUGCAUGCCGUAGAGUCCUCCAUGUUUUGUAGUUGUACAAUAACCUUUGAGGCAACCGGGGGUGGUACGUCUGAGGAAGUCGGUGGCCCAGGAAUAUUCAUAAUGAGAUCUCGACCAUGGAUGCCAAGUAAUUUGCCCCGUGCUGAUGUCGUCGGGCGACCCGGUCACUUAUGUUUUGACUCAAGGAGUCGCUAUGUUCAUCGAGUCGCGAGACAGCGGGAGGAAGGAGACGAAGGUCCCAAACGUCAGACCAAAAAGGUGGACUAGGGCUCGCCCUAGUUGUGCUCUCGGGUAUUUUCAGUUACUAGUAGGAGUAAGAAGCAUUGCAAAUUGCUCCCUCUGUUCAAUCCGUAUAUAUGUAGUCCGUAUUCAUAUAUUCAAAAUAUUUUAUAUUUGUGAACGAAGGGAGUAAUUAAUAGUAAUGCAACAAUUUCAGGGGAGGCCAGUCAACAGCUAACUAAAUGUGCUGGAUGAGACUGGAGACAUGUAUAAACGAUUUACACAUGAUAGAACUACUCUUUUCUUGUCAAGGAAUGGAAGAAUGGAUGAUUUUAUCCGUUCGGAACAAAACCCAAUAUUCAUCCAGUUAGACGUUGUUCUGAAUUCUGAAGCUUUUGAAAGUUUUCUCGCAGAAAUAUGUGUGUGUAUUCCAGUUGUAUCAUUAGCAAACCAAGGUUGUAUAUAUUAUAGCACAAAGAAUGUUUGGUUGAUUCGUUCAGGCGAAUCAGGUUUGUGGCUGACUGCCAAAGUCAGGCCAACUCCAGCGCACGACCCCAAACAGACAUCUGUUUUGUCUGGAUUCUGCCCGUUUGGAUAUAGCAAUGGGGUCGUGUCCAGGCCUGUCCUGUGAUGCGGUCGCCGUGCGCACAACGCGCGGACGCAUCCUUUGGCCUCAUCAUGUCCGCCACGGCCAAAAAUGCCCAUAUAUUCAUAUUUCAAUAUUCAAAACUAGUUUGCACGUCCAAAUAUUAAUUGUCUGAAAAUAAAAAUAGUUUUACAACCCAAUCAAAAUUGUCUCUAAUAAAAUAGUUUUACAACCAAAUCGAAAUUGUCUUGAAUGAACAUAAUGAAACCAAUACAUCUAUUGGUUGCCAAUGUGAUUCCACAUGUGCUCAACCAAGUCAUUUUGAAGAUCCAAAUGAGUGUGCCAAUCAUGCAUUUCACGAUGACAUUGGGCAAACUGCUCAAACGUGGCCGGUUCUUGGUGCAGGGGCUGAACAUUUUCACCUUGAAAAUCAAAUCCUUGGUCGAAGAUGCUGUUAUCACGCUCGUCCUCGACGAUUAUGUUGUGCAUGAUCACACAAGCAGUCAUCACCUCCCGAAGCUUCCCUUCAUCCCAUGUCAAUGCAGGGUUUCGAACGAUACCCCAUCGGGAUUGAAGCAAACCAAAAGCACGUUCCACAUCCUUUCUAGCACUCUCUUGCAUUUGGGUAAAUCUCUUUCUCUUCUCACCUUGGGGGUUCGAGAUUGUCUUCACAAAAAGUUGACCACUGAGGAUAUAUACCAUCAGCUAGGUAGUAUCCCUUGUUGUACUGGUGGCCGUUGAUCUCAAAGUUGCCAGGUGGGGAGUGGCCUUCUGCAAGCCUUGCGAAGACUGGAGAACGCGGCAGCACGUUGAUAUCAUUGUGAGAACCUGCCAUGUCGAAGAAAGAAUGCCACAUCCAAAGAUCUUGCGAAGCCACCGCUUCUAAUAUGAUAGUGCAUGCUUUAACAUGCCCCUUGUACUGGCCCUGCCAAGAAAAUGGACAGUUCUUCCACUCCCAGUGCAUACAAUCUAUGCUACCAAGCAUGCCUGGAAAGCCUCUAGCCGCGUUGGUCGCCAACAAGCUUUCUAUAUCAGUGGCAUUUGGCUGCUGAGGGAGUCCUGGAUUAAGGGGUCCUCGGGCGUUUGGGCUGCGUAACAUGGGCCGGACUAAUGGGCCGUGAAGNNNNNNNNNNNNNNNNNNNNNNNNNNNNNNNNNNNNNNNNNNNNNNNNNNNNNNNNNNNNNNNNNNNNNNNNNNNNNNNNNNNNNNNNNNNNNNNNNNNNNNNNNNNNNNNNNNNNNNNNNNNNNNNNNNNNNNNNNNNNNNNNNNNNNNNNNNNNNNNNNNNNNNNNNNNNNNNNNNNNNNNNNNNNNNNNNNNNNNNNNNNNNNNNNNNNNNNNNNNNNNNNNNNNNNNNNNNNNNNNNNNNNNNNNNNNNNNNNNNNNNNNNNNNNNNNNNNNNNNNNNNNNNNNNNNNNNNNNNNNNNGAUUCCUUUCCCUGUAAACCGACUCUGUACAACCCUAGCCUUCUCCGAUGUCUAUAUAAACCGGAGGGUUUAGUCCGUAGAGGCAAGGAUAAUCAUACAGGCUAGACAUAUAGGGUUUAGCCAUUACGAUCUCGAGGUAGAUCAACUCUUGUAAUCCCUAUACUCAUCAAAGUCAAUCAAGCAGGAAGUAGGGUAUUACCUCCAUUAAGAGGGCCCGAACCUGGGUAAACAUCGUGUCCCCUGCCUCCUAUUACCCUCUAUCCUUAGACGCACAGUUCGGGCCCCCCUAUCCGAGAUCCGCCGGUUUUGACACCGACAGCUGCCUCAAGUACUCAGGGCCAAACACUGCCACCACAGCCUUGUAGAACUUGUAAAGUGACAACAGACAUGCCGACUCACUCAUGCGCACGUACUCAUCCACCAGAUCGCCUGGAAUUCCAUAUGCAAGCAUGCCGAUGGCCGCGGUGCACUUCUGGUAAGAGGAGAAUCCAAGCUUGCCAAGGGCAUCCGUCUUGCACUCGAAGUAUGGGUCAUGAGCAACCACUCCCUCUCGGAUACGAUUGAACAGAUGUCUUGCCAUACGAAAACGGCGACGGAAUUUAUCCGGCUUGAAGAGCGAGGUAUUCGCAAAGUAAUCGGCAUAGAGCAAGGCGUGGCCUCUCUCUCUAUUGCGUUUCAGGUUGGGAGCACGGCCAGGGACUGACCCCAUGUACCGAGGAAGCUGCCCAAUGUGAUCGUGAACGACCAGUGCAACCACCACCAGAUCUUCGUCAUCCGAGGACGAAUCAUCCAAUGAAUAAAUGAAGUGGUGGAAGAAAAAUUCAUCUCCACUGUCCAUACAUUUGUGGGCAAAGUGUUCAACACCUUGCGGUCGUGGUGGCAAAGAGGCCGCGAUGAUCAUCUCGAUGCAGCAGGGGUGGUUGGCGGCCGGCUACUGGCCGCUCUAGAGCACCCGGCGGAAGCUGCCGUGGUCCAUAUCCGUCGCCGGUGGUCGUAUCCCCUCUAGCACCGGCUACAAUGGCGACGGCCAAAUCUCCUCCAAGCGAUGGCCAGAACUCCUACGAAAGCGCGGGCGUUGUGGCGGCCAUGUCGAGACGUGGUUUGGUAUGGAUGGGCAGGGGGAGGGAGCAGUGAGGAGGCGGUCGGAGAAUACUGGCGGCGCCGGUGGCGGGAUGCGGCGGAGGAGAGCGGGUGAAGGCGUUGGAGGCAAAUGGAGUGCUAGUGUCCCCGACAGGCGGGCCACGGGGAGGACAAGGGCGUGUGUCCAGCCCGUCCGCGUGAUGUCCAUUUCACCCCAAACUCGGCACAAGUUUGGGCCGGGAAUGGGUAAAAAACGGACGAAAUCCGGACAUUUGUCUAUUUGAAGCCGCGCCUUGAGUCAUGCUAUUCGUCUGUUCUACCCUAAACGGACGCACCAGAACGGAAUGGGGUCGCGUGCUGGAGUUGGCCUCACGGCCGUUUCUGCCUUUGGCGCAGACAAGAGAUUCUACACUGUAAAGGAAAAAGCUGAAAGCUCUCUUGUCUCGUGUGUUUCUCUUCUCUUGCACCUUGUCGGAAAACAGUGUGCACCAGGGACGCUCGAUUCCAUGGCAGGCAUCAGUUCAAUCGAUCAUGCUACAGGGAACCGGCACUAUCUUCUUUUUCUUUUUCUUUUUCUUUUAGGUCGUGAACGCAAGUCAUUUGAGAUAUUCACGUAGGACUUACAUAAUUGGUACGUUGUGACAAAACUGGACGCACACGAUGAAAUAUAUAAAUAUUCCUAUGGUAGAUUUAUCAGCAUCAGUGUGGAGCUAAAGUGUUUGAUGUUUUGUAUGAAUGGUUUGGUCUGAACAAUAAAGCCGACCACUCAGGACCUACUUUUGGGCUUUUUUUUUUGUAUUAUUCUAUACUAGCAAAAGGGCCCGUGCGCGGAGAAAAAAAUUAUAAUCUUGAAUGACCAUGAUCACAUUUUUUUUCAUCACCGAGAUACACUAUCACUUUCAACUUCGGGAAAUCAUCUACAUUUUUUAAACUUGUGCACAUUUUUCACAUUCAUGAACACUUUUACAAAUUUGCAAACAUAUUCUAAAAUCAAGAACAUAUUUUGAAUUCAUGAACAUUUUAUAGUAUUUACAAACAUUUUUAGAAAUUACGUUUUUUUAACAAUUUUCUUGAAUAGGCAAACAAUUCUAAAAUGGACGAACAUUGUUUUAGAAAUCGGUGGAAUAAUUUUUGAAAUUCCCGAACAUUUUCUUGAUUUUACAAACAUUUUUUGAAAUGCAUGAUCAUUUUUGUAUAAACUAUUUUGUAUGUCACGAACAGUUUUCCAAAUAUUUGGUUAUUUCCCCAUUCAUGAACAUUUUUUGAAUGGUGAUAUUUUCUUAAAUUUCAUUAACAUUUUUUGUACACGAAUUUUUAAAAAGUCAUGGACGUAUUUUGGUUUCAUGAACAUUUGUUUUCAAAAUUUCAAACAUUUUUCGAGCCAGAUUCUUUAAUAAAAUUGCAAAUAUUUUUUGAAUACAUAAACAUUUUAUGAUUUAUUAAAACUUUAUUUGGAAAUUAUUUUAAUUUUGAAAUAUUUUUUGUAUUCUGAAUUUAAUUAAAGUAGAAAAACGGAAAAAGAUAAAAAAGGAAAUGUUAAAAACAGGCUGCCCGGACAUGGGCCGGCCCAAAUGGGCGGGCCGCGCCUUAUCCCUUCGCGCAGAGCCCAGUAUGGCAGGUCGCUACUACAUGGGCCAGUCCAGACGGGGAUUCCCCUGUGUGAAACAUUUAUAUCACUUAUACGUGACAUUUGGAUCCCCUCUAGUUAGGGUUUUCUCUCCUCCCGGCGGCGCCUGGCACCGACGUGGAGACCGCGAUCCCCUGCGUCUCCUAGACCACUGAUCGCCGGCGGCUUCGGACGUCGGGCUCGUGUGCGCGCUGGGCGAUCUGUCUAGGGUUCUCCCGCCCGCGGAAACCGACUUCUCGGGCAAGAGAUCUGAUGGAAGGCUCAACGUCGGCGUCAGCCGCAGCGAUGAGCGACAUGGAAGCUAUGAUGAAGGAAUUGGGCCUGAAAGAAGAUGAUCUGGAGGAUGUUGUGGUUCAGGAUGGCGACAUACCAGAGGAAGCGGCGCGGUGGAUGGUGAUCCUGCGGGUGCACAUGGAUAAGCCGUACAGUCAGUAUUGGUUUUUUCGUAACAUGCGGGUUGCAUGGGAUCUAGCACAAGAAGUCAAGUUCCGCCCUCUAGAAGACAACCUCUAUACUCUGCAAUUCUCCUACCUGGGUGAUUGGGAGAGAGUCAUGGAGGACGGCCCCUGGACAUACAAAGGAAAAGCUGUCGUAAUCGAGCCCUAUGAUGGUUUCACCAGAUCAUCGUCUAUUGUUCUUAACAAGAUUGAGAUGUGGAUCCAGAUCCAUGAUCUCCCUGAACUGUUCUUCCAGUUGAUUAAAUCGCUAGCAUCUACUGUUGGUGACUUCAUAUUUGCUGAGCCCAAAUCCCAGGACUUUGAGGGGAACUUUUUUAGGGUUCGAGUGAAAGUGGAUGUCACAAAGCCGCUCAAGAACGCUGUAUCGCUGGUGAUCAAGAAGAGGAGAGAGAUAUUCAGGGUGAAAUAUGAGAGGCUUCCAGAUUGGUGUGCUGUCUGUGGUAUGCUAGGUCAUCAGUUCAAAGAGUGUGGCGAUGGGAUCCAUCCCCAAUCUGCGCUUGUGUUCAAAAAUCUGAAAGCUGACUGGUUCAGGAGCCCAGGCCGUGGACCAGGUGCUGCAAGAGGCUUUGAAGGUGGUCGAGGGAGAGGUAAUGGUCGUGCAGGUCAUGGAGGCCGGGGCUCGGGUUGAACACAACAAGAUAACUUUGACCAGGCUGUUGAUCUGGAUACAGACAUGGAAGAAGGAGACGGGAACCGCAAGAGAGGAGCUCAUGCAAACACACUCUUGCUUACUUCUUCAGGGACCAACCCAUCAUCUUCGAUGGAACCCCAAGCCCUCGCUACAGCCACCGUUCCACAGAGUCCCUCGUCGAAGCAAGACCUCAAAAGAACAAAGACCAACCCCCGUCAGUUGGAGAAGAACCCAGGGAAGAACAAGUCCUCAAACACCCAAAACAAUGCGCAAAUGGCGAGCCCUAUCAACUGGUCGCGCCUGGCGCAAUGAGUUGCCUAGUUUGGAACUGUCGCGGGGCUGGCAGACCUGCGACAGUUCGUGAGCUUCGAGAUCUAUCGAAGCUACUUGCCCCCUCUAUUGUAUGCAUUCUUGAAACCCAGAUAGAGGGCUCGCGUGUCGAGAAUCUGGUAGGAACUUUAGGUUAUAAUAAAAGCUUUGCUGUAAGCAGCUCCGGCAGGAGCAGUGGACUAGGCAUUUUUUGGAAUGAGGAAAUAAAACUCGAAGUUAUCGGUUAUUCUGAGUACCACAUAGAUGUUCUUGUUGAGCAGAUGGUAGAAACUAAAACCAGAAUCACCUUUGUGUAUGGUGAGGCCCAAACAAGUGCAAGGUACAAAACUUGGGACAUGUUGCGCGGAAUUGCUGGAACUAGCAACGACCCAUGGGUAGUGAUUGGAGACUUUAACGAAGUACUUCAUGCCCAUGAGCAUGAUGGAACCGGCCAACGAAGCCAGGCGCAGAUGGACGCCUUCUGAGAUGCUAUUGACAAAUGCGGCUUAUCAGAUAUUGGUUAUAAGGGGCAAAGCUGGACUUUUGAAAAGAAGGUGAUGGGCGGUACGUACACCAGGGUGCGCUUGGACCGGAGCGUGGCUAAUCCUGCAUGGGCUUUGGCCUUCCCAGAUGCAUCCCUUGAGCAUCUCACCGCAGCUACUUCUGAUCAUGUCCCGUUGUUGCUUCGGCUUCAAGCAAUGCAUGCAUGCAGAAGGGGACCACGGCCGUUUAAAUACGAGUUGUGUUGGGAGCGCGACCCAACACUGGAGACAAUGGUGCAUGCGGGGUGGAAUCAGCAUCCUGGGGAUUCGGUGGACCAGGUGAAGGCUAAACUCCAAACACUGUCGGGCGACCUGUCGACGUGGGAUCGGCAACAUUUUGGAAGCGUGUGCAGAGAGAUAGCCGAAUUAAAAAAAGGAACUACAGGUGUUGCGAGAAUUUCCAGGAAGAUCUGGCCCCUCUCGACGGGAGACAAAAAUCUGCGACCGCCUGGUUGAAUUGUUUCAUCGCGAGGAGAUCUUGUGGAGGCAGCGAGCUAGGAUUGAUUGGCUCAUGCAUGGCGACAAAAAUACUUAUUUCUUCCACAUGAGAGUGAGUAGGCGUCGACGGAAAAACCAAAUUAAAUCCUUGCAAUGAGCUGACGGGCAGGUAACGGAGAAUGAACUGGAGAUGGAAAACAUGACGAUCUCCUUUUACAAGGACUUGUACACGACAGAAGGGGUUGGUGAUAUGGCACAGGUGCUAGAAACAGUACCAUGCAAGGUUACGCAUGCAAUGAACGCCUCGUUGAAUGCCCCAUAUAGCCCGGAAGAAGUCAAGACUGCCCUUUUUCAAAUGUUUCCCACCAAGGCACCGGGACCAGAUGGCUUUCCCGCUCACUUCUUUCAGAGGCACUGGGAGACGUGCGGAGACGAAAUCACCAAAGUCGUUCUUAAAAUUGUUGAGGGCACAGAAUCUGCAGCAUGUAUCAAUGAGACAGUCUUGGUGCUAAUCCCUAAGGUAAAAAACCCAACCCUCUUGAGCCAGUUCCGACCCAUCAGCUUAUGUAAUGUUCUUUACAAAAUAGCGUCCAAAGUGAUCUCUAACAGGCUGAAGGUGAUACUACCUGACAUUAUAUCUGAGGAACAAUCUGCCUUUGUCCCUGGUAGACUUAUAACUGACAACAUCAUCACUGCCUACGAGUUCCUACACUUUAUGAAAAGAAAUAAAGCUAAAAAGCACCAGUCGUUUGCUCUGAAGCUAGACAUGAUGAAGGCUUAUGACAGGGUGGAGUGGCUAUACCUGAAAGCAAUCAUGGUGAAACUAGGGUUCACUGAGAGAUGGGUGGACAUAGUUAUGGGACUGGUUACCACUGUUAAGUUUUCUGUCAUGUUUAAUGGGAAAAGAUUGGAGGAAUUCGAACCUUCACGAGGAAUUAGACAAGGGGACUCAAUAUCUCCGUACUUGUUCUUAAUAGCAGCAGAGGCCCUGUCGUGCCUGUUAAAAUCAAAGAGUGAGUCAUCCAAUCUGGGUGGUGUGCAAUGGCUCCUACGGCGCCGCCAGUUAGCCAUCUAUUAUUCGCUGAUGACAGCCUACUGUUCUGUAAGGCAAAUUGUGCGGGAGCUAAUGAGGUGAACCUAGUACUGAAUACAUACUGCCAAGCAUCCGGUCAGCGAGUAGCAAGGGAGUGCCGGAAGCUACGAGGACAGAAAUAAAAGGUUUACUCAAUAUUCCCAAUGAAACUUUAAAUGAGAAGUAUCUAGGGAUGCCGUCAGAUAUUGGGAGUUCGAAGAACGGGGCCUUCAAAUACGUCAAGGAUCAUUUAUGGAGUAAGGUACAGGGCUGGGUGGAAAACACCAUGUCAUCCGCAGGCAAGGAGGUUUUGGUGAAAUCAGUUGCCCAGUCCAUACCUAUAUUCUCAAUGUCAUGCUUUAAACAUCCAAGGGGAUUAUGUGAACACCUUAAUAUGCUUAUUAGGAAGUUCUGGUGGGGGAGCAAAGAUGGCAAAAGGAAACCUCACUGGGUAUCUUGGAAAAGUAUGACACAGCCGAAGGGAAUGGGAGGACUAGGGUUCAAAGAUUUUGAACUCUUUAAUAUGGCGAUGCUGGCAAGACAGGCUUGGAGAUUAAUCCAAACACCAGAGUCCCACGCUUGUUGAAGAGCAUAUACUUCCCUGAUUCUACCGUCUUGGAGGCGACCUUGUGCAACCAUCCCAAUCAGAUAUGGCGAGCCAUCAUCGAAGGCAGAGAUACACUCAAACAAGGUCUCAUUCGUAGAAUUGCCAAUGGUCAAUCUACUCGUAUUUGGGAGGAUCCGUGGCUGCCAAGAGAUGAGAUGUUACGGCCAUAUGGGAGCAUUCACCCCAAUCCGCCAACCUUGGUUUCGGAACUGAUCGAUCACACUAGCGCUUCAUGGAACAGUCAGCUAAUCAACCAAGUGUUUAUGCCCAUGGAUGCUUGUACCAUUAUGGGGAUCCCGGUGUGCACUCGCAAUCUCCAUGACUUCUGGAGCUGGAUCUUUGAAACGAGUGGCAACUUCACGGUCAAAUCUGCUUACCGCAUGCUUGUAGCGACAAGACAGCGCCGGGAGGCAUGGCUUGAGGGCACUGCUGGAACAUCAAACAGCACGUCGAAGGAGGGGGCUUAGAAAACGUUGUGGAAGACCCAGGUUCCUGCAAUUCUAUGGCGUUUAUCAAAGCACUCUCUCCCAACGGAGGACGUCAGGGCUCAUCGGCAUAUGGCAGAUAACGCUACUUGCGGUUUAUGUGGCUCGGCUGAUUCGUGGAGACACUCUCUGGUUAACUGCACUAGCUCGAGAUGGUGUGUGGGCUUUAGUUGAUGAGGAGCUAGCACAAAACCUAGUCUCAACCACGGAACCCAACGCCAAGCAGUGGCUCUUCACCUUCAUGCACUCACUAUCACACGAUCAAUUUGUAUUGCUUGCGGUCACUCUCUGGGCGAUCUGGACAGCGCGGCGCAAGGCUAUUCAUGAAGGAAUAGUCCAAUCGCCUCAGGCAACUAACAACUUUCUCAGACGCUUCAUAGCUGAACUAAACAUGAUUAAAGUGGAAAGGCCUAUGAGGGGAGGAGCUCAAUCUAUGGGCCUGUCACGAGCUGCACGCCCCAAAGCUCCCCCGAUCGGCUACGCCAAGAUUCAUGUGGACGCGGGAGUAAGAGCAAGGAAAGGUGGAUCAGCAGCCGCUGUAUGCCGGGACAGGCAAGGCAAUUUCCUAGGCAGCUCCGCGUUGGUGAUCGCCGGUCUAGAGGACCCAGCCAUACUAGAGACUAUCACUUGUAGAGAGGCAUUGGCGCUGGCGGAAGACCUUAAUCUGCAUAAUUUUGUCGUUGCAUCUGAUUCCAAGCAAACAGUGGCUGACAUCUUAAGUGGAGGCAGAGGCAAGAGUGGUACUAUUAUCCAGGAGAUAAACACUAGAGCAACUCUAUUUCAUUGUAAUUUUUCUUUUGAAGGCCGUGCUGUUAAUGUCGAAGCACAUAGACUAGACAAAUAUUCGCUUAAUAUCGGUCCGGGGCGCCACCUCUGGUUAGGUCAGCCCCAUGACCCGAGUUGUAUCCCACCCAUUGUGGUCUUUGAUGAAUAAAAUUUGGCUUUCCCCUCAAAAAAAAAACUUAUACGUGACAUUUGUGGGUAAUUUGUACGACGUGCCAUAAGAAGAAAUAGCCCCUUUAUUAUUAUUAGCAAAAGUGUCCGUGCGUUGUAACGGGAGAAAUAAAAUCAAAAUCUCCAAUGACCAUGACCAUAUUUUGUUGCAUCACCAAGACACCCCUAUCACUCUCAAUUUCGUGUAAUCAUGAAUAAUUUUUGAAAUCACGAACAUGUUUUAAAAUUAUUACACAUAUUUGAAAUCGUGAACAUUUUUCAAAUUCAUGAACACUUAUACAAAUUUCCGAACAUUUCUAAAAUCAAGAACAUUUUUGGAAUUGAUGAACAUUUUAUACUAUUUGCAAACACUUUUUAAAGAUUCCGAACAUCUUUAUAAACAAUUUUCUUUAAUCGAGGAACAUUUUUAUGGAAAUUGAUGGAACAAUUUUCGAAAUUCACAAACAUUUUUUGAUUUAACUAACAGUUUUUGAAAUACAUGAUCAUUUUUUGAAUCAGUGGACAUUUUCUGAAUGACUAAACUAUGUUGUAAGUCACGAAAUAGUUUUUGAAUUUUAGGAUAUUUCUCCAUUCAUGAACACUUUUUGAAUUGGCUAUUUUUUUCAAUUUCAUUAACAAUUUUUGAUAGAAAAACUUUUUAAAAAAUCAUGAAUUUUAUUUGAUUUCCCAAAAAAUUGUUUUUAAAAUUUUGAACAUUUAUUGUGUAAGCAAUUGUUUUUUACAAAACAGCGACCAUAUUUUAAAUCCACUAACAUUUUAUGAUUUAUGAAAAUUUUAUGUCAAAAUACUCAUUUUUUUAAUUUUCGAAACUUUUUUGAAAUCCCAAACUAUUUAUUGUAGAAAAGAACGAAAACAGGAAAGAAAAAUGAAAAUAGAAAACAAAAUCAAAGAAACAGGCCAGCCUGAAAUGGGCCGGCCCAAACAUACGUGUAGCUUCUUCUCCCAGCGUGCAGAGAGCAUUAUAGGAGGUCCCAACUGCAGGGCCGGCCCAGAUGGGGGAAUUCCCCUGUGUGAAUUUUUUGUAUCACUUAUAUGUGGCAUUGAACUCAUGAAGCAUGCGCUAUCCCUUCCAGCUCGCCGCCAUGUAUGGCUCGGACAACCAGAUGGACUUUCUUUCGUCCAUGUAAACGUUAUGACGAUAUAAUAAAAAGCUUCGGAAUUUGUCUAAAAAGACUUAUAAGUGGCAUUGGUGGGUAAUAUUUUGCAACUUUAGAGGUAAUUCCAUGACGUACCACCAGAAGCACAAUAGCCCCUUUACUAUUAUUAGGUACUCUUUUUUCCUUGUGGAGCUUUGGAAAUGAGAGAAUUUGAAUAUAGUAACUCUCGGAAACUCUUAUUGGAUGAGAGAGAUUUAAUAUGAUAUUGGCAUGGGUUCUACCAACUAACGAAGAAGUAUUUGACUGGAUAAACAGACAAUUUCCUUUAAUGGACGAACAUUUUUAUGAAAAUUGGUGGAAUAACUUGGGAAAUUCAUAAAUAUUUUUUUAGUUAACGAACAUUUUUUUAACUUAACGAACAUUUUUUGAAAUACAUGACCAUUUUUUUGAAUCUGUGAACGUUGUAUGAAUGAAUAAACUAGUUUGUAAGUCAUGAGCAGUUUUUCAAUUUUUAGGAUAUUUUUCCCUUCAUGAACAUUUUUUCAAUUGGUGAAAUUUUGUUCAAUUUCGUUAACAAUUUUUAGUGCACAAACCUUUUUAAAAAAUCAUGAACAUGAUUAUUUACCAAAGAAGCAAAUUGUUUUUUACAAAAUCGUGGACAUUUUUUUAACCCAGAAACAUUUUAUGAUUUAUGAAACAUUUUUUUCAAUACACAAUAUUUUUAAUUUUCGAAUUUUUGUGAAAUCCUAAAUUAUUUAAAGUAGAAAAAUCAAAAACAGAAAAGAGAAAGGAAUAAUAGAAAACAAAGUUAAAGAAUAGGCCGACCGAACAUGGGCCGGCCCAAACGGGCGCACUGUAUCUUCUGCCAGCGCCUAGAGCGCAGUAUAGGAGGUCCCUACUGCAUGGGCCNNNNNNNNNNNNNNNNNNNNNNNNNNNNNNNNNNNNNNNNNNNNNNNNNNNNNNNNNNNNNNNNNNAAGAAAAUAAUGCCUAUGCAUAUGCUUUUAUAUUAUUAUUAUUGUUUCAAAUUUAUUCAUAUAUUAUUUUCAAUUGUACAACCAUAAUUUUUCUUAUCUCUCUCGUUCCACUACAUGCUCCUAGUCAAAGAUUUUUUUAAUAAUGGGUGUUUUUAUUAACUCAAAAUAUAGCAUCAAGCGGAUACAAAACAUAAUGAGCCACACCCGGUCUAUGCAUAACUAAGAUGCACACAGCCAAAAGCAGAAGUCUGACAAAAAUAAGAUAAGAAAAUCGACAUAUCGACAACAGUGAGUCAUAUAGUACCGACACUAUGCCUCUGUCGAAGGAGGUGGUGGAGCGAUCUGGAGAUUAUGCUGCCAUCCAUGUUGAGUAAAUAUCUCCCUGGCCACUUGCUCCAACCGCAUAGACGCCGCCAUGAACAACGGUUGGUACUCCAUUCGGUGUAGCAUACACCAUACUAGAGGCUGGGGCGCCACCUGAGGCGGGCCUAUGCACACUUAUUUUGUCUGGGCAGUUCGGUUGUCAUGUUUGGUCAUCAGUAUCACUUAUGUACAUCAAUAUGGGCGUAUGUUGUAUUGUUUGAGUUCAUUAGGAUCUAUCAGUAUCACAUCAAUCAAACUACAUAUACUAUGUUAUUUGAGUUCAGAACCAUCAUAGGCAAUGAUACGUCUAACAAGGAUAUAUAACAUUUAAUUCAAAAGGAAAGACAAAGUAGAAUUAAGUGCUUCAGAUUGGCCGAAGAAAGGAACCUCAUGAUGCCAUGACUAAGGAACCAAAUAUAAAAGAGCACCUUUCAGAGUACUCCAGAGGUAUGACAUCAUCCAUUUCCACAUCAGAAUCAUCGGAAUUCUCCUGAUCCUCAUUUCGAUGUACCCAACACAAAUGCUACAUGGAUUUUAGUCAGCUGCAAUCCCCACUACUUCUACACUUCCCCUUUUUCACACCGAGGAGCAGAGACUGAUGCAAGUUGAUCGAACACAGAACAACAUAUAAUUGCCUAGAGAUGCGCUGGGCCUGAACAACAACAACAACAACAACCGUUGAGCCAGGUCUCCUUCCAGCAGCCUCAGCAACAAUAUCCAUCAGGCCAGGGCUCCUUCCAGCCAUCUCAGCAAAACCCACAGGCCCAGGGCUCUUUCCAGCCUCAACAACUGCCCCAGUUUGAGGAAAUAAGGAACCUAGCGCUACAGACGCUACUUGCAAUGUGCGAUGUCUAUAUCCCUCCAUAUUGCACCAUUGCUCCAUUUGGCAUCUUUGGUACUAACUGAGAAGAGAAGAACUCUAGUAGUAGAUAUAUGAUACACCGUUUUCUUAGUCCAUGGUUUGGUCGUUGUAGCGGUGAAAAAAUAAAGUGACAUGCACUAUCAUGUAAGAACCCGAACUAUACUAGUUCAAACUUGGGAAUAAAAGACAAACACAGGUCUUGUCUACAUAUGAUUGUUUGUUUGAGUUCCACUCAUGUGCCCAUUCACAAGUUCACCCCUAAUUAUAUAUAUUAUGCAUUAAGUAGAUAUUUAUGUUGCAUUAAUCUAAAGAUAACAAAAUGAGUCUGAAAUUUGAAUUAAAUUGAAGUAUUUCCUUGGACUUUCAAAUGGAGUAUUAUUAAAGUAGUAAGGACUAUCCUCAUCCUUGGCUUGCCCUUGAUCAAUUAUUUCCAGAGAAGCAUUCAAUUCGUCAAUCAAUUACAUUGAUUUUUGCAGCCGGUACUUCUCCUCAACAUGAGUAUAUUCAUCGCGGCUACUCCAAAUCGGCAUGAAUGAGGUACCGGUGCUCUGGAGCACUAGUACCUAACAGCUUCUCAUGUGAAGGGGUGCGGGCACGGGAGAGGUGUUUUUGGUGGGCCAGGGGAGUAAGAAGCGGCCGUGGCAGCGGUGCAGACACCCACAAAGCCCCGUAGUUUGUUUUUCGUUUACAGGAAAAUGCACAUCCAGACCGGCCUGCGGGCCGAUAUAGGACCGUAUUGGAUGGCAAAACAUGUCCGGAUGGUUGCGAGCGGUUUGAGGGUUAGCUUUUGUAACGCCCGGUUAGUUAUGCUAUUGUAAUUCCCUGCUAAUGAUGUCACGUAACCACGAUUACUAUUGUUAACCUCACAAUGAUUCAAUCCCAUUCAAAUUCAAAUUUAAAAUAAAGGCAAACAUCAAAAUUUCCAAACAUUAAAACUUAAAUCUUCGAGAGGUGGAAAAUAAUGCAUAAGUAAUUAUGGUGGAGAAACCACACUUUUAUAAAAUGUUUAAAUACUGUAAAAGAAUAAACAGUGGCUUAAACUAUUAUUUAAAUCCUUUUAAAAUAGUAAAAAUGUUCUAACUAAAUUAAUUGGGUACCAAACUUUUGGUGGCAGUGGUAUAUUUAGUAGAACUAAUUUAGAUGCUAAUUAUAUAAUUUACAAAAUUAAAGUAAAUUGAAAAAUAGGAUAAAACAUAAAAGGAAAGACAAAAUAAAUAAAAGCAAAAGGGGGCAACCCCUCGCUGGGCCUCGGCCUAACUGGCCACUGGGCUAGCUAGGCCGGCCCAGCCGCCUCCCUUAACCCCCCACUCCCCAUCGAACCCUGGCCCGAUCGCCCCACUUCCCCCACACCCCGUCGUCAGCCUCCCCACCUGUCGAUCCCAUCUGGAUCGGGGAGGGGAUCGCCCCCAUCAACCCCGUCGCCGUCUCCGGAUCGCCCGCUCGCCCAUCGCCCGCCGGAGUCGCCGGGCCUCCUCCCUGCCGCCCGUCUCCGGCUCGCCUCCUCUCUCGCUCCUCUUCCCUGACCCAAUCUGGAUCGGGAAGGGGCAAUGCGCCCGACGCCCCCCUUCACCGACGCCGUGCGCCAACACCGCCGCCCGAAGACCUCGCCGUCACCGGACCUCGCGUCGCCUCCUCGUAUCCCUCCCCGCCUCGCCUCAAGCCAUGACGACCCCCUUCUCGGCAACGCUGUGAGCCGCCCCCGUUUCCCUCCUCCUCUUUCCACCGCGUUCACAGCGUCGCCCGCCGUGCCCCUCGCCGCGCGCUCGCCCACCACCGCGCCAGCCCCGGUCCGCGCCCUCUCCUGCAUGCUUGCGUGCGCAUGACCCUAGCCGCGCCUGCGCCGUGAUCCCCUUAUCCNNNNNNNNNNNNNNNNNNNNNNNNNNNNNNNNNNNNNNNNNNNNNNNNNNNNNNNNNNNNNNNNNNNNNNNNNNNNNNNNNNNNNNNNNNNNNNNNNNNNNNNNNNNNNNNNNNNNNNNNNNNNNNNNNNNNNNNNNNNNNNNNNNNNNNNNNNNNNNNNNNNNNNNNNNNNNNNNNNNNNNNNNNNNNNNNNNNNNNNNNNNNNNNNNNNNNNNNNNNNNNNNNNNNNNNNNNNNNNNNNNNNNNNNNNNNNNNNNNNNNNNNNNNNNNNNNNNNNNNNNNNNNNNNNNNNNNNNNNNNNNNNNNNNNNNNNNNNNNNNNNNNNNNNNNNNNNNNNNNNNNNNNNNNNNNNNNNNNNNNNNNNNNNNNNNNNNNNNNNNNNNNNNNNNNNNNNNNNNNNNNNNNNNNNNNNNNNNNNNNNNNNNNNNNNNNNNNNNNNNNNNNNNNNNNNNNACCAAGACCCACAUCCCCUAAUUAACCAUUUAAUAAAUUUAAACUCUUAAAUUAACAUUAGUGUAUGACAUGUGGGUCCCCUAUUAAUUAAACUAAUUUAAUUAAAAUCUAUUAACUUCAAGUCUAUGACAUAUGGGCCCCACUGAACAUUUGACCAGUCAACGGUCCAGUCAAAUGUUGACCGGAUAGUUGACCAGAGGGCCCCACCAGUCAGCCUCUGUGCUGUUCUCCUGGGUACCUUUCUGAGUACACCUAGCAUUUUGCAUUUACAAUAUUUGUUUUAAAAUAAAUUAGAAUAAUUUCAAAAAAAUGAUUGAAACUUUUAAAAUUAAAAAAAAUUAUCCGUAACUCGGAUGAAAUUACUUUAUACAUGGAAGUUGCUCAAAAAAUGAGACGAAUCCUAAUACACAGUCCGUUCUUCUGCCACACGUCCCUAGCAUAGCGAACAUGCAACCACCCCCCUCCGGUUCGACUGUCCGAAAAUGUCAAACACCGGGAAUACUUUUCCGGAUGUUUCCCCUUCACUAGUAGCACCUAGUACCGCGUGAGGCAUACCUAGCACCACUUAUUGUAAUGUCAUGCAUCGUCAUGCAUCUGUUUGCAUUGUAUUCAUUGUUUCUUGCUCCUCUUCUCUCCGGUAGACUACGAGACUGACGCCGGUGCUGCCCCGGUCGAUUACGGUGUCCAUGACCCCUCCUUGUCAGCAGAGCUUCCAGGCAAGCAAACCCCCUUGAUCAUCCCGAUAUCGCCUACUCUUUCCUCUACUGCUUGCAUUAGAGUAUUGUUACUGUUUGUCGGUUUGAUCCUAUACUGCUGCAUGGCCUGUCUUUGAUACUACUUAUGUGUUAUUUGUUAGUACGCUUGGAGAAAAUGCCUUUGAUUAGGGCAUCUUCAACAGCGACCAGUAAAUUUCCUCCCGCGUUCGUCCACGAAUAGGGGAUCAGUCCGCGGACACGGAUACAGGAAUUGGCCAUCCAACAAUGUCCGCAUAUAUUUAAAACACUUAAAAAAUAGGAUGAAAUUCAUGCAAACACAGUGGAUUUCAUACAAACCGGACAAAAAUGUUUACAUUUUGGACAUUUUUUUUUUACUAAAAACUCUACAGCCGGUGCCGGCGAAUAUCCACUCCGGCAACAUGGAUACCCUUGACUAGUCUACUGCCGGCCGCAGCAGAUCUCCAAUGUCGUCCCCAUGUUCGGCAGCUGUGAGCCCUAGAGGUAUAUGCUUCAGCGCAAAGAGCGGCUCGCCUCCUACCGCUCAUCGGAGUGGAACAACCAGUUGAUGCUUCUGCCGAUGGGGAAGGGUCCCUACGCUACACGAAUUAGAGUUGGUUUUGGGUUGGGGGAACGGCGGUGGCCUGUCAGAGGGCAAGACACCGACUGUGUACGCUGGUGUCACCUGGUGUGGCAUUCAUGGGACCCAAGCGGCAGCGCCUCCUCAAUGAUGGCAGCGAGCGCGGACGUGUUGGACACCACCUCGUCGAUGUCCGUGCAGCCCGCUUCUUUCUCUGUAGGAAGGACGCGGUUACGCUCGCGUUGACAUCGGAUGACUCGGUCACAUGCACGAGAGGGGCGGUACAACAUGGCACCGUCAAUGGCAGCCAUGAUGCCCGCGCCACCGUGGUCCCUCCCAGUGCCGACCUGGAGCAACUUGCCACUCCUCGGCUCGUGACCGGCGGGCUUUACGGGCCACCUAGCCAUUUUUUAUGCCAGCCAACUCUUCUUCCUGCUCGUCAGAUGUCAUGGAGAAAACUGUUCAAGGAGGAAAAUGAUGAGUGGACGUGUGAUGCGCUUCUUGCCCAACAUCUGACAUUGUUUAAAUAGCGAGGGGACACGAGAGGAGCCAACCGGCGUUCUGUUCAAUGCCAACUGGCUCGCGAACGAACAUGUGGCCGGAGUAAUUAUCCUGGCACACACGCGGGUUUAAUGGUGGAAGGCGGGCAGUCUGCAGGAAUGAGGUGAGGAUGCGUGUUUAGCCGGCGUGCAGCGGGCAGCGCCCUCGGCCGGCGUGCUGCUUCCAUUGCGGAGGUAGUGAGAGGUCGCGUCCGCUCUGCAGCGCAUGAAUGCGGGCAGCUGGCGCAGAGCGGGAACGCGUGCAUGGUUUGGGUGGGCACGGGUGGUGAGAAGAGGUCAUGGGUGUUGUCCGAACGCCUGGAAAGCCCCCCCUCCAUGUUUGUCUCCGGUUUACGGGAGAAAGUACGUCCGGACCGUUUGAUGGACCAAUACAGGCCCGCAUUGGAUGGCACAACACGUCCGGACCAUGUGGUCCGGAUGGUUGUGGACGGUUUAAUUGAGGGUCGACGUUGGAGAUGCCUUAGAGUUUAUGAAUCCAUUGUGUUUUUUAAUCAUAAAAAGCACUUAUAACAAGUUAUAAGGAAAGACACGUUUAUAUGUUAGGUUCGGACUCCAGCUUUCCUCUUACAUAUGCUUUAUUGUGAUCCGACUGAUUCCAAUAGAGUGAGCCUAGCGUUGUUUUUCUGGAAACUUGCGGGAUAAGGAGACAUGCAUACACAUUCAUUCAAGCAAAUCACAUCCAUUCUUUUUAACUCAUUUUUCUUCUUUUAAUAAUAUAAUAGAUCAUUUAUAUUUUUAUCUCAAACAGUUGACGUGUAAUUUAUACUGUAAUCUGAGGAUAAUGUUUGGAUUUACUUUCAAAUAUAUUUGAAAUGGCCAUGAUGGAAUCACAUCCAUUUAUUUUAUUAUUAUUUGAAUUUGAUCCAAAAGAUAAAUAAUGAGUAGAGGUCAUGUCAACUUUUCUGAGAACUUUGCUAAUCAAAAUAUAAUUUGUAUUUAAAAACAUCUUUUUAGCACGCAUGAAAAACAUAACGCCUAUCUUUUCACACAUGAUGAACGGUUGUCAUAAGAACUCAUGGCAUGCCACAAGCUCCCUCCGACCCUGCCAACAUUGUUACAGCUGCACUCGCAAGCUUUAUCGUAGAUGAUCAUUUAUACGAUUUGCGUAAAUCAAAAUAAGAUCUACAAACGAAUAGAAGCUAGAACGUACCUUGGCAUGCACACACAUUGCAAGCCAUACUAAGCUGAUAAGUGUUAAUAACUUCUACAACAUAUACAACACUUAAGACAAGUAAAAGCAAUUUGAUGAGUCAUGGUCUAUCAAAGGCACAUUACUAGUCUAAUCCAUCUUAACAGGUCACACAUGAUUAAAACCUUGUUUGUGUGCAAGUCAAGCUUAUCUAGUUUACAUGUAACAACUUGUAGAACAUUACAAAAUUUAUGUUUGCUAAUAACCUCUAGAACACUACAACACUUGACAUGUAAAAGGAAUUUGAUGAGUCAUGGCCUACUAAAGCAAGUUAUAUUACUAGUCUUAUCUACCUUAACAGGCCACACAAGAUUACAAACUAAGUUCUGUGCUAGCCAUGCUUAUCUAGUUUAUGCGUAACAAUUUGCAGAAAAUUACAAACUUAGUUUCAGAAAAAUAGGCAAUCUAGAUUAGUGUUUGAGCUGUAAAGUGAAUAAGAUGAGUCAUGUGUGUUAUCACACCUUUUUGGUUGUGGAAUAAUAGUGCAACAACAAGGAACUUUAAUGACCAGUCCAAGAAUACACUUGUAAGUAGUGCCACCGAACACAACAUGCCAAAUUUUGAUUUUGAGAAGCAUCCAAACACUUCCACACAAGCAAAUGCCAAUUGUGAAAGAGAUCAUGCCAUGGCAGCUAUAAAUAGGCCCGUAGCAUGACGAUCAUCCUUCCUCAUCCAUCAUUCUCAUAAGUAGAGCGCAUCAUUUAAGCCAAGCAAGCAGUGCUCAAUACAAAUCCACCAUGAAGACCUUUCUCAUCCUUGCCCUCCUUGCUAUUGUGGCGACCACCGCCACAACUGCAGUUAGAGUUCCAGUGCCACAAUUGCAGCUACAAAAUCCAUCUCAGCAACAGCCACAAGAGCAAGUUCCAUUGGUACAAGAACAACAAUUUCCAGGGCAGCAACAACCAUUUCCACCACAACAGCCAUAUCCGCAGCCGCAACCAUUUCCAUCACAACAACCAUAUCUGCAGCUGCAACCAUUUCCACAGCCGCAACUACCAUAUCCGCAGCCGCAACCAUUUCGACCACAACAACCAUAUCCACAGCCGCAACCACAGUAUUCGCAACCACAACAACCAAUUUCGCAGCAGCAGCAGCAGCAGCAGCAACAACAACAACAACAACAACAAAUCCUACAACAAAUUUUGCAACAACAACUGAUUCCAUGCAGGGAUGUUGUAUUGCAACAACACAACAUAGCGCAUGGAAGCUCACAAGUUUUGCAAGAAAGUACUUACCAGCUGGUGCAACAAUUGUGUUGUCAGCAGCUGUGGCAGAUCCCCGAGCAGUCGCGGUGCCAAGCCAUCCACAAUGUUGUUCAUGCUAUUAUUCUGCAUCAACAACACCACCACCACCAACAACAACAACAACAACAACAACAACAACCGUUGAGCCAAGUCUCCUUCCAACAGCCUCAGCAACAAUAUCCAUCAGGCCAGGGCUUCUUCCAACCAUCUCAGCAAAACCCACAGGCCCAGGGCUCUUUCCAGCCUCAACAACUGCCCCAGUUUGAGGCAAUAAGGAACCUAGCGCUACAGACGCUACCUGCAAUGUGCAAUGUGUAUAUCCCUCCAUAUUGCACCAUUGCUCCAUUUGGCAUCUUCGGUACUAACUGAGAAGAGAAGAACUCUAGUAGUAGAUAUAUGAUACACCGUUUUCUUAGUCCAUGGUUUGGUCGUUGUAGCGGUGAAAAAAUAAAGUGACAUGCACUAUCAUGUAAGAACCUGAACUAUACUAGUUCAAACUUGGGAAUAAAAGACAAACACAGGUCUUGUCUACAUAUGAUUGUUUGUUUGAGUUCCACUCAUGUGCCCAUUCACAAGUUCACCCCUAAUUAUAUAUAUUAUGCAUUAAGUAGAUAUUUAUGUUGCAUUAAUCUAAAGAUAACAAAAUGAGUCUGAAAUUUGAAUUAAAUUGAAGUAUUUCCUUGGACUUUCAAAUGGAGUAUUAUUAAAGUAGUAAGGACUAUCCACAUCCUUGGCUUGCCCUUGAUCAAUUAUUUGCUGAGAAGCAUUCAAUUCGUCAAUCAAUUACAUUGAUUUUUGUGGCUGGUACUUCUCCUCAACAUGAGUAUAUUCAUCGUGGCUACUCCAAAUCGGCAUGAAUGAGGUACCGGUGCUCUGGAGCACUAGUACCUAACAGCUUCUCAUGUGAAGGGGUGCGGGCACGGGAGAGGUGUUUUUGGUGGGUCAAGGGAGUAAGAAGCGGCCGUGGCAGCGGUCCAGACGCCCACAAAGCCUCGUAGUUUGUUUUUGGUUUACAGGAAAAUGCACAUCCAGACUGGCCUGCGGGCCGAUAUAGGACCGUAUUGGAUGGCAAAACAUGUCCAGAUGGUUGUGAGCGGUUUGAGGGUUAGCUUUUGUAACGCCCGGUUAGUUAUGCUAUGGUAGUUCCCUG
rnacentral:lncRNA from 1 species